rnacentral:lncRNA from 1 species
UCUACAACGCUUAUUGAGUAAUUGCACUAGCACGCACGAUGUAUAACCAAGAAAUCAACCGAGAUAAAUAAGCAUUAGGAGCACGUAGGCAUAUACAUUAGACGAUGAGUUCCUCCUCCUUGUGGGUCUCGAUGACGACGUCGGAGGUGGGGUAGGCGGCGCAGGUGAGCACCCACCCGGCGGCGACCUGGUCGUCGUCGAGGAAGCUCUGGUCGGACUGGUCGAUGCUGCCGGAGACGAGCUUGCCGGCGCAGGAGGAGCAGGAGCCGGCGCGGCACGAGUAGGGCAGCUCGAUCCCUUCCUCCUCGGCGUGGUCGAGGAUGUAGACGUCGUCGGGCACCUGGAGCUCCACCUCGCCGUCGGGAGUGAUGAGCUUGACGUUGUAGGUCGCCUGCGCGCGCAGCCUGGCUCCGCGGGGAGCCUUGGCCGGCAGCGGGACGGUGGACGGCGCCGGCGCCGGGGCCGCGCGGAGGGCGAAGCAGGCAGGCGCGCGGAGGCUGCUGAGCACGGUGGCCAUUGCGGACUUGCGGCGUGUGUAGUGAAGGGAGAGCUUGGAGCUGGAGGAGUUGGAGCUAUUAGCAGAGGCGAGCAGCAGCUAAUGAUGAUAGCUUAUAGGUAGCUAAAAGCGAGAUGAGGUGAAAUGAAGGGUCGGGGUGGGUGUAGCGUGAAGGGGAGGGCGGGAGGCUUAUCUUCUUGGUCGGGACCAGGACGACAUCCGUGGGGGAAAUCAACUACUCGAAAGUCGAAAUACAGCAGGGCCACACGCUAGACUCCAAACGUCAUCGAGAAUUCUCCGACCAUGAAUUUCACCAUGAAAUUCGCUAGUAAAAAUAUAACUUCUCCUCACCGAUCACAUUUGAAUCCGGUACUAAUGUUAAAAUUUGCCGGAGGUCCUUUUGUACCGAGUGGGGUUUCCAAUUGGUACUAAAGUCCCCUUUUAAUGGUUGGAAACCCCACCCAAUACUAAAGCCCCGUCUGCCGCCGGCCCUCCCCCACUCACACGCGCCUGCAUUAUCUCCUCAUCCAGUACACUUCUCCUUCUCUUCUCUCAUACUCCCUCUCCUCUUCCUAUCCUCUACUCUCCUCCCUCACACUCCCUCUCCCAGAUCUGCCUCUCCUCCGCUCGCCCCUCACCGACGAUGAGGAGUGGCGGCGUCGGGCCGGGGCGGCUGCGACGACGCAGGAGGGGCGCGGCAGCGGGAGCAGUGGGGUGGAGCAGGGAGCGGAGAGGAGGCGGUGAUGGGAGAGUGCAGCAGAGGAGGGGGAGGAGGAGGAGGAGGCGGAGGGGGCUGGCGGCGGGCGGAGGGAGGCCGGGACCGGCGGGGGAGGGGGGGGUUCUUCUUUUUUAAUUUUUUUAACACCCUCUAGUACAAGUUAUCUCAAUCGGUACUAGAGGAUCCCCCUCGAGUACAGGAUUGCUACCAGUUGCAGAAUCGGUACUAGAGGGGGGUUGGGAACCGACAAUAGAGGUUAUUUUUUAUAGUGAUUACUCAAAAUAGUGACAGAGAAAGUAGUAUUCAUUGUAUUCUCACGUACUCCCUCCGUUUAUUUUUAUAAGGCGUGAUAUGGCAUGGCACGUACUCCCAAAUUACACUUUGAUCAUUAAUUUAUCUUAUAUUAUAUUGUUUAUGACUAUAAACUUAUAAUCAUUGGAGAAUACAUUUGAUUGCAAAUCCAACCAUUUCAAAUUUAUACCAUAAAAAUAAAAAAAUAUUGGUUAAAUUAUUAGUCAAAGAUAGCAAACUUUUACAUUUGAUAUGCGCAUACGCCUUAUAUACAAACAUGAACGGAAGGAGUAGAAAAUAGACUGUGUGCGCCAGUCACUGCCCAUUGGUUGGUUGAGCGUGGCGUGUGGAGGCCACGGCCUCGAUCCAGGGCAUAUGCUUCUUUCGGUCCUUAGCAGUUGGCGGUAUCACGUGGUUCUCGUCAAUUUUUGUGUAUCUGGCCAGAGAUCUAAAUUACAUGUAAUUUUACAUGUAUGAAAAAUUAGUCAGUUCGCUGGUUAGCUUUCCAUGCCAACCAUGGAUCUCUUUUCUCUUUUCUUUUCUUUCUCUUCUUUUCUUCUCUCCCUGGUGAUGAGUGAUGGGUGGGUGGGUGGUCAGCAAAAACUAGCGAGCCUGCUGCAAAAACUAUGGCAUGGAAAGCUAACCAUCGAUAUAGUAUCAGUAUAAAAACUAGUGCCUGCUCCGUUAGAUUAGGUGGAAAACUCUAGUCAGUUCGCUACUGAACUACGGAUUGAUAAACUUUAGAUGGAAUACUCUAAGGAAAAAGUUACGAUAAUCCGUGCGCUUGCGAUUCACAAAUUGAUGCGCUAACUGCCGCCAACAAGCUUUUCCGGUGCUGUUGCCAGGGAUCAGCAACUCGAACCCUAGGGUGAGACUAACUCUAAUUUUUCUAUUGCAUAUCCUGUUUUUCUUGUUUGCGUCCUUAAAAGCAAGUAAAUACUAGACGUCAUAUAAUCGAACAUGGACUUUCAAGUCUCAAUUCACUCCGAUAAGAUGAUAACAACAUCGAGCUCAACUCUUUAGCAGUAGGUGAUAACUUGUUAGUGGCCCAACAUCUGUUAUUGAGUCCACACCAAUGAACACAAUACAAAUGCUUAUAAGCAAGUGGCACAUAAUCUGAGAUGGGCUUAGCAAGUGGUAAAACCAUGGUGUUGGGAUAUGAGGAUGUCCAGUUAACAGAGGUGAAAAACUAAUCAAGUUGCUCAAGUAAAGGAUCUUGCUGCAUGUUGCUCCUGGUAAAAGUCCUUCACUUAAUUGGUAAUUCAAUGAGGCCCAGCUGCCCAAUGACGUCAUUAAAUAGCAAGGUAUCCAGAAAAUUACCACCCAAUUUGUUCAUGUCAUCCAGAGAUAUGUAGAAAUUGAAAUCCCCUAGGAAGAUCCAAUUAUCCUCGGCCUGGUAAGACAAGGGGUGGAGGAAGGUUGUGAGCGUGAUACUAAAGGGUGCUUGUGUUGGUGUGUGUGGGGGGGGGGGAGGAUGGGGAUAGUGUCGCAUCUCAAAUGAGCUAGUCCUCUCAUUUGACAACCUCAGCCAUCAUAUUUGGAUCCAGUGAUUGCUUUCUUUUCUAUCUCCUCUCAAUCUGCAUUUUGUCUUCCUUGUAACUUCUCAGUUCUCAUGACAUUCUCCCAUAACCAGCACUUCUCAGUUCUCACAACAUUUCCCCAUGACUAGCACCUCCCGUUGGGCAUCUCCUCCCAACCAGCCUAACGGUAUCCCUCAUUGUCCCACCUUCCAGCGUGUUGUCUGCAGUCGCUACUAGCUUAGGCUAGGUUGCAGCCCUAACUGAGCUUUCUUUAAAGACCAGGGGACUACCUCCAAAACACUAUAUUCCAAAGGAAAUUCACCGUGUUGUAUGUCAAUUGAAUCUUGCUUCACUUCCAGGAGAUUGAGAUACGAGAAGUAUUGUCAAAUUAAUCCAUUUUGAAUAGGGUUCGACGAAUAGUGACAUGAAGGGGGACUAUGCACAUGGUAGGGGCAAAGGAACUCACAAGCUUUGAUAUGAGGUAGGGUUCGACGAAUAGUGACAUGGAGGGGGACUAUGCACCUGGUAGGGGUAAAGGAACUCUCAAGCUUUGAGAUGAGGUAGGCUAAGGCAAGAGGCGGAGAGAGGGUGCGAGGGGUGCUUGCGAUUGUGUGGUGUGUGGGAGGAUGGGGGUUGGCACAUGUUGAGGAAGUUUUGUAUACAUGUUAUAAUUUGUUGGUUUGGGCCUUAGGUUUCUAUCCAAGAGCAACAAAAAAUUUUGAACAAACAUUUCAAAAAUAAAUUAAAUUUGAAUAACUCUGUCACACACAUAUAUCCCCGUUGAUCUUGGUGGUCACGAUAAACUAGCUAGCCAAGUCCACACAUGCUUUCUUUUGAAUCAUUUUAUAGCAUGGCAUAACAAAUAGCAUCAGAUUCAGACGACUACUCAAGCUGCAUUUCCGUAGCACGUUUAGUCAGGUACAUACGUACACACACACACACAGAUAUAUAGUAUAUAUAUGUAUUGGUUGUACAAAAAUAAAGAGGAAAAACGUUAUUAAUUACUUGAGCGAAGCCUAUCAUGCAUCCGCAGUAAAAAUGAAUGAUACAGAGACCAGCAAUAAGCAGAGUAACAAACGAUGGAGAAGCUGCUGAUGCCGAUGCUUAAUUGCAAGGUCUCAUGGUGACACUGACAUGCAUGAUACAAGAAAGGGAAUUGUCCGGCGUCGUCAAACUCGAUCUCUUGCAAGAGCAAGACAGAUACUAGAUAUAGCAAGCGCGUAGCAGGUAGUGAUCGAGCUUCUUAGAUGAGCUCCUCCUCCUUGUGCGUCUCGAUGACGACGUCGGAGGUGGGGUAGGCGUGGCAGGUGAGCACCCACCCGGCGGCGACCUGGCCGUCGUCGAGGAAGCUCUGGUCGGACUGGUCGACGGAGCCGGAGACGACCUUGCCGGCGCAGGAGGAGCAGGAGCCGGCGCGGCACGAGUAGGGCAGGUCGAUCCCAUCCUCCUCGGCCUGGUCGAGGAUGUAGACGUCGUCGGGCACCUGGAGCUCCACCUCGCCGUCGGGGGUGAUGAGCUUGACGUUGUAGGUGGCCUGCGCGCGCAGCCUGGCGCCGCGGGCGACCUUGGCCGGCAGCGCGACGGUGGCCGGCGCCGGCGCCGGGGCGGCGCGGACGGAGAAGGCCGGCGCGCGGAGGCUGCUGAGGGCGGUGGCCAUUAUUGUGCUUUGUGGUUGCUAGGUAGCUGCAGCAGCUGAAGCAAUGGAAGAAUCGGCCACACACACCUAGGGAUUAGGGAAGGAAUGAAGGAGCAAUGGAGGGGCGGGUGGCCGGCCAGCGAUUUAUCGAUAGAGAGGAAGGAGGGGGUGGGGUGCCACGUGGCGGGCGGCGAGUGGGCGGCUUAUCUGCGGCGGGAUCGCCGGAGCAAGGAGGUUCACACGCUGCUCAUCGUCAUCGAUGGGCGUGUGGAGGCCACGCAUACAGAUCGAGCAAGAACAUGUUGGUGCUCUGAGCUAGAACAGUGCAAUGUGCUACUGUCCACACAUUUGGCUGUGGUUGGUUUUUGGCCGGAUUGAGGUUUUAAGGUCACGGGAUCACUGCGAUGCAGAGGCCACUAGCUUGCUUGCGCCUUUGAUGGGUGGUUUGUGGCCAUCAUUGUUGGCAGAGUUCUUUGAUUGUGAACACACAUCUAAUAAAGUGCUAUCUAUCACACCAAUCAUCCUAACUUGUUUCUUCUAAACACAUUAAUUACAGAUGUACAGACACAUAUACAUGUACGCACAUACAGCUUCAUUAUCACAUAUUGGCAUGUCAAGUCUUGUGAUUGAAAAGGCCACGCUUGCCACAUUCCUAAAAUAAACUCAGUAAAAUGCAAGUAAAUCUGCUAAGCCUAGAAUUUAGAAUAGAAUUUAGCGGCAGCUGGUUAGACUCAUUGUGGUGGAACCUACCCAUCCGGAUUCGAUCCGUUAACUCGGCACAGGCGUUCAUAUUUUCUUGAAUUUAGGAAGAAAUUGAUACUAUACUUUCAGGGCUACGUGCUUGUCGAUAGUGAGUUGUUAGUCUAUCCAAGGUGCUCAUAAGGGUAGGAGUACAUGUGUAUAUAUGUAGAGGUAAGUAUGUGUGCGUGUAUGUGAGCAUUUGCAUCUGUACUUUACUAUUCGAAUUUUUUUUUUAUAGUCCAGCACGCUGAGGGGUGUUUCAACUCAAAUUUGAUGUUUAUUACGAUGUUGGGCUGGGGAAACGUGCUGCUUUCCUUUUGUGGGCUUUUAGUACUGGCAUCGGCGGCGGCGCGUGAAUGUCUAAUUAUUCAAAAAAUUAGACAUCACAUCCCAAAUGAUGGCCCAGCCCAGUACGUGCCUACCCGGCCUGUCAGUUUGAAGCCAAGCACGUAUGCAGUAUGAACGUGCUGGAUGCCAUUCCUGUCUGCUGCUGUUUGCUGCUGGUUCAGGUUGGAGGUUGUUGGUCAAUGAAAAUGAGAGACAACGCGGAGAAGAAAUCAACAACGCGUUAUGCAUUCGAUGGAUGCAUGUCGUCGUUCUUGUAAUUAACAUUGUUUGACUUGAUAUAAUUUUUGUAGCUUUUUUAAUAAUGAAUAGUAAUUCCAGCUUCGGUCCCCUUCGAAGAGGAGCUUCGGUCCAAAUUUAUUACAGAACGUAGCACACUGCUACUUGUCGGGAGGAGUUUCAGUCCAAAUUUAUUACACAACGUAGCACACUACUACUUAUCACAACAGGUUCAGACAAAUGUAAACCACUCAAAAAUCAGUUGUUAAAUUGAAGGACUAUCCAUUGGAACUAAAAAACGCAGUGCUGCCAUUUCCAAAGAACAACAUGCCAUUCACUGGAACUAAAGAAACGCAGUGCUGCUAUUUCCAAAGAACGGCAUGCCGAAACAACGGAUUCUUGGUCAUUCUCACUUUGCUGCAACUCGAGGCCAAUGCGUUCCCCUGAAUAGUACAUGAAAAAAAAAGUUUUCGGUCAGCAUUUAUAAAAACCACCUCAUUUCUAGUCAACCAUAUCGCCCAGCAUAAAGCUGCACUCCCCAUCAAUAAAUAAUGAUUUGGCUUGUGUCCCCCUUGUUUAGCCCAUUGGUUAAACAUAUUGCUUAUAUUCAUCGGUGGAGAUAAGCCAAAUACCAUAUGAACAGCACGUCGGAGAAGUUUGGCAUAAUGACACUUGAAGAAAACAUGGUCGAUGGACUCCACUGAACUACAAAAGCUACAAUAUUUGUUCCCAUUCCAAUUUCUCCGAGCAAGGUUAUCUUUUGUUAAAAUAACACCAUUUUUUAGAUACCACAUGAAGAUCUUAAAUCUUUAAAAGUAUUAUCAUAUGCCAAAUUUCCUAUGUGACUUUAAUCCCAUUACUGACGAGAUGUUUAUACAUAGAAUGUACAGUGAAUGAGCCAUUUUUAUGAAGGGACCAAUUAAAAGUAUCUCUCCCUUCGCAUAGGUUGACAUGUAUAAUUUUACCCACCAGGUUGUACCAUUCUAGUAGCUUAAUCCCCACUAGUGAUCUCCUGAAGGAAAUAUUUAGUGGUGUAGCAUAGAAGACAUCAGCCACUGUAGCAUGUUUCUUUCGCACUGUAUGGUACAAGUUAGGAUAUUGAGACUUUAAUGUCCUAUUUCCUAACCAUUAUCCCCCCCCCCAAAUCGGGUUUGUGCCCCAGGCAUAACCUUAAAGCGCCCCAAAUUGAGGAAGUCCUCCUUGACGCCCAUUAAACCCAUCCAAAACUGUGAAUCACCCGGUUUCUUAUAUACCUGGCCUAGAGGUUUAUUUCUAAGGUAUUUCUUCCUUAGUAAAUCCUGUCAAAUUCCCUCCUCAUUACAAAGUUUAAACAACCACUUGCUUAGUAGACAUCUAUUUUGUGUCUCUAAGUUCAUUAUCCCCAGGCCCCUAAUCCUUCGGGUGACAUAGUAAGUCCCAUUUCGCUACUCUAUAUUUUUUCCUGUGCUGAUCAUUCUGCCAAAAGAACCUUGACCUGAAGUGCUCUAUAUUUUUAGGACUCCCUUCGGGACCUCAAAAAAUGGCAACAUGAACAUGGGUAAGCUGAUUAAUACAAAGUUAAUCAGCACUAAUCAUCCCCCAACCGAGAACAUCUUUCCUUUCCAUCCACUAAGUCUUUUUUCAAAUCUACCUUCAAUAGUCCUCCAAUCCUUAUUACUUAGUUUUCUAAAGUGCAUUGGUAUGCCCAAAUAUCGAAAAGGGUAAGAGCCUAGUUUACAACCGAACAAAAGUGAGUAUGUAGACUCUUGCUCCCUUGCUUGUCCAAAGCAGAAGGUCUCAGUUUUAUGAAAAAUUAUUUUAAGACUACAUAAUUGUUCAAACAUACAUAAAAUCAGCUUCAUAUUUUUUACUUGUUCAAUAUCAUGGUCCAAAAAAAUCACCGUAUCAUCUGCAUAUUGCAAAAUCGAGAGCCCGUCUUCUAUUAAUUAAAUGUGGAACUACCCCUUUUACCUAUUCUUCAUUUUCAGCCCUUGCAAUGAUUAUCGCUAGCAUGUCCACCACUAUAUUAAAUAGUAUGGGAGACAGCGGAUCUCCUUGCAUGAGGCCUUUCCUUGUUUGGAAAAAAGGACCCAUCUGGUCAUUAACUUUAAUACCGACGUUCCCCCAUAGUGAAGGCUUUAAUCCAAUUACACCAUGUGGUUGAAAAAACCUUUCGUACUUAACGUUUGCUGUAAAAAUCCCAUUUCACCUUAUCAUAGGCUUUUUCAAAAUCUAUUUUAAACACUAUACCAUUUUGCUUCUUAGUAUGUAGCUCAUGCAAGGUUUCAUGUAAGAUGACAGCUCCUUCCAUUAUAUUUUUUCUUGGUAGGAAAGCUGUUUGUGACGGUCUAAUAAUCUUUUGUGCUACCUUGGACAUUCUGUUUGUGGCUACUUUUGUAAAAGUUUUGAAGCUCACAUUCAGUAGACAUAUUGGUAUGUACUGUUGAAUUUGCUUCGCUACACUACGCUUCACUAUAAUUUUUGUAGCUAGUUGUAGCAACCAAUUCCAUGCUUUUUUUAGUGCGUUGCUUGGCUAAAAAAGAGUGAGAUUUUCAGAACAGGUAUACACUACUAGCUACUCCCUCCAUUCCAAAUUGUAGGUCAUUUUGACUUUUCUAGAUUCAUAGAUAUUAUUAUGCAUAUAGACAUAAUUACGACGGUGAAAGCAUCUAUGCCCCUAAUUUGAGUUUUGGUAAUUAAUGACAACCUUCGUGGACUAACAAUUUCAUUGGAGAUAUGAGUUUAGGUUAGUCCCGGAAUUGAAUUGAGUUUCAAUGGAUGCUAUGGUGAUAGCUUGGAUGAGUUUACAAUAGAAAGCUUAAGGCAAAGGUAUAUGGUAGGGCUUUUCUAUUUUACCGGUCAAGAGGUGUUUAGUGGAUGAUAAUUGACCGGGUUAAUAGGCUAGAUAGCCCUACUAUCAAGAGGGGUCAAUUUUAUUUUCUUGACGGUUCAAUACUGCCACUUUGCUCAAACAAUUGCAUUGCAUGCAUAUAGGUCUAUCUUGUUUGAAAAGUGGGUAAAAUGAUGGUAAACAUAUGUUUUGAAAAUGGCUAACAUGAUGUGUAAGGAGGAUGGUCUCCUUUGUGAAGGCGGACCGUUAUUUGACUUUGCCAUAUCUUUGAAAUAGUUUUGUUGCACUAAAAAUCUAGAGGGCGGACGGUCCGACCCUGAGUAGGCAGACGGUCCGCCACAUGACUUGUUUUUAGAUAGAACCGGUUCUUGUUCUGGUGGGCGCAGGUUUAUAAAGGUGGACGUUCCACCCCCGGUUGGCGGACGGUCCACCACAUGAUCAGAAAUUUGUAUAGAACCAUUCUUGGUUCUGUGUGGGGCUGCGAUGUGAACGGCGGACGGUCCGGAUGUUGGUAUUUAGACCUGAUAACCUACCGAGGGGGGUGCCGAGGUAGUGUUUUAGUUAGUGGAGCUUGUCGAGAUCAGGAACUCGAAGGUAAACGCAGACACACGAUUUAGAUAGGUUCGAGCCACUAGAUUGCAUUGAAGGGGUCCCUACCUCACCUUAUAUUGCUGGGGGGUAGGGUUACAAGUCGGUUGGUUACAAGAAUACAGAGGAGUUCUACUCUUAUUACAACAAGUACUUUCCUAAUGCUCAACUAGUUCCUAUCUUUCCAUGUAGAGUACGUCGUCCUGCGUUAUGGUCUCCAUGUCAGAUGCGUCUCGGUGUCCAGCCCCAUAUUCAGGACUGUCCAAACCUACUGGUGGGCCCAUAGAUGCAUGUACGGCACCGGUCCCUAGGGGCGGACGGUCCGCCAGCUAACUUUGAGAGUUAGACAGAACCAUUUUAGUUCUGAGUGCUGGGCGAAGUUGUAAGGCAGACGGUCCGCCAGUUUUGGAUGGACGGUCUGCCGUACAAAUCUUCAUCAUGGACAUGUCUAGCAGCUCCCUGUGUGCUUGUAAAUUUGAACCGCAGAUGGUCCGCGCCUGUAAGGGUGGACGGUCCCCCUGUGCUGCAACUGUCAUUUCUAGCAUGCAUUUAUUGCGCUUGUAGCUAUUGGGAUGAACGGUGGACGGUCCACGCUCAUAGAGGCGCACGGUCUGCGAAUCCCCUGUUUUCAUGAGUUUUGAACAUAACGGCUAGAUUUGGGGAAGGCUCUAUGAAAGGAUCAUGCCCGGGCGUGGGAGAGCUCUCUUGGCACUUUGGAAAGAAUUCUUGACAUACUUGUGCCUUCUUCCUUCUCUCUCUUACUCACUUUGCUUAGAGGUUGAAUUCUUGUGAGAUUGAAAGUAUCCUAGUGCAUUGCAUCAAGAGUUUGAGCUUUGUGGCAUUAGGGAGUCUUCAAGCAAGCGUCAUCGACUUGUUACUCUUGGAUGUUGCUGCCUCCUAGACGGCUUGGAGAUUGUGGAGCCGUUGAGCCCUUCAAGAAGAUUGUGAAGGAGCCUCGGCUAUUCUUUCCUAGACGGCUUGGAGAUUGUGGAGCCGUUGAGCCCUUCAAGAAGAUUGUGAAGGAGCCUCGGCUAUUCUUGUGAGAGGUCCUUGUGCUUACCUCGUUGGAGUGGUGAAUAGCAACUCUAGUGGAAUCGAAGUUUUGUGAGAUUCUUUGAAUCAAGCCGGCUCAAGAUCAAGCGAAGUCUUAGUCGGUGUUUUAUACUCGUCAACCUACCGAGGGGUAUCCCGAGGUAGUAGAUUGGUUGGUGGGGGAUCGCCGGAUCUGGAACUCGAAGGUAAAAGCGAGGACACAAGACACAUAUUUAUACAUGUUCAGGCUACCAGAGUAGCGUAAUACCCUACGUCCUGUUUGGGGUGUUGUAUAUUGGGCCCUACGCUUGGGUGUUGUUUGAUGUGAGGAUUUGGUCCUCUAUUGUGGUUCUCUGAGGUCUUCGCCUACCGAUCUAGGCACCCCUACCCUCCUUUAUAUACUUAGGGGUGGGAUUACUAGUCGGUUACAAGGUAGGAGUCCUAGUAGGAUUACAAGGUAUGAGUCCUAGUAGGAUUAUAGAGGAAUCCUAGUAGGAGUCCGUCUUCUUCCUUCCUUGCAGGUACUAGGGAUCUAUCCCCGACAGUCUUGAUAGAGGAGCGGUUGAAACAUUGAAUCUACCUCAACGUGGAUUAGGAGUGACCGGCAAGUUAUCGACACCACGGGAUAAAUUCGUCUCUUGUCUUCGGUUAUUUCUUUGCUCAAUUUUCAUAUCGCAAUUUACUUUGAGGAAUUACAUUCCUAGAGAUUGAAUUGUAUCUCGUCACCCUAGGUUGCAAACCAGCACCUAGCUUUAAAAAAGAGUAGAAAUAUAAUUUCUCUUGUGUUACUAAUUAAAUUUAUUUAGUGUUGUGAUUUUAGUUAAAACUGUCUAUUCACCCUCCUUUAGUCGGUAUCCUAGAUCCUACAAACGGCCGAUUAUUAGAAACGACUGAAAAUUUGGAACAAUUUGGAACGAAGGAAGGAAGUAGAUCGAGAUCAAAACCGAUGUCACAUCUACAAAGUAGCUUGUCACCAUCCAAGCAGUGCUUGCUUUCUAUGCGGUUAAUUACGACGGCACGCAGAGAUAGAUAUUUGUUUCUAAAUUGAUCGAAAGAUAUCAUCACCGCCGAUUAUUAGAAGGUCUUAGUUGGAUUAAUAAUGAGUCUGUGUCUGUUUCAUGAGUUUUCACGGAUACCUAGUCCUACAACUCGAUCAAGCUGCAUGCGCAGCUGUCAAGCCCGGGACAGAUCAAUCCAGUGAUCGAUCGAUGGGCGCAUCAGAUAGAUCAAUCAUCAGGCAUAUGGAUGGAUGGAUUCCUUCCUCGUCAGGAUACUUCGUUUUCAGUUUGCCAUCUGUCGUGUUGCUUUUCAGACAGCAGUUGCAUGUAUCUUGUAAUUUGCUACUACUACCUCUCUCUCGAUCGUGUUGCUUCUCUACCAUCAUGUUCCCUCAUCCACAAGCAAAAUGGUCGAUGACUAGGUUGUUUCUUUCGUACAUAGUAAAGGACGAAGCCAAGAUAAAAAUGUUACUCCCUUCGUCCAUAAAUAUAUACAUAAAUAUAUACGAAGGUUAGAACAAAAUAGUAGUUAGUUAUACUUAAUAACAGCACCGAAAAUCUUUUAUUCAAUUACAAAAGUAGAGGAAAAAGCGCAAGGCAUUUUCACUUUCCCCCAAAUCCACUCAAUUUGGCCUGCACAAGAAAUAAAACACAUAUUGGCCUGCUUUAAGUAAUUUCUUGGCUGUAGCUUUGUUUCCACGCACAUGUCUCGUGCUCUACUACAUCGUUUAGUUAAUCAUACAAGAUAGCGUGUACGCAUACAGAGUAUAUAUUAAUCUGGUGUCUUUCUCUUCAGACAUGUCCGUAUAUAUUUUACUAUAUGGUAGUACGACAGCAAUAACAUACUAAUACUAUAUCGAUGCAUGGUUAGCUCCUGACUUGAGACAGUAGCAACUGAUUAUGCAUUAAAAAGAGUCUAAUUUAAUAAAGAAACAGAGAGAGAGAGAGAGAGAACUUUCCCGAGAACAGAUUAACAAUCUUUUGUACGUGACGUGAAGAUUGCUCCAACAAAGAUGGAAAUGGUCUCAGUCAAACCAUGCACGCUCUCUAUUUUUUUUUAAAUUGUUAUUAUAUUUUAGUGACAUCCAGUCAUGCUUCAGGUACACAUUGUGUAGCUCCUCUCUAAUUACCGUUAUUAGCUUCGAUAGAAUCCAGAUUUAUUUAACUAGGGUUAACUUUUAGAAAUGAAAAUGGUAAAAAUGUUGGGGCCAGAAAAUUUAUUAUCUGCAUUUUAAAUGGUGACAAAAUGUAUGCGCCGAUUCUCAGAAGGAAAUACGACGGGAGUAUAUGUUAUACCACCGCAGCAUAUAUCUAUUCCAAGGAAUAUUCCUGCCCAUCUUAGUGGUCAUCACUUGAUAAACUGAUAAUGAUGAUCUCCAAUGAAAUAAGGGUUAAUUAAGCACUUAAGAUCGAAUUAGGUCCAUAUAUAUUCGUACUUGUUGUAUUGGAUUUAAUCAUUUUUGCUUUGCUUAUAAGCAAGUCAAUUCGUUCUUGCCUUUUUCUUUUCUCUCCUUGUCCUGGACUCGUUGUCAGGGGAUCACAUAUGUGCAUGGCUGAUCUUCAGUCUCAGGAGAUGCUGAUGUGUCCAGUGUGCUCGCUCAUUCUUUAGACCAUCCAAGACAAUUGUCCGUCUCUAGAAAGGAGAACCUACCGUUUCUACUGUUCCCUUGGGCUAUUAAUGUUAGGCAAUUCUUUAUACUCCCUUCGUUCUAGUCGUUUUAGUAUUUUUAGUUUCAUCUAGAUAUAUGGGAUGUUUGGGGCUAAAUUUUAGUCGCUAUCACAUCGGAUGUUUGGACACUAAUUAGGAGUAUUAAACAUAGACUAAUUACAAAACUAAUUGCACAACCUCUAAGCUAAAAUGCGAGACGAAUCUAUUAAGCCUAAUUAGUCCAUGAUUUGAUAAUAUGGUGCUACAAAUAUGGUGCUACAGUAACCAUUCGCUAAUGAUGGAUUAAUUAGGCUUAAUAGAUUCGUCUCGCGAUUUAGCCUAGGGGUUCUGCUAUUAGUUUUGUAAUUAGCUCAUGUUUAGUCUUCCUAAUUAGCAUCCAAACAUCCGAUGUGACAGGGCUAAAGUUUAGCCCCUGUUUCCCAAACACCCUCAUAGUAUAUGUCUAGGUGCAUAAUAAUAUCUAUGAAUCUAGAAAAAUUAAAACGACCUACAAUUUGUAACGGAGGGAGUAGUAAAAGUCAAUCUCUGUAUUACUUUCUGAUAACGAUUAGUCUAAUUAUAUGCAUUUACUAUAUUCUUAUUUAUUUGAAGUGUAUUUAAUUUCUUAGCAAUUCAUAGUAUAUAAUUGAUGCUUAUCAUAUUUACCAUACCACCUUUUUUUUGUAAGAUUAUGUUGAUUUACGUUGCCACAGACAUUGGAAAUACUACCAUGCAUUUUAUAUUUGCUUUGCUGGGUUACGGAGCUACUUGAUUGUCAUCAUCCCGAUAAGUAUGUCCGCUGAUAAGAGAUGACGUUACGAGUGAACAGACCUUUGCUGUGGAAGCGAAAGAUACUCUUGCUUUUGCUGUAUUAUUGUGCUUUGAGUAUGGUUUUGUCACGCAAGACUCGCUGAUUGUUUGUGGUGUCUUGCUGAUCAAUCCCACGUUGACAUGCUGCAUAUCAUGCAAAUCAUGAAGCGACUCGAAUCUCAUUUCUCGGAAUUCAAGCCUACACACCUCCGUGAUAAUUUCAGAAAAACUAUCACAUGCGAAUUCCUAUCUCAGAUAGUAUAAAUUCAUACCAACAUAGAAAUAUAGAAUAGCAACAGAGUCACAGUAUCAUAAAUAUCGAGUACAUUACUUCGGCACAUACCAGUAUAAGUCCAUCAGGAAUGAAUCAUGAAAGGUAAAACAUCUACGCAGCGAAAAUAUGAGCUAUAGCGAGCAUCAUCUCCAGAGGCGACUUGAGCGAGGGACCAUCCCUAGUCUUCCCAUCCAUUAUUGUCAAAGUCGUAGUCGGGCUCUGACCCUGAAAUGCCACCAUCUACCCGAGAAGCGGGUAGGCCAUGUCAACUCCCAAUAGCAGAAAGCCAAGGAAUUGGGGAAUAAUACUAUAUGAUGCAACAGCAGUAGUCAAGGAUGCAUCAAAGCAAUACCAUCUCCGAGGUCAACACCUCACAUCAAGGAAGUCAUCAUAAAUCACUAGAUCCUUCACCCAACAAUCCAGCACCCAAACACACUAGGCAAUGUGAGAGCUUCCACCCUCCACAUCUCAACGGCAAAUGCAGUCUAUCUCAAAAAGGAAGGUGGAAGUAUAAUAUAAGUCUAGUCAGAAGCAACGGUAGUCAACAGUACUAUCCAUAACCAGUGCACACGGACUAUAACUAUAGAUUUAUAUACUUUGUAGAGGUUGUACACUGUACCUGCACGGAUGGAGCCUGAACAGUAGCGUCCAAACCCCACCUAACGGCCGGAGCCCUAAUAAGUGGAUAGUACUCUCCUGUUUCCUCGAGUCUAGAACCGUCCUCAACUGCAGGGCAUGCCGUCACCAGUUGAGGAUCUCGAAGCUAUGAAACCUACCAACGUCGGGGUGCAGUCUGGUAAGAGCAUGUCAACGCCUCGAACUCUUUACACUAAUCCUCCAAUCCGCCUACAGGCUGAGCAUCAAGCGGAGAUGGGUGGAGCGGCGUCGCUCGAGGUGAGCGCGGCUGUGGGCGCCCACGCACAUGGCAAGGGGAAAAGGGCUUCUGGAAGCCUCCCUUGCCUCGGUCGGGCCUGCUGACGGGAGAUGCGGCCGUGGGUGCGGCGUGCUGCUGGGCGCUCAUGUGGCGUGUUGCUGGGCAAGGAAAGAAUGGGGGAGGGAGAGAGCGGCCGGGCGCAAAGGAAAAAGCAGAGGAGCAGCGGUGUCCGUGCAGGGAGGAAGAAAAAGGAACAGGGCGAGAAAGAGACGGCCAGGUGGGGCCUUCUCGUCAGCGACUAAGGGGCGCUCGUGUGCAAAGUUAGUCAUACUAGGUUUUUAUAAUUAAGUUAGUUUUAGUUUGUAUUUUGAGUUAGAUUCAAAAUACAAACACACCUUUGAGAACCAAAUAAAAUCCAAAUCACUCGUGACAAGCAUGUUUUAAAUUUAAAUGCACAAAUUUAAUUACUAACUUUCAAAUUUAGGGAAAGAAAUGAGGGUUGACUUUAAGUUUGACCAUGUAAUUAUAUGAAACACACAUUUAAACAAAUUUUUUUAAAUUUUUGCAAAAACUGGCACAAUUAAUAACACUCAAUUUGUAAGGAUACUACAUAUCAACUCUGCAUGGGUGUAGUAUAAUUCCUGCAUUAUAUAUGUCAAAUGAUAUGAUGGUGCCUAUCCAGUAGCAUAGUAGUAUUACUCAUUCCAAUCCUAAAUAUACUAAAUAUAUGACGUUUAUGAUAAAUAAAUUACUUUCAUAUUCAUAGAGCGAUCAAUUGUUUGUCAAAAGGAUUGUCCCAGCGAAACAAAACACACGAUAUAUAUUUAUGAACGGAGGAAGUAUUAGUUUGUGUGAUUCUAAUCGUGUUGAAGUCAUGCAUGGAGAGAGAUGCAACAAGACGAGAAUACGAUCGAUUGGUUGGGGACACGUUGGGCAGGCAACAUCACAGGACGAUGCAUGAUUGGAGUAGCGCGAUGCUAAGCUGGUAGGGGUGUGACUUAAGUGGAUAAAGUUAGAUUAGUCAUAUUUGGUAAUAAUAUAUAGGCUUUGCAUUGCUUGAUAUACGAGCCGUCGUGUACGUGUGUGGUUAUUUUAUUUUUUUUGCUGGUGAUUUCUUAUAUAUGUUGCUUGGUAUACGUACGCUACAGCAUGUACAUGCAUGAUUGUUUGCUUUUGCUUGCUGGUUUGUUCCAAGAGGGCAAUCUAUGAUUGCUACUAAGCCUCUUUGUGAGAGACGGGACGUUGUAAACUUGACGUCACCAACACAGGGAGGGUUAGAUCGAGAAACAUGGACAGAUGGCGACACAAUCUAUUUUUUUUCCUUACUUUGAAAGCUGUAGAAAAUCUCAGGCCAUGCAUCCUUAGCUUCUUGAAAAGAAAACGGAGAUAAUUACGAGUUGUCAACCAUAACACAUGUAUGAGGCAUGAACGAGAGGACUGGUUUUGAAUUAGUCACUGAUAGGUUUUUUUUCCUAGCAUCAUUAAAUACAUAUUAGAAACGGAGAAAAAGGACCCAUUUAUUAUUUGUAAAUAGGUCACAAGCACAGCCUGCUCAGAACUGCACAUUUGUAAAUAGGUCACAAGUUCGCAACAGAGCAAAAGCUACAGCACAGAGUAUGGGCUGCUGCGGCAGCUGCUUGAGGCUAGCAGCCGAGCGGCUGGGCUGCCAGUUGCAGCUGCAGCCGCUAAAGGCUGUUCCGAGCAGGCUAGACUAUGAAAUGUCAACCGUCUCAUGGGUUGAAUAAAAUGACAAUAUGAGGAUUAGCAUGUUUGGUUGGUCCUAUCACCUUUUGAUGUAUUCGUGAGAUGUUAGAAACGUGUAUAUGUAGGGAAAACCAUACCAUUUUUGUUAUUUUGUUUGUGUGAAACGGAUGAUGUACUGUUGCGAUACUAUAAGGGCUUGUUUGGCUGCCGGGGCUAAAUUAUAGCACAUGUCACCUUAGAUGUUUGGAUACUAAUUAGGAGUAUUAAAUAUAGGUUAAUUAUAAAACUAAUUGCACAGAUGGAGGCUAAUUCGUGAAACGAAUCUAUUAAGCCUAAUUAGUCCAUGAUUUGACAAUGUGGUCCUACAGUAACCAUUUAAUGAUGAAUUAAUUAGGCUUAAUAGAUUCGUCUCGCGAAUUAGCCUAGGGUUUCUGCAAUUAGUUUUAUAAUUAGCUCAUGUUAAAUCCUCCUAAUUAGUAUCCGAACAUUCGAUGUGAUAAUGGCUAAACUUUAACCUCUAGUAUCAAACAGCCCUAAAUUGCAGUUUCAACAAGUUUUAGUUUGAUUUGGUCUGAGCAAUAGGAAAGUUGAAGUUAGGGUCAGGGUUGCCUACCAAGGUGAACAGACGCGGCACCAACCUCCUCCCCUCCAGUCGAGUCGGUGGUGAGGUGGGGAGGAGGACACCUUGACCUGACCGCGUCGGCGCACGCUUACCAUUUAUUGCUACUUCCUAAUUAUUUUGAUUUAUUUAUUUACUACAUAACUAACUAACUAAAUAAAUAUGCAUACUUGAGAAAAUAAGAAAAAAAAAUCAAAGGAAAGGGGGGAAUAGAUAGAAGAUAGUUGUGGGUGGGGCCCACCGAAGCACGAAGAAGUUAGUAGCGGCGACAAGGAGGAAUAAUAACAAGCAGGAGUAGUAGUAUUUCAAUUUCUUUUGGUCAGCCGUGGGUGGCGUCUUCUUCCCGUCCUCCUCCUCCCUGCGCUUCCCUCUUUCGCCGCCCCGCCGAGGAUUCCAGCGCCGCCGCUAAUUGCGAGAGCCCGCCGCGCACGCAGCCAACCAGCCCCCCGAGGAUUGGAUUCCGUUCCAAUUCCACCCGCGGGGGAAGACGAAGAGGACUUCCAUCGAUUCCACCGGUAAUAAUAAGGUAAGAAGCCAACGGCACUGCCCCUCCCCCCUCCUCCGCCAUGACCGGACCAUCCACCGGUACGGUGUGUGUCAUUGGAUUCCAUUCCCUUCGCCUGGGGUGGGGGCGUGAAUUUCUCUUGUCGUGUUGCCGUCCGCCUCGUUAAUCCCCCCAAAGAGCACAGCUGGGCCACCUCCCUUCCCCCCCUUUUUUAAAUUUGUUUUGUGCUUGUAUAAACUAGCAAAUACUAUUUGGAUCUUGUUUUCGAUUAUUGCUCGCUCCAGUCCGGGGGCAGGCAGGCGAGGCUGGCAGGUUGGCCCUUCUUCCACCUCCCUCCCUCCCUCUGCUGCUGCUUCCUUGGGUUGCUUGGAUUCAUCGCCACCACCUUCCUUGCUGCUGCUGCUGCUUUCGAUUUCAUAAAUCUCUACACCAGUAAAUAUCUACUUCUAAUCAUCAAGUCAAGGGGGUUCCCUCCCGGCGAUCGCCUGCACGGAUUUGCAAGAAUUCCCCAAUCGAUUUGGGAGUUGAUUCUUACUUGUUCUUGGUGACUAACCAAUAUGAAUGCGCUCCAAUUCAACUCUUCCGUCUUCUCCAAGUUUAAUUGACCGGGUCUGCUGCUGUUGCCGCCAGGUCAAGCAAGCAGCAGAUACAUAGGCGGGCGGGCGCGGGGGAUCUCAUCCCAUCUCAUCCGCUUCCGCUCAGGCUGGCUCUGAGCCCCGCGCCGAUUCGGUUCCACGCGCCCCAACAGAACCGAAUAUCACCAGCACCUGCAAGGGCAUGUGACAGCCGCCGCCGCAGCCGCAGGCAAUGUGCUCCGACAUGGAUCAGCACCACCACCACGCAACCAGGUACUACUACUGUCUCUGCCCUUCCUUCCAUUGGACUCCUCAGCCUCCUCUGGAUUGUAACCCAUUCAGAUUAACUAAUCUAGUCCUGUGCGCCACCUGCCUCAAUGUUUGACUCUGCUCCUGCUCAGCCAGGUGUAUUAUCAUGUUAGUUGGAUCUCUUUGCACAAUACUUACUCUCCCCUAGUAUGUUGCAGCACGAAUGCAUCGGUCACUUGUUUGUUUCUUUGCCAACCAGCUAAGCCUGCACUAGAGCUUUAUUUAGUUUUGGAUGGCCCAAUAGAUAGCACAGGUAUAUGCUGCCCCUGAAUUAUCAUCUUCUUUAUUCUUGCCCAACAAACAGGGAGGCUGCGUCGGAGGUUUUACAUGCUAAUGGUGACCAUCGCAGUCUGCAUGCACCACAUCAUCUCGGACAGAAUCAGCCUGGGGAUACCAAUAAUAACCAGCAUCCAUCCACAGAUGACUGUUUUACCUCCAAUGCUUCAUGGCACAGAAAUGGCGGGAUGAGCCGCAAUCCAUCUGCAUCUUCUGUUGACAACCACUCGGUCAAGUCUGGGGAUGAUUCUGAUGGGGCUGAGAGUACCAAAGGCAGUGAUACGGAGAUUUCACGCCUGCUAAACGAUACCAUCUGGAUGCCACCUGAGGCCGCAGAUAAGGAGGAUGAGGCCGAGAGCUUCGACGACGAUGAUUAUAGCGACGGGAUCAAGUGGGGCCACUCAAGUUUCCCGUCCCCUGGUAAGGAACAUGACGCCAGCCCGAGCAAUCCGAGGGAGGAGCGGGAGAAGGCGAUGCUAGAAGCUAUGAAUGGCCAGCUCAAGAUACUUGUAAGCCGCUUCCUGGCAUCUGCUGGCAUCUCUUCUUCCAAGGAAGAGGGUAGCGACAGUUGGCUUGACAUCGUCACCUCCCUAUCAUGGGAAGCAGCGCUACUUAUUAAACCUGACGGUACCAUGGGAAAGGACAUGGAUCCUGGAUCUUACAUCAAGGUCAAAUGCAUAGCAUCUGGUACUCGCCGGCAAAGGUGAAUACAAUUUUUCAGCUAACCCUUUGUUUUCAGACCAAUGGAGUUUCUAUUUUUGGUUCAACCUUCAAACUGUAUCCCUUCACCUGGCAAUGUACUGGUUGCAGUGAGGUGAUCAAGGGGUUAGUCUUCAAGAAGAAUGCUGCUCAUAAGCACAUGCCGACCAGUUACCACAGUCCUAGGCUUCUGCUUCUCAAAGGAGUCCUUGGGCAUUCUGAUGUCGGUUUGUCAUCAUUUAAUUCAAUGGAUCAGGUUGGACUUCACAUAUCUAUAUGCACACAAAUAGUAAACCUACUCUGUAUUGUUGCAUUGAGGGAUAACACAUUUCUAUUUUCUAUGCCUUCAAUAAUUAGGAAAAGGACCUUUUGGAGAGAGCUAUUGGUAAAAUGAUGGAGAUGUGCAGUCCUAAUGUUGUUAUGGUUGAGAAGACUGUUUCACGAAACAUACAAGAACUCCUUCUGAAAGAAGGCGUCACGCUAAUUCUUGAUAUGAAGCUCAACCGGCUAGAGAGAAUUGCACGUUGUACGGGUUCUCCCAUAAUCUCCUUUUCAGAAUUUUUAAACAAACCAAAGCUGAAGCAAUGUGACUACUUCCAUAUCGAGAAAUUUACUGAGGAGCAUAACACCACCAGUGAGGGUGGAAAGGUGCCAUCUAAAACAUUGAUGUUCUUGGAAGGCUUUCCAUGUCCAUUGGGCUGCACGGUAUGUAUAGUGUGCACUCAUCUUAUACUCAAUUCAGUACAUUCGAUGUGCACUGAUAACACUCAAUUGAUUAAAUAGCAAGUUCCAAACUGAUUAGUAUUUUACACAUUUUGGAUUGAUAUUUACAGUAACUGUGGUUUCUUUCUCGUUCAGAUAUUGCUCAAAGGAGCAAAUAGCGAAGAAUUGAAGAAAGUCAAGCAAGUCAUGCACUUCACAGUCUUUGCAGCAUACCACUUGAUCCUUGAAACUUCUUUCUUUGAAGAUCAAAGGGUUUUUCUUAAUGAUAAAAAUAUUCCAAAAGAAAACUCUGUUAGUUCUAUGGAAGGGCUAUCAACAACUGCUUUUGAUCUUGCUGCUCUUGGUGGUGCUAUCCCUAAUUUUCCUUCACAUGAUGACUCUCCAGCACUUCGAUUGUUCCAUCCCACUUCUAAUAGCUAUGUCGAUGUGAACAAAACUUUGAGAUCUCCAAGAAAUUUAGAUGCGCCGAGUUCAAUAACCAGCAGCUCUGAUCUUCAAGAAGGUGCAAGCAUCCGGUAUGACUCAAGUCCAUCCACUAAUUCUGAGAGGAUAGCAUCAGGAGUCCCAGGACCGCUGAGGAAAUUGUUUGCAGACAAUUUAUGUCACCAGAAUAUUUAUUUACCUGUUACGUCAUUGCAAGAGACAAAUGAUAAACAGAAAGAAGUCAGGGUUCAAUCCAGUCAAGAAACUCUUAGUAAUGGUUUUCAUACUCCAAAGGUGGAAGAGUCUGCGGUUUCCAGUGAAAAUGAGGAGUCCACAAAUGGUACCCAGAAACAAGAGAUUACUCAAGCAAUCAUGCAAACAGGUUCCUCUGCAAGUGAUAAAAGUGGAGAAUCACCUGCUACGGUAGAAAACGGAGCACAUAGCGGCACCAGUAUUGUUAUCAAAGAGAGAGAUGUUGAUGACGAUCAAGCUGAUGAAGCACUUGAUUCUCACAGCAUACUGAUUUUAAUGUCUAGCCAGUGCACAGAAAAGCAGAUUAUUUGUGAACAGAGCCAUUUAACCCGUAUAAAAUAUUAUGGGAAUUUUGAUGUGUCAUUGGGGCGGUAUUUGCAAGAUAUUUUGCAGAAUCAGGUAGCACUAUUUUCUUCGUUUUCUUUCAGUGUUUGCUCUUACGUGAAAUAGCCAUAUUUUGCGUUAGUAAUACAACUUGAUUGGUUUAAGAUUAAGACUCAGCUUGUUAAUUUUUUAUUCUAGCAGAAACUGAGCUGCUCCUCAUGUGGAGAGCCUCCAGAAUCUCACAUGUACUCCUACACUCAUCGAAAUGGAAAUUUGACCGUGCUAGUGAAGCGGCUUGAGCCCCAACACCAUUUGCCUGGCGAAUCUGAAGGAAAAAUAUGGAUGUGGACUAGGUGCUCAAGAUGUGAUCACGAACAUGGGAUAUCCAAAUCAACUCCAAGAGUAUUAAUAUCAGCUGAAGCGCGCAAUCUCUCAUUUGGGAAGUUCCUGGAACUUAGUUUUUCAAGCCAUUCUGCAGCCAGAAGGUUAUCCAUAUGUGGACAUUUGGUGAACAGGGAUUGCUUGCGCUUUUUUGGGUAUGCUACGCAUAUAUACAUUUUACACAUACAAAUGAUUUAAAUAGAACUAACUCCUUGCUAGCCUUUAGGCUGUAGCAUGGCAUUGCCAUGGAAACUAUUGUUUUUCCAGUGUGGUGAUGGAUACAUCUGGUUUUGAUUUCAGGUUGGGCUCUAGAGUUGCUAUGUUCCGGUAUUCAUCAGUUAAAAUUUACACUACCUGCAAACCACAACCCACUCUCCAGUUCAUCAACCCCAUCAGACAGGAUUGGUUCGAAGGGCAAAGGAGACAUGUAUGGCUUAUUCUCUUUACCAUUUCGUUUGUUAAUUAUCUUCAGUUCACGUGCAGUGGUGUCUAACUUUUAUACUGUAUCUUUCAAGGUUCAUGCUAGAGGUGUGACACUUUAUUCUAAGGUUGCAACCUUGCUACAAAAGUUGAAGAAUGAACAUUCUGAUGUGAUAAGAGUUGCAAUCAAUUGUGGCCUCUCACUCCCUAUUAAGGACUUUGCUGAACUCGAAGAGUUGUUGAUCAAAGAAAAGGCUAGCUUUGAGGUAGGUACCCUUGCAUUAAUUUCUGUUAUCAUAGGUCCUACAUAAUUGUUCUUUUCAUUACUGUUUAUUAGUUUGUCAAUAUCUGUAUCGUUAUGCAGGGUUCUCUGGACAAGGCCAUUGACCAAAAUGGGAGACCAUCCUCAUCUGUGCAAGAACUUUUGAAUAUAAAUUGGUCCUAUCAGGACCUUCUACUCAGACUUUACAUAUGGGACCGUCGUCUACAUCAGCUUUUCUACUGUAAAUCUGUUGGGCUAGAAACUGCUGCUAAUUGCAAGAACCCUGCUGAUAUUGUGAACGAGAUUUCUGAUGGCAACUUUGAAAUUGGUAAGAAAAUCAGUCGAUUCACAUAUAAUGAAACUAUGACAGCUUUUGUGGCAGCAAGGGUCACUGAGUCUGCAAGUAACAAACUUUACCUUGACCAUCAAUCAGGUGACACUGGAGCACCCUCGCUUGAUGGAAAUCUGGAAGCUGGGAACUCUGAACUUUCUUGCAAUGGAGGCAGUAAAGAUGAAGAAUCUUCCAUUGGUCCUAGUCAAAUAGAUGUAGAUAGCACAACAGAAGCCCCCAAAGUUCCUUGUUUUGAGAUAUCCAAUGAGAAGGGGGUCCAGAGAAAUGUUACAGUGGCAGACACAAUACCUGUGGAACAGGAGCCAUCUAGCAGUCCCCAACAGUUCAAAUAUCAAUAUUGGGAUAGCACAGAAAGGUGGAUUUGGAAUCCAAUUGAUGAAUCUCAAUUGGCUUAUAGGAAUGACAUUCAAGAUGGAUAUUUGGAUGAAUUUGAAAUCGUUAACCAUUAUAAACCAUCUUACCUGCCUCCCUUGUUUGAACAGCAAGACGAUGCAUACCCUCCGCAGUUCACAGUUGGUCCAGGUAGUAAUAUUCUGUGUGUACAGGAGGAUGAGAUAUCAAGCAUAAUAGCUCGUGCUCUUGCCAUGUCUGAUGAACGUCACCAUUUAAAAGAUUCCUCUUUCGAGAAUGAGAUGGAGAACUACAGGGGAGAGCAUGCUAGAACGAUGGAGAAAUCUUUUAGUUUUAUGUCUGCAAGUUCGUACAGCUCAUCACAAUGGUCAUCUACUGGAUCUCAAGAAUCUGAAGCUAGCUUGUCAUCUAUCUCGUCAAUUGCAUCUGACGAUUUCUCUGGUUAUGAUAGCUCAUCCUUAUUGUCUCCAGCACAUCCAGAAAUAACCGUCAACGGGAAAGUAACUUUCAGAGGCAAAUACUCGGUCACUAGUAUAUAUGCUAAUGAAUUCUAUGAAUUAAGAAAGAAGUGCUGCCCAUCUGAGCUUGCAUAUAUUACUUCUUUGAGCCGCUGUAAAAAGUGGGAUGCUCAAGGUGGAAAGAGCAAGGCAUUUUUUGCAAAGACAAUGGAUGACAGGUUUAUCAUUAAGCAAAUCAAGAAAACAGAGUUUGAAUCAUUUAUUGAAUUUGCUCCUCAUUACUUCCAGCAUGUUUUCCAUUCCCUGGACACUGGAAGCCAAACUUGUCUUGCUAAAAUAUUAGGAAUCUAUCAGGUAAUUUAUAUCAACAGCUCGAGCUUGAUUUCAGUUCAUCUUCCAGGCUUAUUUUUUUAUGUGGUCUCACUUGCCUUUUACAGGUUAAGCAUAUUAGGCAUGGCAAAGAGGUAAAGAUCGACCUGAUGGUGAUGGAGAAUCUUCUCUUUGGCCACAAUAUUUCACGGAUUUAUGACCUCAAAGGCGCUACUUUUUCACGUCGCGUUGCUGACUCAAAUGAUCAUGACACUGUUUACCUGGACCAAAACUAUGUUGAGGACAUGGGUGUUUCUCCAAUCUAUAUUGGUGGAAGAACAAAGCAUCUUUUGCAGCGUGCUAUCUGGAAUGACACGGCUUUUCUCACUGUAUGUAUAUCUUUGCCACAAAUCACUUGUAAUUAUGUUUUUUCAGCAAAAAUAUUUUUUUAACAUAGUUGUUGUGCUUGCAGUCGGUCAACGUCAUGGACUAUUCUCUUCUUGUUGGAGUGGAUAAACAAAAGCACGAACUUGUAUUUGGCAUCAUUGAUUAUCUGAGACAAUAUACUUGGGACAAACAACUGGAGACAUGGGUGAAGACUUCUCUGGUAGUACCCAAGAAUGUUUCACCAACCGUAAUUUCCCCCAGGGAGUACAAGAAAAGGUUUAGGAAGUUCAUGGCAAAGUACUUCCUCACAGUUCCAGACACUUGGAGUCCUGAUAUUCCUUCUAAGCAGUGCAAAUCCAUUGGUCAUAGCAAUCACAAGUCGGUAGAAGUCCAGAAUGGUGAUAGCCUGCUUCAGCAUCCAAAUGAGGCUGAGGCAUGUGCCUGAUCCUAUGCAGGACCUCCUGGCAGUUUUCUUGAAGCCUAUUCAGUUAUCAUUUGGCUAAUUUUUCAUUUUUGUAAAAUGGUGUACAUAGGAGGACCUCACUGUUGAUCUAUCCAAAAGUUUGCAGCUUUUAGGCAAAUUGUUGGGGCAUGUGAGGUCCACAAGACAUGUACCUAUACAAAUGUUCAUUGUUAAUUUCACAAUUAUUAUAGUGAAAUUAAAAAAAAUUCAUAUGAUCAUUUUUUGGACCCAUCACCUAAGAGUCUGAAGCAGUCUUCUGUCCAAGAUAGAAAUUUUCUAUCGCUGUUGAAUUAGAUCAAUUUGAGUACCAUUUUGUCCUAUUUACCUCAAUGUGGCUGCUGGCAUCUGGAAGGGGAGGAGCAGCAUAAUGCUCCUGAUCUUGCUGCACACGGUACAAUGUAGUUUUUCCUGUAUGCCCCCCUUCACUUUUUUUUGCUACUGUACAGUAUACAAGUUUGUCAGAACACCAGGUACGGUCCAUACUGCUAGCUAUUUUCUUUCAUAAAACGAAUUCUAUGGGUGAGAUUAAGUUGCUUGUUUGUUCUAUAUUCUGUCUUUUCCUGGAAUAUUACUGCGAUAUGUAUACUCCAAAACUGUUCUUAGAUCUUCAGAGAUAAAAAUUUAAUUUGGUUUUGUCCUGUUCAUUUUCAGACUUCUUCCCUGGGGAAAGUAGCUGCCUGGUGAUGUGCAUGGAGGAUAAUGUCCAGUUGGGGGUUAUAUUACUAUAAUCCUGAUCAAUGAGCUGAUGGCAAGAGCUUUUCAUGUGUGCCAAAACCUGCUUGAAGAAGUACCAAAACCUGCUUGAAAAAGUGAUCAUUGUGUCUGUUUCAGAAAGAGCCAUUGGAUUUGGUGGAUUGAUGAAGGUCAGCUUUUCCCAGCACAGGCGGCGUCCCAACCCCAAAGUGUGGAAUAUGGAUUGCGGUGCUGCUGCUUACCAUGAUGUAUCUUAUCUUUUUGGCUUUUUGGCUCUGGAAGGCACAGGUCAAUCAAUUUGGCAUUUCAACCGGUCGCAGAAGCUGAUUUUGGUUGGCUCACAAGAGGUCCACAAGGUGAUCAUCCUGUUCCAGUUCCAGAAGGCUGUUUCUCUCAUCAUCACAGAAAGCAAAUGGUGACUGUCUUCAGAGAUCAAAGAGAAGCAUCUCAAGACAAGAACCUCACGAAGGUCACAAAAGGUACCAUCUCUCUAGUUCCUUCCCUUGUUGUCUAUCUUAGCAACAUGAGCAAUCUUUACGCUACCAUUCAGCAUAUUCUUGAACUGUUGGGGCGAUAUGAUCCAUGAUAAUGAAAGCAUAAGCCUACCAUCGAAAACAAAAACAAGCAAAAAGAAUGACAACUAUAAAGGCUAAUUUCCCCUCUGUUUUUUUCCAUUCCUUUUUGUCUCCUAUGUCUAACAAGUUGGCCACAUCUCUAUAGCCCUUUUCCAGUUAUAGAAAAGGUACAAAGAGUUGGUUUUCCUUUUUCCGAGGUCUGAUUGGUGGCGCUUGCAGAUUCUCCUUUUCACCAUCAACUAUUAUAAUAUCUAAAAGAUAUGUUGUAUUAAAAAAUGCUAGAGAUAGAUAUGUUCUGGUUCUGGUUCUGAUUCUGGCAAAUAGGGGAACUAGGGAAGCAUACAAAUUAAAGACGAUCAUGAUUCGAUUCUGCAUGCACGAGUCAAGUAUGGACACCCUGACCCUACUAGAAUGGUAGCAGCUAGAGAGUAAACACAGCACAGCAGCGCACUCAAAUCGAACCAGAUGGAGAAGGAAAACAAGCAAACAAAAAAGCACCUUCCCUUGGGUUCCCUAGCUAGAAUUGUAGUUAGUCUUGUUGUAUCUACGGGCCGGUACUAGCAUACAAGAAGUGCUGAGCUGAACUUUUUUUUUGUUGUUUCAGGUAGCUAGCGAUGGCUGCAGAGGUCGGAGAGCAUCUUCCUGCCCUCGACGAUCUCGUCGAAGAAGUCGUCGAGCUCGACGAUGAGGCUCUCGGCUCCCGAUCGCAGCAUCCCAACCCAGCCAUUGAUGAUCUCGGCUCUCUGGGCGAUCUCGUCGUGGUCGCAGUAGCCCCCCAUGCGAACGACCCUGUCCAAAAGUCUUGCUUGAGGCUGUCGAUGGCUGCCCGGGCCUGGCGGAACUCGUACAUCAUGAUGCCUGCAGUAGAUGUAGAGUGGUGGUCGCCCACCACCCGCUGCAACCAAGGAUGGAGUCCCAUCUCCUGGGCGACGCGGUGUCGCAGGCGCGCCAUGGAGGCGACGUAGCCCGAGGUGGCGCGGAGGUGCUGGUGGGUGGCAGCAGCGGCAGCAGAAGAAGUGAGGAGGUCGGGGAGACAGGUGACGGUGCCGGAGAUGAGGAGGACGAGGAGGAAGGAGGUGGCGUUGCGGAGGGCGUAGAGGACUCCGCGGAACCCGUUGAAGGCGUUGAGCUUGAAGUCCCUUGGGGAGCGGGCGUCGAGGAGGAGGGAGGCCGGGUCGAGCCUUGCGUCGGCGAGGGCGCGGUUGUCCUGCUGGAGUCCGGCGGCGUGUCGCCUGGGUGCGUUGAUGGCGCGCAUGAGGUGGUGGUGGUGGUGGUGGUGGUGGUGGUGCGGUGCGGCGGAGGCGGAGUAGAGCGGCAGCCAGUCGUGGACGGCCGGGGCGACGCGGGCGGCGGAGGCGCAGUAUGCGUCGAGCGCGGAGGCGCCGGCACGGGCGAGCUGGCAGGCGUCCCAGAGGCGGGAGGUCUCGUCCAUGUACUCGUCCAGCCACCGCUCGCCGGGAGGGAGGUGGAGGCGCUGCACCACGUGGAGAAGCUGGGAGUGGAGGGAGCGGAGGAGGGAGGCGGCCUGCUGGAGGAAGGGAGCCGAGAGGCACGCGUGCGGGCUGCGGUGGAGGGCGUCGAGGCCGUGCGCCAUCGCCGAGUAGAACCCGCCGUGCGCCAUUGCUGCUGAUGGUGUCUGGUGGUGCUGGGAUGCUGGUGGAAGAACUGUGACAGCUGGUGUGCAUGGUGCUGGGCGCUGGGUUUUAUAGAUACUCCAUCCACAAUGGGAGUGGAAGGCCAAGGAAAAGAAGAGGAGGCCGUGUAAUGCCUCCUGCUAAUGAUGGGGUGUCUGAUGCGCAGGGGGAAGGAUGAUUGUUGAGGAGAUGAUGAAUCGGACUGAAUUCGAUCGAUCCAUCCUUCCUUUCCUCUGUUUCCUCAUGACUCCAUUACUACGAUGAGAUGAGAUGAAACGAGACAGGGGUCGCCGUGCUGCUUCUCCUCUGUCGGUCCAGGGGGUGGAUCAUCCACCCUUUGCUCUGUUUGCUCAUGCAUGCAAUGCAACGCCGUGUUGUGUUGGGUUUAGCUGGAAUGUCUGUACCAAGCCCAGAUUGUUCACCAAGUAGCUAGUAGGUGUAGGCAAUAAAACUCAUUAUUAUACAUCUUGGUCAUCUGAGUUUGUUGAGCGUUUAUGUUGUUGUUGAACAAAUACUCCUAAACUGUGGAUGCAUGCACAGCACAGAUGCUACUUGUAGGACAAACAAAGUUUCAAAGGCGGGCAGGGAGUCCAAGAGAUUUGUCUUUUCCAGCCUAGAGUCUAGAGCUACUAGAGUCCGGUAGAGGAAUGAGUGAUUGGGUAUAUUCAAGGUAGGAAGCAGGGGUGAUGGCGGCAGCAGCAGCCUAGCUGGAAUGAUGGGUCUCCUUGUACCCGUACAAAUCUCUCUGGCCGCUACAAGCGCCUCCCCGCCUUUUGAGGCAUCCCUCCCUCUUCACCCGGGACGGGGCCUCCCAGCAAUCAUGCCUGGAUAUGUGCCCGUGCCCUGCCUCCCCUUCUUCUCCUCCUUACUACUACUCUAAUGCCAAAGCUUCAAAUCUUCAGUUGCUCAUCGGCCGUCUAAUCGCACGAUCAAGGGCUCGGAUCAUCUCGAUUACAUAAUCAUUCCACGGUCGUCCCCAAUGAUGGUGGUUAAUUACUCCAAUUUUGUUGCCGCAACUAGAGUGCUUAAUUAGUCCAAAAUAAACUAGAGUAGGAUUCCAAGGAAAGGAACUGGUCCAAGUAGGAGUAAGACCUGUCUUAAUAGGAGUUUUGUAGGAGUGUCAUGAACAUUAAAUUUGUUGCCACAUCAGUAAAACUGUUGAUUUGGCAAGGUCAUCACGAAGGGAAGUUAGUUUCAUCCCCAUGAUACUCAACUGGCAUGGUUACCAAGUUCUCGAUCUUAGUAACUGACCUAAAUGUUAUGUUAACAAGAGCCUAGUGCCGCCUAGGUGCUCGUGGGGUUUGGGAGGACGAGAGAGGGAUUUGGAUUUGAUUGGGGAAAUCAAAGGGCAUGUAUGUUAGGUUGUUUGCCUUUGCCUUUGGCCCUCCCUCCCAAGCAAUGCAUGCAUGGUUAACAAAUAUAAUGCCAGUACUUAAUUAUCAACUACUAAUAUACUAUAGGAGUGUAGUAAGAUUGAUCAUCGAUGCAUGGAUCAUGUUUGAAUAUUUGUUACAUACUACCAGGCCAUCAGUCUCGUAAGUAGUACUACGUUGAAUGCCGAUCGAGACUGACUCUGACUGGACCAGAAUACAACAACACACUCUCUCGAUCACUCCACUAGAGGACAUGCAUGCAUGAUGCAUUGGAACGCCUUCAUGCAUGUAUAUAAACAAUAAUGCUCCUGCGUGGCCGUGGUUGACCGGUAGGCUCCACGCCACUCAUCACGCCGCCGGCCCUAGCUCGGAUGACCAUGAACAUAUGCUAAGAAUAUGGUAUUCCAAAUGAACCUAGCCAUAUGGCAAUUGAAAAACAAAUGGUUUAUGCUUUCAUUUGCAUUGCAGAAACAACACUUAGGACUACCACGCCAAUGUCUCUUUGGCCAAAUUAUCUUUAGUUAGAAUCACACCUUUCUUCAAGUACCAAAGGAAAAUUUUAAUCUUUAGAGGAAAUCUUAUCUUCCAAAGAUCACUUUUUCUUGGUAAAGCAUCUUUGUGUAUCAAUGCGGAAUACAUCGAAUGAACAGAAAAGAUGCCAUUCUUGUGCAAACCCCACCUAAAGAUAUCUUCCUCCUCGCAUUCAAACUAACAGCUACCACCUUGGAAACUAGUUCGUAUACCAUGCUGCUAGCUUGUCUCCUACUAAAGCUCAUCGAAAAGAAAUAUUGAACUUAGCACACUUGCCACUGUUACAAACUUUUUCCUCACAAUUCUGUACAGCAUAGGAUAAGCUAACGCCAAUGGUUUAUUUGUCACCAAUCCAAAUCCAAAGGUCCUCCCAAAAUCUAACAUCAAUGGUGUAUGGUACUCCUACUUGAUACCAAUGCAAGAGAGGCUAGAGAGCAACAUGCAUGCCACAAGGUAAUAAUGAUUUGUCAACGUACACUGCCAAAAACAGAGCAACAUAAAAGUCUGUUUCUGUUUGCGUGCAUGUGUGAGUAGUAAUCGGAUACCGUGGAUAGUGUACCACUCCACUGUAUGUGUUUAUCCGAUCUGGAACAGCCAGCGCAGCUUGGGGGCACUCAGUCGUCUAGUACUGGACUAUGAUGCCGUCACGGCGCUAUGUUCCGUAUUCCGCCAACAUUUAGCCCCUUGCAUAACUUCCAAGUUUACUGUGGACCGAGUAUGCAUAUUCCAUUUGUAUAAUUGAACAGCAGUGCCAUACGAAGAACACAUGGAUGCAUGGUAGAAAUUUCAGCAGUAUAAUAAUGAUGAUAUGCAUGAUAUAGGUAGGCCUGCAUGGUGUGUAGGUGUAGGGCGGCUGAUGGCUCUUGACCGAAAACUUUGGGAGGUGCUUCUGCUUGCACUACAGUAGUCUACAGAUAGACGAGGAGCCAGAGUCACGCGCAAGCAGCAGCCUUUGCUGUUGGUGCAGCGAGUGAGAUAUGAUACUCACACUCUCAGAGCAGAGAAGAGAAUCAUGGAUGCAACAGAAUAGAGUAGAGUAGAGUAGAGCUGCUAGCUGGCCAUGCAUAAGGCUGCAAUUGCAAUGUAGUACUGGUAUCAUGCUGCAUCAUCCAUCAGUCUUCGAUUGCAUAUUUGCAUUGCACCACCAUGAUCGAUCCACGUCAAUCAGGAUCGAUCAGCUGCCUGCCUUGCAAAUUACAAGCAGUCAAGCAUUGUAUUCAUCCAUGACCCUUUCAAUGAAGCAUAUACGAUGCGUUUUUUUUUUUCAAACCAUGUAUAUGAAACCGAAUUGAGUUCGAGUUUGAAACAAGAGGCGACCUAGUAUCACCUUUUGACGGCCAAGUUGGAAAGACCCUCCUACCUUCCCCCUCUAUAAGACUAUAAGAGUAAGUAGUAGACUGUAAAGAAAGAAAGAAGGAAAGAAAGAUUAAAGUUGGCGCGCUUUUUGCCUUCCUUCCCCGAGCCAACACAAGAGGCCCAUGGCCAUGGGCGGGGCGAAUCACUCAUCAUGCUGUCAUUUCUGCAGCGGCUCGUUGUUUUUUGCCCGCCGCCUGCUCCGAUCGAUUGCCAACUCGAAAUCCAGAAAAUGUGUUGCAUGGACAGGAGGCAGCAUCCAUGGAUUGCCAUGGAGGAUGGAGCCCCCCUGCUCCUGCUCCUGCUCCUGCUCUUGCCCUGCAAAAGCCAUCGAGUGCCAUGCGAGUAAGUCUUGUCCCGUUUCAAACGUCUCCAAGAAAUGGAAUCAAUCCUCUGCUUUCUGAAUAUUUUGCCGCCGCAGAUCAUCGUCUCGUCGAUGAGAUGCCGCCAAGGCUAGCUUGUCGACCACCAUCAUCAUCGUCCUGCUAAGGGGGUGUUUGGAUACGAGGUGUUAAACUUUAACAGUGUCACAUCGGAUGUUCGGAUGCUAAUUAGGAGAACUAAACAUGAGGUAAUUAUAAAACUAAUUGCAGAACCCUGUGCUAAUUCGCGAGACGAAUCUAUUAAGCCUAAUUAAUCCAUCAUUAGCAAUUGGUUACUGUAGCACCAUAUUGUCAAAUCAUGGACUAAUUAGGCUUAAUAGAUUCGUCUCGUGAAUUACACUCCAUCUGUGCAAUUAGUUUUGUAAUUAACCUAUGUUUAAUACUCCUAAUUAGCAUCCAAACAUCCGAUGUGACAGGUGUUAAACUUUAACACUUGAUUGCCAAACACGCCCUAAAAUUGCACCCGAAUAGCGGAAUAGGAGGAGGUCCAAUCAAUCUCGACGUACAGCUUUCUCAAUCAGUCCGGACAAGAAAAUGACAAAAUGUAAUCUGAUAUAACAUUAGAGUAAAAUUUGCAAAAAUAUAUACGGAUAAACUAAACUACACAACAGUAAACCACAUGUUUAAGGUGUUCAACAAGGUUGUAAAUAAAUAGCAUUGGUGGCGACAAAGAGCCAAGACAAACGAAAAAACAGAGCUGUAGGUAGUAGCUGUAGCAGCGGCUAUUCUUCGUAGCAUUUUUUAAUAUUAAAAUACCUAAAAGCAACAAAUAUAUGCACAAGAAGAGCCAAGAUAGAAAAAAAAAUUACUUUAGAACCACUAAUCCCUUUCUUCCCUUCCAUAUCGGGAGGCUCUCGAUUUAAGCUAGAUCGAUCGAGAGCUCUCUCGUUUUAGUUUUUUUCGAAAGAAAAAAUGCCAGGAAAAAUGACAAGUAACAAAUUGGUACGAGGAAAUAACAAAAUCGAGUCACCAACUCCGGCGACGACUCCCACUCUGGCGAGCUCCGAUUCGGGUUAGGGUUUGGGGAUUAGGGUUAGGGUUUCAGGGUUUGGGGUUGGGGAGGGGAUAAUUUGUGCCUACGGGGUUAGAGGGAUGGCUAGGGAGGCGGCCGGCCCGGCGGAGCUGGUGGGGUGUGGGCGGUGGUGGCGCCGCCGGCCGGGUGGUGGAGAACAUCCGAUGGCCUGUGUAUGCGACGGGGGUGAGGAAGAGGAGUGGUUAGGAUGGGCGGGGGAGAGGGUGGGGUAGGAGGUGGGCGGAACGACACGGCGGUGGAGGCCGGUGGACUGGCGGUCUUAGGGCAGAGACGAAGAAGAUGGCGGCGAAGUACGGAUUCGGACAAAGGGGAGGAGGAGGGGAGGAUGAAAGGCAGGAGCCCGCGAAGACGGAGGGUAGCGUCUAGGAUCAGCGAAGAGCGGUUGGGGGCGUGCAAGCGAAGCUGCAGUCAAGCGUGCAGUCGCGAGGAAGACGAAGAGGAUAAGGCAUUAGGCUUGGACGGUGGUAGAUAGCAUGUGGGUGGGCCAGGGGUUCUCCACCUAUUUCUAGCUGGAGAGCUCUCUUUGUUUAAUCGCCUCCUUUUUCUUUCUAUCUCUUUCUUCCCUUCCAUAUCUCGAUUUAAGCUAGAUUGAGAGCUCUCUCGUUUUAGAUUUUUCGUUUAUCUUAUGUGACAAGUUUGGUUUUGUCCUCUAAUCCUUAUAUGUUGAUGAGUAUUAAGGAUUGGAUUCAUUCUAUUUCAUUAUAUGCAUCAUUUUUGUUGUUUUUUGUUUUCAUUUGGAGAUGGAUCUAAUAUCCUAGUAGCUAUCUAAAAUGCCUUGUCGAUUUCUAAGAUAAAAGUAUGUUUUGGAACAAUAGAUCAGAAUCGAAGCUUUACAUGUGCACUUGGGGGGAGAAAAGGCUGUGUAUUUUUGUUAAAAACCCUUUGAUGUGAAGGCAUACCAUACAAGCGCUCGUGGCCUAAUGGAUAAGGCAUUUGACUUCUAAUCAAAGGAUUGUGGGUUCGAGUCCCACCGAGCGUGCGUUUCUUUUUUUUCUUGUUUUCCUUUUCCCCCCGUUCUCUGCUUUUAAACAAGCCUUACCCUGUUUCUUCGAAAUUACAGCAGCACAUAUAUCUGUAACGGGGAUUCGGACUCUUUUUUUAAAAAAAAAGUUUCUGCUAAGGGGUUUUUUUUGAUCCCGGGCUAAAUUUUAGUCCCUAUCACAUCGAAUAUUUAGACACUAAUUAGGAGUAUUAAACAUAGGCUAAUUACAAAACCAAUUUCACAACCACUAGGUUAAAUCGCGAGACGAAUCUAUUAAACCUAAUUAGUCCAUGAUUUGACAAUAUGGUGCUACAGUAAAUAUUCGCUAAUGAUGGAUUAAUUAGGCUUAAUAGAUUCGUCUCGCGAUUUAGCCUAGGGAUUCUGAAAUUAGUUUUGUAAUUAGCUCAUAUUUAGUCCUCCUAAUUAGCAUCCGAAUAUCCAAUGUGACACGGACUAAACUUUAGCUCAGGAUACAAACACCCCCUAACAUGUUAGCCCGAUAAGGAGGAGAUAGCUGGACCUGGAUGAAUCCCUGUGAUUUGAUAGCAUUUCGUAUAAGAUGUCAAUUUUUUUUAUUUAAGCAAUACAGACGAAAGAUUUCACAUCGGAAUCUGACAGCAAAAUGAUUUCAGAUUUGUACGAAAAAGGAUGAACGCAACAGUAGUGCUAAUAAUGACAGCACCAAAAUCUGGGUGACCAAAUUUAUCAUCGUCAUCAAGACCAAAAAGAAAGACAAAGAAUCAGCAACCUUUUUACGAAGCUCUACACCAACUCGACUGGAACUUUUGCCAUUUCGGUUCUCUACUAUGUGCCAAAAAGCUCCUGAUGAUCCGUGCUGAAACGGCUGUUAGAUCAGAUGUAAGUAUGCUGGUUUAUUCCUUCCUAGUAAAUAUCGAAUCGACAUCGGCAGCUGCUGCUAAAUCUUGUCGCCUUGCUUCUCGCCGGUGAGCGGCAGCAUCUCCAUGCGGCCCCUGGGCGUGCGCGGGCCUGGCGUGGUGGCGGCCUGCUGUGAGAUGAGGUGCCUCACGUAGCCGUAGAAGGUGCAGCCGACGAGCGUGAUGGCGCAGCCGACGGCGUUCAUGGCCGAGAUGGGGUUCCGGAAGAUCAUCCACGACACCAGCACCGCCACCGCCACCUUGAGGUUGCCGGCCACGUUGAAGGUCACGGCCGUCGUCGAGUGGAUCACGUAGAAGAUGGAGAAGUUGAGGCAGAAGGCCAGCACCCCUGACGUGAUGAUGAUCGCCAGCGCUGGGGCCACGGAGUCGUAGGUGUAGAGCCAGCUCACCACGCCGCUGCCUUCAAGCACGAUUGCUGGAACCGACAGGAUCAUCGUCGCAAAUGGCGCCAUGUAGUACACCGUGUUUAUGCUGCACAUAGAAACAGUAGAAUUGUUCAUACCAAAUGUCAGGUGCCAAUCUAUAAACAAAGAUCCUCUUAUACCUGUCGAACUUGUAUCCAUGGAGCAGGGACUCUGCCAUGAUGGUCUUUGUGGAAGUGGCCAGGCAGCCCACCAUGGCAGCACAAAAGCCAAACGUGUUGAAGCUCAGCUCGGUUAUGGAUGUCAGCAGAAUCCCUCCCACUAUUGGGACCAAAGAAGCCCAGAUGCGCCACUCGAAAUAUUUCCUCCAGAUCAACCACUGAAGAAUCACUGUCACAGUGGAAGAGAUCGGUCAGAAAUUAUUAUUCUACUACUGACAUUGUGGAAAUACUAACACAGGAAAACAAAGGAUGACAAGAUCAGAUCGCUAACCCGUUGUUGCAGGAGUGAAAGAUUUUAUCGUCUGCAUGAAGGAGACUGGAAUGUAGCGAAGGCUGACAUUCCCCAACACGAUGUUUAUGCAGAAUACAAAUGACAUUGGGAAUAUCCUUCUCCAUCGAUCCUCUGAGGCAACCUCGAUCAGAGGCUUUGUUUUCAGAACUUUGAUUGCGAUAUAAGCUCCAAUAGAAGAGCAUAUGAAGUGGACACACGACACCGUCAGAGGAAAUUUGAACUCCAAUUUCUGCCAAAUUUAAAGUCAAAAAUCAUCAAGUUGAUGCCUUUAUCUUUAUGCCAAGCAAGUCGCAACAACCCCUUUUUCAACAUCCAAGCAACGAAAGUCAAUUCAAAUAGAUGAAAAGGGAGAAACGGAAAGCUUCUUCUUUAAGGUUCUCUCCGACAGAAAGCACACUACCACAUGCUAGCAGAUGGUUUCUUAAAGAACACUGCAAGCAGUGCUACUAGCAUGUUUCUAAUAUCUAGGCACAUAUAUUUUGACAGUUGUGCUAGUUUACAAGACAAAUUAUUUGAUAAAUAAAGAAUCAAUAUAUAUCACUACAAAGAUAGCGUGUCAAGUCAAGAGAGAAGGAAAAUAUUUUUCAAGCUCCUCUUAAAGAAACAAUCUCGGGCAGAAGCAGCCUGAAGGGAAAUGUUUGGGUCCUAACUAUCUUCAGGGCAUUUGUACUAAACCUGCUGAAAGUCAAAGGUGAUCCUGGACGGUUACACUCCAUCAAACCAAGAGUCAGAAUAGGAACCUUGCUGCUCAUUCUAACAACUUUUAGUAAACCACAAUCUUGAGGAACAUGCAGGAUUGCAGACUUCACUACCUGGUUGUGGCCUACUAAAUUGCAUGACUGCACAGAGGUGCAAUUUGGAUUCGUGCUAUUGAUAACCGUGCACUCCUUUUACUUUUUCCCUUUGUAUUUUGUUUAUGAAACAAAAAUGUCAGGAUAAGUUUCAUAAAAAAAGUCAAGAUACAUAUACGAACAGAGGUAGCACUAUGGUUUUCAUUUAUUCAUAAAUUUUAUUGCACAGAUGCUGUUUCUAGGACCAACAUAACUACAAUUAACUCCAGAGAUGCUGUUUCCAGGAUCUUAUUUUUCCAGCUGUACUUAUUUUUUUAGAGGAAUUCUUUUAAAAGGAUUCAGCUGUACUUUAUGCUAGCAUGAUCGUCAAAAAGGAAAAGGGCUCUCCUUCGAGUCAUUUUCCCUGCACGGCGUUUACACACUAUUGUUCUCAGUUAACCCCGAAAUCCAUAAACAGAAUUCCGUAAUUGCCACCAAUAGACAAAAAAAGAAAAAAUCUACUGUUCUUCAUCAUAAAAAUCCCGAACCUAACUGCAAGUAACCGAGUGGAGCAAUUUUCAGGUGUAAAGACUGUAUCUUUUUUUCUUUCUGUGAAAACACUAGACAACACCAGUAUUGAAGAAUCAUCUGCACCUAUGGAAAUAAGCAAAGAAAAUAAAAGGACAAUCUUUUGGUCCUAUACUCAUGGAUCAGCCCCUGAAUUCGCUUUUAAUGAAUAUUAUAGACAAAGGAAUAUAUCCGGGAAUUGAGAUAAAAAAAACAAACAACAACAAGGUUGAAUGAAUCAAUCGAUCAAUAUUUAGAAGAAGAGUAUUGGGCUGGUUGACCGACCUGGAAGAUCCACUUGUUGAUGAUGAUGACGGUGACGUUGAAGCCCCACCACUGGAGGAUGGCGAGCACCGCCCGGAUGGUGGUGGCGUUCCCCAUCUUGCCGUCCUCCAUGGAAGGAUUGCUUCUUGGGCUUGCCGGCCGGUGCCUCUCUGUUUCUCUCCUCUAUCUAGUAUUAAUUGAUCAAUCCGACACGAGAAACUCCUCCGCCCAGUGAUCUAUCGUCCAUUAAGGAAGGCUCCUAUCUUGUAGAAGGUUCUCGGAGAGAGAAGGGCGUGACGGUGGUGGUGACUGGUGGCUUAGAAUAGAUGGAGGAUAGGAGGUGAGAUGAGGAAGAGAAGAGGGAGGGGGGCGGGGAAGGCAGGGCAGGACGGAGGAGGAAGACGAUCGGAGGGAAAGGGAAGGGAUAUUCUGUUGGUUCGUUCGUUUUAGGUUGGGAAUUCAGUUGGUGUGAUGUGAUUUCUCAAAGCAUCGGGAAUCGAAAGAGUCAGAUGAUGGUGGUGCUGGCUUUUGCCACGCGUUACGUGUGCCCCUGCUCCUGCCUCUCUCUGUUUUUUUUUAACUAGUAAGUAUUUGAUGAUAAUUCUGAUACAGACGGGAAGUGUUUUCUUCAAUUCAAUUCAUCGUUGAGGCGUCUCCAAACUGAUUUUAUAUAUCCAAAUAAUUCAGUUGCCUCGUCUUGGAAAGGAAAUUAAACAUGAUCUCUCCUGUUUCUGCUUCCCAUGCAUGAAAAUCCCCGUAGAAAUCCUAUCUCGCGGUCCAGUAACGGCCCAGGGUUUUCAGCCAGAUAUCACGUAGAUAGAAAGAUCCUUUUUACGGGAAACCACGUAGAAAGUGAACAGUUACAGAUAUAUACAAGGGGAAAAAGGCCAGCGUUCCUUUUAGCUUCUGGAUCCUGACCUGACGUCCUGACCUGAAUUCAGAUCGACGUGGAUGUUGCGUAAGUGCAUACUAUUAUAUUAUGCAGUGCUUUAGAAUGUAGAUGGUUGACGAAGAAAUGGUUUCUGUCCCUGUUGUUGUAAGGAAGGCGACAUCAAGUAGGUACAGCAGGCACUUGCUCCAUUAGGAGUUAGGACGACUACACACAUGCACACACAUGGGACACACCCAGCUUUUCUCCCUAAGUACCAUCAAGCUUAUCAAGAAAUGAUUCAAACUCCCUCCCUAUUGUCUAACAAAUUUAGGCACCACAUCAAGUACAUUGCAUUGACACCAGGGGAAUACAUACAGUACAAACAUUUUCUCCCCAGCACAUAAAAGACGACGAUGGUUGUUUCCAUCAAUGUCUUCCAAGUUCCUAACCAUUCAGCCGGAUAUAUAGGAGAAAGGAGACCCCAGCUUCAGCCUUCUGCAGAGUCUUCAGGGUUAGGUACAUAGGUUACCAAGCCAUCACAAUUCACACACAAGAUGAAGGUGUUGCUGUACCACUUAUGGAUUCAGCUGGCGACAUAUCAUCCACAAACCUCCACAAGCAUCAACCACAGCCUAUGCAAAAUCAUAUAAAUACACACGUUUUGUCCAACAAAAGAAACGGUGAGCAACAUGUACAAAACAAACAUGUCAACAACAAGGGUGUCAGGUGCUGCCACAAGGUAAUGGAAGGCGCACACACACACACACACACAACAUCACAGCAAAACAACAACCACCUACUCAGAAUAACCAAAAGAAUUCAAUUCAGAAAAAAGAGAACAGAACAGGGAAUCAACAUUUCAUCUCCAGCUACAUACGCUGCCAUCUCAUCUUCACCAGCCAACAAGCUGUCUUCCUGUGUAUACACAACCCAUUAUUCAAGCUGUCAGAGUAAUGUAUACCCCUUUAGAGGGACCAAAGAAUCCUUUCCUUUCUUUCACCCUAAGCCUGUGAAAGCACCACCUCUCAAGCUGAUCCACGCUGCUGCUGCUCUUCUGUUACUUAGUCUCUGGAGCACCACUUGCCACCACCUUCGACCUUUUGGCACCAGGAACAUGCAUGACAGUCUCCAGGACCGACUUCUCAUACUUCUGCAUUGCAUCCAUCGACCUUCGCGCACUACACGAUGUGCAGUACCACGAACCUUUUGGGAUAUCAAUGCGCGGCGGAUUCAUGCAGUAUAUGUGAUAAGCAUCAUCGCAGCCAUCACACAAGACCGUCCAUUCGUCGUCCUUGGCCUUGAAGCAGCCUCUGCACAGGCAAGAUGGGCAGUACCAGCAUGCUCGGUUCUUUUGCUUCUGAAUUGCAAUCUGGCUUUCUUUCAGGCACAGAACAUGAUAGAACUUGUAAGCACAGUAAGGAUGGCCGCAUACCAAGAACUUCUUGUCUUCAUCUUCACAUGUGCCACAAUGCUUGCACAAGUUUGAUAGCGCAGUAGUUGAGAGGUCUGGUUCACUAUCUCCAUCCAUGCUUGAGACUGAGCUCUCCUGUGUUUUGACUGCCAACUCAGUUCUACUAACAUCCUCAGGAUUUUCUUCUGGCACCUUGACCUCAAGCCAUUCGCAUACAUCGCAAUCUUCAUGCGAUCUGCCAUUGUUGUUAUUCUUUAUAGCUGCAUCUAAUUCAUUGCAGGUGGGACAGAACCAUUUUGCUGGGACAUCAUCAAUGGCAGGCUUGAGACAUGAAACAUGGAAGGCGGCUUCACAUCUAUCACAGAUAAUUCUGCCUUCGCUGUCUGCCUUUCUGCCACAAUCCUUGCAAAUUCCAUCCAAUCCAGAUGUCCCACUUCGUUUUGGUAUGGUAGAAUGGCCAGAAUCACAUGGGGGAGUCGACUCCCUCAGGGUUUUGUGGGCAACACCAACCAAACUUGUUUCCUAAUGAAGAAUGCAAUUAGUAACAGAAUUUUACAAAUACUAACAAUGAAACAUUGGUUAGCAGACAUGCUCAUAGCACACCACUCACCUCUAUCUUGUGCUCGGUCAUAUCAAUUUCUGAAACGCCAGAAGCCUACAAAGAAUAUUUCUAUUAGCAAUGGCCAGCAUGAAAGGAGUGAUUUCAACAAUAUGAUAGUGUCUCUCGAGUCAAAAUCCAUCCAUCUCGGAGCUAGCACCAUCAUUUAUCACUAACAAAAAACUAACAGCUUACCUGCUUUUGACAAGAAGCUUGUGAAAUGACUGAAAGACUGCUCGCCAGACCAACCAUUUCUUGGCCAACUUGUUCAAACUUCUUCCAUAUCUGCAUAAUAAACAAAUAUAAAUACAUAGUAAAAGAAGUGUUGAUGAUAUGUUCCCACCUGAAUGUUUAAGGUAACUUCUAAGGAUGUUUGGUACAUGGAUACAACAAACAAACAAAACUACAGUUGAGAAAAAUGAAAAACAAAUAUAAGAGAACAGCUUUGGCCUUUGAGAUACAUAGGAGGUACUAACAUGUAAACAAAUCUAAUCAUUCAUCACUUGCCCCCAAAAACAUUAAGGGUGUGAUUGGUUUCGUAUCACAGUAUCCUGGCUCGCACCACGCAUGCAGGCCUGUGCUGGCCAGGCCUGCCAGAUGCAGCCGGUUUUUGUUUGCUUGCCUGCACCCAGACAGCCAGGACAGGUUCAGAGCCUGAUUGGAUACCCACACCCAGCCAUUAGCCAAUCCGAUUUUUCUCACUGCACUCUUGGCCCGCGCGCUCGCCUGCACCACGUGAGCCAGGCCCGCGGGAAACGCCCGCUCGCCACGUUUCUUCGAGCCAGGCUCUAGCCUCCUUUUUGCAUCCAUGGAGCCUGGCUCCGGGGCCUACACAGGCAACCAAUCAGUCUCCCCUGCAUCCACAGAGCCUGACCGGGGAGCAUGCGGGCAACCAAUCAGCACUUAAGGUCACGUUCCCCCUUUUGCCUUCUUCCAUUUAAGAAAAGAAGUGAACAAGGUAAAUAAAACCUUCCUCACAAUACAUGGUUUAAAUCUACUUAUUGAGCACUAGUGCACAGCAGCAUGCUACAGCCCAUGUUAGAUUUAUGUGCAUUCAUUAAUGCCAUCCGCUGAUGGGUCAAGGUCAAGCUUGCGCCUUGUGGUCCACAUAAAGUGAGAGGCCCAAGGGAAUCGGCAAGGCGACGCUUCAGGGCAGUGGAUGAUGUGGGUGGAGAGAAACAUAGCAUGAAUUCAUGAAGACAGGGCAGCAGAUCCCUUCCCACGAAAAACAGAUAUUAGGUGUCCUUCGUAGGAAAGGAGGCACUACAUCUCAGAGUUGCCUUGAGUCAGUAGAGAAACAUGGCUAUGUGGUUAGCCAGUCACAUAUAUGCUGUUUUGGUUGAGCACACCUAUUCCAGCUACAAUGGCGUAGGAAAAACAUGCACCCUUCUUCCCAUGAUUCUAUUGUUUAAAACUUGGAUUUUCAGAAGAAUUUCGAAGGGGCAACCAAUGUGCUGGAAAACAGGACCGAACAGGCCACCAACAUGGAAAGAAUCAUUCCAUCUACUACGACAUUUUAAAUCUAUGUGAUCAAACAGACAAGUGACGGGUAAGAUAUUGAAAUCUUGAGCGUUAAAAGAACCUUGGCUCCGAAAAAUAAGUGCAGCUACAUCUUUAUCUAUAUCAGAGGAAACAGUACCCAAUAAAAAUGAAGGAAUGCAUGAAACAAAAAAACAGGUACCUGUUUGAUAUCAUGGUCAAGCAGCGCAGGAUUCUGUGCAUAAUCUCCAUUUUUCAUCUUGGCAUCAAUUUUUUGCAAGCCAAUCACAUCUUCAUCAGGCUUAUUGACAUUGAAAGUUGCAAGUAGCAAAUCACAGAACAAGGCAAACUUCUCAGAGACUAGAAUGUCAAAGAGAGCAUUAUGGCAGAUUGCCUUGUUGGCUUCCAAUGAUGCUGCAGUUCCAUCUUCUAACUUAACUAAGGCGCCAUUGUUUGCAGCUGCAUCUUCUGCCUUAACCAAGGCACCAUUAUUCUCUAUGGCAUGUACCACUCCACUUGGGUCCUCUCUGCCUUGGCCCUCACCUAGGCUCCCCUGGUAGAUACAGAAAAACAAAAGAGAAGCUUUUGUUAGGGAAGAAGGAAACGAAGGUACUCGUUAACCAAGUUUGUUCAAUCUGAAGAACGGGAUUACUGACAUUUUCCAGGGGCUGGCAGCUAUUAUGUCUGAGUGCAUCACGAAUGCAGCUCUGAAUCCCUCCAGAGCCCUGGCUCACCGCAGGGGAUUGCAGGAGGCCCUCCAGCGUGUCCCUCCAGCUUCUCCAGUGCCUGGCGAGCAUCCGGUAGGCACCUUGCUGAGAAUUGCUGGCGUGGGGCACCAUGCUCAUCUGAUUCUGCGCGGGAAGAAAGCAGAUAAAUCUUGGGAAGCACAAGCCAUGGCUGCAAGAGGAGGACAGAGAAUUCCAGGACAACCUAGCCUAGACCAAGAAUUGCUACAUGAAAAGGGAAUCUUGGAAACGAAAUCUUGCGGCAUAGGGUAGAAACGAAAUCUUGGCGGGCUGAAGGCACCCCGAAGCCGGGCAGAUGCUCUACCAAACCAAAUCCAUCCGCCGGUAGCAAAGGAAGAAGAAGCGGGGAGGGAAAGAAGAUCCGGCUAGGGCUAGGAGGGGAAUGCGUACCUGGUCGGGGCCGGAUGCGACGGCGCUGCCCUCAGCAGGUUUGGCGCUAGUGGCGCGGCGGCGUCGCUUGUAGGUGAGGAGGUCGGUCUGGAGCAGGUCCCCCGCGGCGCGGCGCUUGGGAGGCGGGGCAAGGGGCGGGCGGCGGCUGGCGGCGCCGUCGGAGGCCAUACGCGGGGGCAAGCUAGAGCAUGCCCCAGGACCAAGAAACGGCGGCGAGAUCGGAAUGGGAAGCGCGAGGAGGAAGAGAGGUGAGGGGGCGCGAGGGGGAGGCGGGAGAGGAGUUAGGGUUUGCGGGGAAUUUUGGAGAUCUCGCGCGGCAAGCCGGGGAAGAGGAGGGGGAGCGCACGCCGGAGAGGAGGGUAAGCGCGGGAUGGAUGAAAGUGGUGCGGGAGAACCGAGCGUCAGUCCAAAUUGGAGGAGCGGGGGAAGGGAAAACCGCCAUCCCCCACCCAAAACCUCUCUCCUCUUCUUCCUGCCAUAGUGCCGUACCAUACAUUCUUAUUCAUAUUCUCUUUAGUUCAAUAUAUAUCGCCGAUUCUUACUCGGUUAGAACGAUGGUUUACCAAAUCGAUUGAACAAUAACAGAUGAUGAUUACGAUGGAAGAGAUACCAUAAUUGAUAAAUAAGUGCAGCAGCAGUUGAAGCUUUGAUCAUCAACGUAACCAGACAUUACGUAGGGCUUCCCAUGCAGUGCGGGAGUGAAAACCGCCAAAUGGUAGAGUGCGGAAAAAGAAAUUGGUGUGUAAGUUAUGCCGGUAAUUGUUACCGUUACAAAUGGACAUGUGGCGAGAUAUUAUUUUUUAAUUAAUGCCUCACGAGAAGAAUGUUUUUCCCAUAAAGUUCCCAUUUAAUAAUACAACGAUUCUUUUGUCGUCUUCGUGAUGUUUGCCCUUAAAAACCUAGUAAACAAAAGGUUGGUUUUGGAGUGACGACAAGAGACUCCUUAUUGACCAUUUUAAUUCCAGAAAGAGGGAAGAGAAUUGAUGACUAUGAGAUGUAAUAAUCAAAUAGUUGGGAACAACAAUUUAGAGCAAUUGCUCUAGCUAUUUUUGGAGCCAACCUCCCCCCCCCCCCACCCCACACCAUUUCUAAAAUAAAAAUUGAAAUUUGAAUCAUGCAAUCCUCAUAUUUGUCCAUUAACCAACCCUAAGACUUUCAUGCUUAAAAUAUGAUGUGCAAGGGUCAAGAUGUUCUAAGGUCUGCUUCUAAAAGCUUUGGGAUAGGAAACGAAGGUUGGUUUUGGAACGACAACAAGAGCUUCCAAUUUUCACCCUUUAAAUUCAAAGAGAGGGUGAGGAUCGGAUUAAACGCAAUGGCAAGGUAAGAGGUAGAAAAGUGCCUUCCACAUGCACAGUGUUGUUUUCCUUUUGAUAGAGGGCAUAGUGGUCAACAAAUUUGGAUUACAUAUCCAAACCAAGAACAUGGUGUGAGAUGGGGUGGGGGGUUAUGUCUUAGUUGCCUUUUUUUCUAUUUUGUCAUUGAUUUUUGAACAUCGGAUGCUCAUGUAAUGUACAGGAUCCUGCUGUUUCCGUUCAGUGUCCCCCUUCCUUUCCUCCCGUCAUCACCCGUCCACCAUCAUUAGUGGUCACCACCUCUCUACCCAACAACUUCCUUUUUAAGCCCAGGAUCUGCCAUGUUUCCAGGAACAUACUGUCUAAUUGGGUUAGGACAAACUAGUCUUUUUACAUCAUGUAUCGCCCCCACUGGGAUUACAAAUUCAGAUCAGAGCGCUAACAAGUGUAAGCUGCUUUGGGUUCGGUUUUGCGACUAGCCUUCCCUCCGAUUGACCUUUCAAUGGUACAAAAUGAAGGGAAAGGGUACACUAACGAUAGCGCGGGUGCGCGAUUGGGCGAGCGUCCGGGGACGUCCUGUCCCAUCGCCGGUGGUGAGUGGCUGGCGGCGCUGCGCCAAGGGGCCGCCGCGACACGCCGUGCGCGAUCACCCCCUAAUCGUGUGCAUAUGCGUUCGCGGUGGCAUGCAUAGGCAGCGGGUUUGGGACAAUUUUGCUUCAAAUUUUGAAUUCGAGCUUCAAAAAUUCCAAAUAUAAAAGUUUGAGCUGGGAUUAUAAGCUACACUUUUUACCAAAGCCAACCAGUGAAACUCUCAACAGAUUUGGAGUUUAAGUUGAGCAAAGUUUGGCAGAACGUCGGCUUGGGCUGAUUUUGAAUUUAUCCCCAAAUUUGGCUGAUUUGGAUUUAAAAUUUGAAGGCCUUCCACACAAAAUCAGUGUAAGCUCAAAUAACAAAAGUUGUUUUUUUUUAAAAGUUCCACAACUUUCAUAUUGGCCAAAAGUUAAGUUAUUAUAUAAAAUUUCAUUUUUAACUUCUACCCCCAUUUAAUGCUUUUUAGGGCAUUUUUCAACACUUAGUGAAUUUUCCACUUGCACAGUGUGCAAGGUCUCCACUGUUUCCGCUCCACUCCGAUUCAGCCCCCAAAAUGGCUGAGAGAUCGCCGGCCGCCGCUCACCACCGCUGCUGCUGGGGGCGUACCGUUGCUCUUCGACGGAGGAGACGCUCGGGUAUCUCUUGCCGGACGGAGGAACGAGGAGUGCUCCGCUUGCUUUCCGACUUCAAGCCCGAGGUUUUGCUUCGACACGAGCAGGAGGAUGAAGAGGCACCAAGGGAAGGGAAGGGACGCCCGGAGUGAGGCGGAACUCCGGCGAGGCGACGCGGAGGUGCGGGGGACCGGGUCGCCGAUCGGUAAUUUUGCAAAUGACCCUCGUGAUCCGAUUUUUUGUAAAAUACCUCUAUUAUUUUCAUUUAACCUCAGCCAUUAUUGAUCGUGAUCCGAUUAUUUGCAAAUGCACCCUAUUAUUUUCAUUUAACCCCCAGUUCGAUCCGAUUAUUUGCAAAUGCGCCCUAUUAUUUUGAUAUAGCCCCCCGGUUCAGAUCCAAUCCUGCUCUCCCGCCCUUCAGGCUCCACCAGCCGCCGCCGCCGCCGCCUUCCACCCCGCCGCCCCGCGACCGCUAGGAAGUACACAAUCCCUCCCAUCUAAUGCACAAACCCCCUGGUCGCUUAUGCCUGUGCCUAUUGCCUAAGGCACUAGAUAUCUUGCCCAGGGAGUCUCAGACCUUAAUAUGUUCAGCGUGCGUAAAGUUUUCUCAAAUUCAUGCUGACUUCAGAAUCUGUCAUGAGUAAUCAAAGUCAUUAAGUAACCGGAUUCAUCCAAUGUGAUCCCUCCAUGAGACUUGCAAGAUUAACUCUGCUUAACAUUUCAGGGACUUGAGAAUAAAAUUACUUAACUGGGCCGUUACCAGCAUUCAUUGGAGAACUAACUGCUCUGGAAUCCAUGUAAUACUCUGAACUCAAAACAGUGAUGCAGUUCCUGCAUUCAAGCAAUCUUACAUUCUUUUCCUUGUAAAUCACAAGGACUGUCGGCAUCAAUGCAUUAUCUGGACCUAUCCCAAAGGAGCUUGGAAAUCUUGUCUUUUCCUUGUAAAUCACAAGGACUGUCGGCAUCAAUGCAUUAUCUGGACCUAUCCCAAAGGAGCUUGGAAAUCUUGACUAAUGUUGAUGCUCAGUUACUAUCAUGCAUCUGUUGUUAUACUUGCCUUUCACUUGCACGAAAGUCAUGCGGCUGUAUGCAUGUAGUGUGCCUCUCAAGCAUUAUGGCAUUAUAUUGAAUAUGAUCUGAUCUCAAAAGUUAAUAUAAUAUUGUGGAAGUGAGAAUCUGAUGGAAAAAAAUGAGCAUCGUCCCCAUCAAAUAUUCAUCAGCUUUUCAAUUGCCUAAAAGUACGUAACAACACUUUGUUUUGGACAUUUCUUUGGAGCUAACCUAGUUUAAUUAAUUAUUUCUUUCAGGGCAUUGGGCUCAAACAAUUUUAACGGCACACUUCCUGAUGAGCUGGGCAAAUUGACAAAACUUAGACAAAUGUAAAUCAUCUAUUUGGUCGCUUUACAUGUCUUCAUAAUCACCUAUGCUUUCGUUACUGUUUAGAGUGAUAACUUUAUGCAUGAGACAACUGAAAAAUGUUAUCCAUCUUUGAGCUGCAGAUACAUUGAUAGUAAUGACUUCAGUGGUCCUCUACCAUCGACAUUGUCACAACUGAAGAACCUCUCAGUCUUGUAAUUUUUUAAAAUGAGAUAUCAACUCGUAAAUUUCUUCUUUCUUCUGAGGUAGAAACCAAUAAUCUUGCACACCCUUGUCAUCAUGCAUCCAGGUGGGCAUCAGACCAUAAUUUCACUGGGGAGAUACUUGAUUAUCUCGGGAGCUUGACUAACUUGACUGAACUGUAAGAUCUAUAUUUGACAACCACUAAGGUCUUAAUAUUUUUCAAAUUGUUUUCUCAACAGUAAUAGUAAGGAAAGUUAUUCAUUGUUCUGGAGAAGUGCAAGACAUUGCAUAUCUACGGAUCUACCUGCAUCAUCGGUUUCUAUAGCACAAUUACAUUUAUCAUGAGGAACUAGCUUAGGUAUUACUACUUUACUGACCAGAUAUCUAUGAAUUUCCAGGAGGCUCCAAGGGAAUAUUCACCUGAACUUAUACUCUGUUGUACAUUGCAGUUAUACUACUGCCCAGAAUGACAUCUUGGUGGCGGGCCGGUUGCUGCGGUGGGUUGGGCCGGAAGGCCGGCCUGGCUGGAAAGAGGAGCCUGCUGAUGGCUUGGGCCGGAGCGGCCUGAGAAGGUAAGGGGUGGCGGCCUGCGGGCCGGUUGCUGCGGCGGGUUGGGCCGGAAGGCCGGCCUGGCUGAAGAGGCAUGGCGAGAAGCGGGUGGAACAUGGAAUUUUUUUAUUUUUUUAUUUUUUUUACGAAUUUGUAGAAAUAUACAAUGGAAUCAAAAAUUUGCAAAAACAGGAUUAUACCGCGGCUGAAACGACGGUAGAGUCCUUGUACCGACACCCACGUGCGGGCUUAUGUUGUCAGAUGAAACGACGGUAAGGGGCGGUAGGGUACCCUGCCUGUUUGGUGACGUCGUUUCAGCGACCGAACGACAAAAGGGACCGAACGACUUGAGGAUAAAAAAAGAUCCGCCCCGGCUCUCCACGACACGGAGAGCUGACACGAUGUUGUUAUCCUCGUAUAAAAAAAGCUCCAAAGCGAGAAAAAGGCAUAAACAGGAGAGCCAUGCAGUGCGUUGUCACCGUCUAAAGGGGGUGUUUGGGAGGAGGCUAAAUUUCAGAUUUUAGCUCUCUCCUCCCAAACACCAGGGCUAAAAUGGAGGGGCUAAACAUUAGCCCCCAUAAUUCAUUAGCCCCUCCAAGAGGUGCUAAAAUGGGCUAAAGUGGGCUAAAAGUGGUCCCCUCAUACCAAUUUCCACCCCCUGCCCCCUCUCUCCUCCCCGCAUCGCCCGACUCCGCCUCGCCCGACUUCGCCUCGCCUCGCCGGCCCCACCACUGCCGGCGCCACCUCCGCCUCGCCUCGUCGGCGCCACCUCCGCCUUACCUCGCCGGCCCCGCCACCACCGCCGCCGCCUUUGCCGGCCUCCCCUCUGCCGGGUCCUGCCGCCACCGCCGGGCUCCCCUCCGCCGUGCCCCGCCGCCUCCACCUCCGCCGGGCUCCCUUCCGCGCCGGCCGACCCCAUCUCCUCCAGCCGGACCCGCCGCCUCCGCCCACCCCCGUGGCCUCCGGUGACCCCGCCGCCUCCGGCUGCCCCCGCGGUCUCCGGCGACCCACGCUUGGGAGGAUUUUGUGUGCUGUGCUGCCGAUUGCAUGAGGAAGAAGGAAGAAAAUGGGAGGAGGGGAAGGUGGGGGUAUUGUUGUCUUUUAUCCAUCAAAGUGCUAAAAUUUAGCCUCCCAUCCAAACACUUCAGGUGCUAAACUUUAGCCCUUUCAUUUGAGUAGGCUAAACUUUAGCCCCUUCCUCCCAAACAGACCCAAAGAUCCCAUGCAGAGAUCGCACGCUAGCUUUCGUUUGGUAGUGUCGUCACCAUCUAACAUCUUCAGUCUAGGAAUUUGGUGGACAACCGUUGAGCGGUAAGGCGCUACCGCCAGCUGAAACGGCGGUAAGGAUCCUACCGUCAUUUCACCCGGCGGCAUAAGUCCACUUGUAGCCAUUUUUUAUUUCACUAUAUAUUUCUGCAAAUUCAUAAAAAAAUAAAAAGUUUGUAAGAGGGCUUUGUGGAGAACUGUCCAGAAGCUGAGUGUUUCCAAAAUGUGAAGGUCUUGUGAUCAUGGUUGUAGAUCAAUGUCUUUUCUCCAAGGCAUCUAGCAGUAGGAGCGUGUAGGUGGUCAAUCAGGAGCUCUAUGAUAUAUACUCAUAAUUAGUAUCCAAACAUUCGAUGUGACAGUGUAGUAUAGUUUAGCAUGAGCAUCCAAACACGCAAAGAUGAUUGGCUUCCCACAUUUGGUGAGAUCUUACGUGAAAAGGGAGAGAGAGAGAGGAUUAGCAGUUUACACCGAGCUGGCUGAGUUGUGAAAAGCUCGGGUGUAAGUUAGAGUUAGUCAUGUUAGAUUUUUAUUAUGCUAUUUAUAUACUAGCUUUAGUUUGUAUUUUUUGAUCUAAUCCAAAAAUACAAACUUACCUUUGAGAUCUAAAUUAAAUCAAAUAAAAUCCAAAUCACUUGUGCAAGCAUGUUUUAAAUUUAAAUGCAUAAUUUAAUUACUACCUUUUUCAAUUUAGAGGAAAGAAUUGAGGGUUGACCUUAAAUUUUACCAAGUAUUUAUAUGCUUCACAUAAUCAAACAAAAAGUUUUCAUUUUUGCAAAAAUUAGCACAAUUAAUAUCACUCAAUUUUGAGGGAUAUUACACUUUUGUCAUGAUUUAAAGUUGGCCCGUGAAUAAAAGGGCUUUAGUCCCGACGCAACCCUCCAUGUCUCCGUACACACGAGUGGACUUGUUGAAUGAUCGGCUCAGAAAGAGUGCCUUGCCUUCAGGUAGUGUAUCACGAUCCGUGACUGAAACCCAUCUGCCAGCAUCGAUGUCCGCCUUGAAGAUCUUGACCUUGCAAGUGUACUUGGGGUCAAAUGGAGAUGAUUCAUCAGCAGCAUCUGCAAUUACCUUGAGGGACACUGAGAAUAGCUUCCUGUGGUACCGUAAUCCCAGAGAGUUGUGGUGCUGUAAUCCCAGAGCCGAGCGGCCACCCGCCGCUGUCGGGUGCCCACAACGAGUACUGCCUCCGGAGCUCCUGGAUCUUCGGCUGGAUCCGCUUCCACACGAACUCAACCUCCAUGAUGGGCGCCCCCACCGCGACGGGCGAUAGUGGGGGUAUGGGCCCCGCAAGCGCUGACACCGACGUGAGGAGGUGCUCAAGCUCAUAGUCGGCGGCCAUGGCGAGCAGCGGGAACGCGGGGCCUGACGGCGAGGAGGAGGAGGAGAAGCUCCUGGUGCGCGGCCAUGGCGAGCGGCGGGCGUCCGGGGGCGGUGGAUGGAGGUGGAGGAAUUGCGCAAGUGUGUGCGGGAGAAAAAAUAAAACGGGAUGAAACGAACCGGUAUGUCCGUAAUUUAUGGUAGGUGGGUAAUUUUUUACCCUAAAAUCACUUGAAAACAGGGGAAGGUGCCUUUUGUUUUGUACCGGAGCAAAAGUAACUUUUGGGCAAAAGCACAUGUGGCUUUUAGGUUAGCUUUCGACUUUUGCAAAAGUAAAACCAGGUUGAAAAACUCAAUCAAAUGUACCCUAAUAAACUUGCGGACGCAGACUUAACUAUAAAACUGUUGUGCAAGGUCUGGAAGCAAGUACACCGCGGAAUUCAAAGUAUUUCUUCUGACCAACUCGCACAGGUCAAGAGCAUAGUUCGUGGCUAUUCCAAGAAAUCGUACGAAGAUAAAACCUUUUCUUCGCUACUGUCAUCAUCAGAAUGAGGUGACAUGAUUUAGUAGCUCAUAUAAGAUGUAGGCAUGUAGCGUCUAAACGACUUUAAUAGUUCGGCAUGCACCCACCCAUCAACUUUCAGUGCUCUCUUUUGUAAGGAUUAAUUCAUUGUUUAUUGUUGGCUAAAAUGAUGACCAUGAACAUAUUCUCAAGAGUUUCUGUGCCCGUUUAAGACAUUUGAAGGUUAAAGAAAGCACCAUCAACAAGAAACAGAUUUGUAAACACAGAGGGAAGGGUCAAUCUCCCCCUACACGGAUGCAUUGAACAAACUAUUAUUGAUGCUUUGAACAAAAUCUAGUGCUGCUUGUGCGUCAAACCACGAAUUUUGGAGGGAAAAGCCAUGUCAACCACUUAUCAUCAGCCCGUAUUCUCUGCCAUGGAAGGCUAAACGGCCUGCAAGACGAGGAUCUGGUGUCGAAUACUUGGUCCACAUCCACAAAAUAUAUGCAACCCUCCUUCAUGUCUCCAUACAUACGGGUGGACUUGCUGAAUGAUCGGCUGAGAAAGAGUGUCUCGCCUUCAGAUAGCGCAUCACGACCCGUGACUGAAACCCAUCUGCCGGCAUCGAUGUUCGCCUUGAAAAGCUCGACCUUGCGAGUGUAAUCGGGUCAAAUGGAGGUGAUUGCACCUGCCGCCUCACCAUGAGCAACUCUUGGCCGCCGCAUGACUCGACAAGGAACCUACUGGUCGUGAUGUAGUCCUUGGGUUCAUACGGCACCUCCUCGUCCACCCCAACCUCGUCAUCGCUUGGAACCAGCUGGCCAUCAUCAGGAUUGAAGCUAUCAUCGCCACCACCAUCAUCGGUAUCGUAGUCGUCAUCCAUCCAGCUCCACGGGUCUUCUUCACCAUCAGCUAACGGGUGCCUGAUGACUCGCUUAAAUUUGGGAAUAAUUGGAAAUGUGCGGUAGAAUACCAUUAUGUAUCACUAGUUAGUUUCCUUUUCUUUUUGUGACGGCCCUAUCCAAAGUUCAGUUAGACAGCAAAAAAAAAAAGAGUUCUAUGUACAAUUGUUGAUUUCAGAAAAGUACAGUGAAAUGAUCACCGUUGCUCAAUCCCGGAGGCACUUCAUCCAGCGGAAAGGUGAGGUUAAGCCGGGGGUCAGUAACAAGCUCAGUAGUAUGCAGCAACAACGCUCUAAAAACAGGGGCGUAGCCGGAAACUUGAUUUUUCCAUUGUUAGGGAGGCAACAGUGGUAAAAAAAAUUUUCAAAAAUUUGAUAGAAUUCAAAAAAUAUUAGUGGAAAAUUGGAAGCCAUAGGGGGCCGUUGAGCUGUGGCGCUCAGGUUUGUUACUCCGCUUGUGGUAUGCUGACAGGAUCUCCUGUUCUCGAGACAGGCACGAGGCCAGAGCUAUACCAACUACUAAAUCAAAAAACUAUACUAGUUUCGUAAUACAAAGGUACGCAACUCUCUUACAUAUUCUCGAUAAAAAAAAGAAACUAUACAAUACCACACAUGUAGAAAGCAGGCACGGCUCAGCCGCAUGUAGCAGUAAGCAGUAUCGAUGGACGACCAUUUCUUUUUCUUUUUUUUAUCCAUUUCAUUCAUUGACCAAACUCAAUCGUGUUACUAGUUGGAAUCGAUCAGAGAAAUUGACUAGCAAUGCUAUUUACAACAAAAUACUAUCUUCAAAUGAAAAGAGAUACCAUAUAUGUUGUAUGAAAGUAAUGCAAAUGAUGGUUUGUCAAUCUAUAUAAAAUUCUAGGCAUUUCAUUCAUGGUUAAAGGUAAAGAAGAUUGGCCUAAUAGUUAUUAACAAGUCUAGAUGAACUUGUUAUUCGAACAGGAGGAAGGAAGUAGCUGGUUUCCCGAGCCAUGCGUUCACAGGUUUUCUCCAGUCAUCUGCUCCCAUGACGGCUAGACGAGCACAUGCCCAUGCCAACUUGCACUGACCAGCUCGCGACACGCUCAAACCAGCACGUAUAAAAUGCCUCCUUGUAGGGGCUUAAGCACACACAACAAUCGCUCAGCAGGCAGCAAUUCGAUCGUGUUCGACCUCCCUUCUUCAUCCAAGACGGAAUGGCGGCACCGUCGCGGCGGCCGACGCUCGCCGUCGUCGUCCUCGGCGCCUUUCUGUGCUCGCUGGCGGCGGCGCUCUCCUCCGCGGAGGCCAAGGUGCACCACCACACGUGGGACAUCGCCUACCGCCGCAAGUCACUGGACUGCUUCGAGAAGCUGGCCGUGACCGUCAACGGCGAGGCGCCCGGCCCGACCAUCCGCGCCACGCAGGGCGACACCGUCGCGGUCACCGUGCGCAACAUGCUCGAGACCGAGAACACGGGCAUCCACUGGCACGGCAUCCUCCAGCGGGGCUCGCCGUGGGCCGACGGCACCGUCGGCGUCACACAGUGCCCCAUCCUGCCCGGCGAAUCCUUCACCUACAGAUUCGUCGUCGACAGGGUGAGCGUGCACGUACGCCAACUGCUACAGCUACAACAUUUUCAUCUGAGCUGAUGAGUCAACCUAUCCGACGUACGACGUGGUUUAAUUUUAGCCGGGCACGUACUUGUACCACGAGCACUACGGGAUGCAGCGCGUCGCCGGGCUCGACGGCAUGCUCGUCGUGUCGGAGUCGGACGGCGUCGUCAAGCCCUUCACCUACGAUGAGGAGCCACCGUCCUCCUCAUGGACUGGUGGCACAAGAGCGUCUACGAGCAGGCCGUCGGGCUCGCGUCCGACCCCCUAGAGUUCGUCGGCGAGCCACAGUCUCUGCUGAUCAACGGUCGAGGAAUGUUCGGCUGCUUUCCUGCUGCUCCCGGCGGCGCCUGCAAUGCCUCGUGCGCCUUGCCGGCGCUGUUCACCGCCGUGCCGGGGAAGACCUACCGCGUCCGCACUCGUCGCUCAACUUCGAGAUCGAGGGCCACUCGAUGACGGUGGUGGAAGCCGACGGGCACUACGUGAGGCCGGUGGUCGUGGACAGCCUCUUCGUCUACUCCGGCGAGACGUACUCGGUUCUAGUCAAGGCCGACCAGGACCCGUCCCGGAACUACUGGGCCGCGUCCCACGUCGUCGGCCGCAGGCGGGAGACACCGAGCGCCCUGGCCGUCCUGAGCUACGCCGGGAACGACCCGCGGUCGCCGCCGCCAGCGGGCCCCGCGUGGGACGACGCGGCGCCCAGGGUAGCGCAGAGCAGGUCCCCCGCCGCCGCGCACCCGGACCACGUCCUCCCCGCGCCGCCGAGGCCCGACCGCACGCUCCUCCUCCUCAACACGCAGAACAGGAUCGACGGCCACGUGCGGUGGGCCAUCAACGGCUUGUCGCUCCGGUUCCCGGCGACACCGUACCUCGUCUCGAUGAAGCGCGGGCUCCGGGGCGCGUACGACGACCAGCGCCCCCCGGCGGACGCGUACGACAACUACAGGAGCUUCGACAUCGCCUCGCCGCCGGCGGCGAACGGGACGGUGGCGAGCGCGGCGUACCGGCUGGCGCUGGGGUCGGUGGUGGACGUGGUGCUGCAGAACACGGCGGCGCUCAACGGCAGGAGCGAGACGCACCCGUGGCACCUCCACGGGCACGACUUCUGGGUGCUUGGCUACGGCGAGGGCAAGUUCGAGCAGCAUUCGCUGAACAUCCUGAGAUCAGAAGAGUCUGAUCCUCUCCAAGAUCAGAAGAGUCUGAUCCUGUGGCAGACUACGCAGGUGUUAUGGCUCGCAUAGGCCGUAAAAAGAAAGCUAGCAGCAUUCGCUGAACAUCCUGAGCUUUGCCUGAAGGCUAUUUGUGCCCUCUAUCGGAAGCAAACUCAGGAGGAACAGUUGGAAAAGGCUGCUUUACUUCAUAAUAAGCAGGGAUUUAGCCACAUGGAUGCCCAUUGGUAUGUUGCUGUGCUAACUAUUUAGUUUAUUUUCUUGCAGAUUCAUUGCUAAUCAGAAGAAGCAAGGGGAUGGUUGUGGAAAUAUUCAUUUAACUAGUCUUCCUUUAGGUGAAAAAAAUGAUGUAAAGUCAUUGGGUGGUUGCAACUUCUACUGCGUGCUCUGUUUAUUUGUUUAUUUCAAUUUGGAAAGUAGUACUAGUACCUUAUUUUCGUCCAUAUGUUACUGUAGUUUUUUUUUAUAGCAAGAUACAUCACGUGGGUUGAACUGCUAAAUGUGACAAAAUUUCUUGUUACAACUUAAUAUUGUAUUAGUUUAAUACUCUGCAUUGCUACUGAGGUAUUGCCGAUAAUUUGAUGCACAUAGACACUGUAAAAUAAGUAAUUAACUAAAAAAUCUACAUAGAUUCGCUAAGUUUUUUUAAAGAUUGGUCAUCAUAACGCUCAAAAAGGUUGUCUAUGGUUUUGUUCAUCUAAAAGGUUUAGGUUGAGGACCUUGCUCAGGGGAAAUUUCAGUGCUAUGUAACUCGCACAACCAUAUUGAUGCGUUUGCUUUAGCUCCUAGUCUACUGUAAUAUUCCUCUUUAAAGAGUAAAGUAGAAUGAAAUGAUGAGCACUAAGAGAGUUUUUUCAUGUUCUUAGUCUGAUGAUAUUUUGAUUACACUGUGCUGUUCAUUGUAUGGGAUCUUGCAUAGCAGAAUUUCUUCUGGAUGGUGAUCGGGAUGGUCCACUGAAGAAGACCAUCGAUGAUUUGGAGGAGCAUGAUUCUGAUGCUCUUGGGUUCUGUCGCAGGGUGGCUUCAAAUUACUCAAAACAACUGUUUGCAAUUUAUCAGAACAAGGAGGACCCUUAGUUUCAUCCAUAGCUUUGGUAACCCGUAUACCGUAGGCUUACCUUUCGUCCCUUGUAAUGUUUUAUCAUCUGUCUGCCUUGCUGUUUUCACUCUUUUGUACAUAUGUGUUUAGUUAUUGGAUCUUCUGGAGAAGUUAGGACCGGUUAACUUUGGCCCUGAUGUCUCACUAGGAUGCUUGUGUAGCAAAACGAGUGUCCUAUCGUGUUUGUGUUCUAGUCUUGUGGAUGCUUAAGUGCCUGUGCUGCACCCCUGUUUAAUACAUCCUUGAGAGACUCUGCUUAUUCACUUGGGGGCAUGAAGCCUCCCUUCCUGCAAAUGAACAAUUACUUAAUAAUACUUCCAAAGUCAUAUGCACUUAUGAGUGCUUUUGAUCUAAGAGUUCAUGAUAACGUUUUUAUACAAGAGAUGAAUUCUAGUGUAGGUUAAAUAUUAAUAACAACUAAGGCCCAUUUGGAUUCUUGGAAUUGAAUUCCAUUCUAAUAAUCAUAAUUUAGACACAAAUUAAUUAAGUUAGACCAAUUGAAUUCUUGCACAUUUGAAUUCUAAUAAUCAUAACAACUAAGGCCCCAUUUGAAUUCUUGCACAUUACAAACAUAGCAUGAUAAUUUAAAGAAUCAAUUUACAUCUCCCACCCUAUGAAUUUAAGAUAGACUUAUAUCUAAAUUUUGAAAAGUUGUGGAAUGUCACGUUCCAAGACAAAUAGCCUACUAGAUUCCAAUUCCUUCAAAAUGAAGGGAUCCAAACGGGGCCUAAUAGAAUUUCAGCAGAGUCAUGCAGUUGCUUUUGAUGCAAAACAAUAAUAAUUGGAACACAUUGGAACACCCCCACUAAUUUACCUGGCCAAGUCCAUCGUAAGCUGCGGACGAUCAGGGGCCUCAAUGAGGUGUUAUCACGUUCUUAUUCUCUCAACCAGCUAUCGGUGGCAGUUUUUUACAAUUGUUAAAUUUUGUGCAAACAUUUAGAAAAUAAAAUAAUCUCUGUACAAUUUUGUGAAAAAUAAUACGUGCACAAUUUCUGAAUAAAUCAACUCAAGUUGUUUGGACAAUCACCAUGGAUUGAUGGAUGUCUCGCCGCCACCGGCAUCUCGUUAGCGGAAAAUGCAAGCAUCAGUCCUUGGAGACUCAAACUGGGUGGACAAGUCUACCAUAAAAAACUUGACAAAUUAAACUGCGUAGCAAUCACUAUUAUUGUUGAGAGGGUAUGUUUUUAUUAUUGUAUUUUUGUGCUAAUGGUGUUGAGUGACAGAUAGAGCUCUCUAUUUUGUUUUCUCGUAAAGAAGAAAUGGCUGUGAUCAUUAUUCAGUCAGUGGAAUCACACCUCGCAUAAGGUGCUGGUGCUGCCAUUGCCGAAACAUUUGAGAUCUCUGGGUGGUGUGGUACACACUGGUGCUGUGGCUAUCAUGUAAGUUGGUCUAAUCCACAAUCAAAAGUGAUCGAUCAACAGAGUGUUGGUUUGAGUUAUGGUACCGUCCAGAACCAUCCAGAUAUAAACUUGGAUCCUAAUCGCUCCAGUUGCUUUGAAAUCUCUUCUCUACUCUAAAAAAACGCAAAGAGGCGACGUCCCAUGCUAAACUGAUUUUGCGCCGUCAGUUCUUUUCCCGAGCACCGCCUCAAUCCCACCGCGAUCCGUGUUCCUCCGAUAGAACCCAGUACAUGACAACCUCCCUGUUUCCCUAAUCCCUAACGAGAGCUCGAGACGUCUCCCCAUCGAUCCCGCCGCCUCGCCUCCGCCAUCGAUCAUGCCAUCGUCGCCAACCCAAGCCGCCCUCCGCCUCCUCCACUCGGCACUGAGGUCUCUCAAGCCCGUCCUUCACCGCCUCCACUCAGCGCUGAGGUCUCUCGAGCCCAUGCUGCCAUCUACUUCGUCCUGGGCAAAGGAUCACCAUCAGACGAUGGGAAUUGGGAACAGGUGUCAUGGUCAAUGUCGUCGCUGUAUCGAUCCAUCCUGCAACCACAAGGAACCAAUAUAAAGGUUAAAUCUCCAGAUCAUCAUGUGAAUUUUGCCUCACCGCUCCUGCCACUUCAAUUUCUCCUUGCAUUGUUUUGUAGUGUCAAAAUAGUGGUCGAUGUGUUUAAUUUGUACCUUCUCCAGAAGCUAAAGAAAGAUUACAUACUCCAGUGAUAGAGGAAUUUCCAGGUGAGUAGGAUGAAUACCAAUUUUAUCUCCCAGUUAGGGAUUUUAAACUUUACUCCUCACCUCGAAAUUUUACAGUGAAGUUAUUUGAUUCUACUUAACCGUCGACAGCACCGACAUGCACUCAAUUUUUUAUUCAACCAUCAAUAAGACUCGGUGACUGAAUUGUAUUAGAAAUCUAGGAUCUUAAGAGCUUUCAUCUGGCGAGUGCCGCUUUUACGUGGUAGUUCUUCUAGCGAGCAUACAAUUCCUAACAUGGAUUUUUCUAAUCUAGACAGUGUGGUGCAAUUGUAUGUAAUCAGAAAGAACAAGAAAGAAUUAGUACAAUCUAAGAACUGUAAUCAUGGGUACAAUCUAAGAACUGCAGAUAUACAUAUCUUCUGAUUUAUUCUUGUGCUAUUCAGAAACAAGAACACCAACAGCUCUAAAGCAUAAAUCCAUUUUAAGUCAAUAUGCUUGUUUUUAGGUUGUGGUAUAGAUGCCCUAAAAAGGGUCAUGGGAAUCUGACAUGUCAAUUUAUAAUAUGUAAGCCCAUAUGCUCACAUGCAUCAUCAAUAUUAGUGCAGGAUGAUAUAUAUGCUCUUAUCGCCGCCCCAAUCAAAAUGAUCAUAAUCAGCUGCAUACAAAAUAAAUCUAAGAUGAGAAAAAAGAAAGAAGAUCUUUCUCACAUUUUCUAAUCCAAUCAGACAUUCGGACUAGACACUGGAAGCAACAUGCACCAGAUAUCACAUAUGCUUUUAAAAUUGUACUAUUUUGUGUUGUAUCAAGAAUUACCAACAUCACGGUUGCACAUAUGAUCGACAGAGAAGGUUCUUACAAUAAUUGUUGCCGACAGGCCUACGUUCACGCAAUCAACAGGUUUGGAAACUGUUAGCAAAAGCUAAAAGUUUGUCCUCCUGGCGUUUCAGGUUCCUCUCCUUUUGUGCAAAGACAUAAGAAGUCCAGAAUGCCAGAGAAGGGAAGAAAAAGGAGACAACAGUGAGUAAAACAUACUGCACCAAAAGUGUUUGUCCAUGGACGGAGAUGGGCUACAGUUCUAAGAAAUUCUCUUCAUGCCCGUUUCUUCUGUAUAGGAAAAGAUGUGGGGUCAAUUUUCCCAAUCUGCAAGAAGCAAAAAAUAAAAUAAAAUUAGAACACAAGAAAAGAACUAUAAGGCACAAAGGAUAUGGUUCUCAGACUCUGCAAGUCCUUGGUCUAACCGUCUUAGUGUGAUCAAUUAUCACCAAUCAGAAGUGUAGCAUAAGAAAAAAAGUUCCAUAGCUUGAAUAUUACACAAAUUCACAGAGGCAACCAUAUUUACAGAUUGUGUACUAACUUGUAAGUUACCGUAGGGAACAAAUCAUACAAAUAGAUAAAGGACGACACUUGAUAAGAUGCAUUUCAAUUUCUGGUUGAGUAAUGGAAGGAAAGAAUCAUUUCCAGUCUCAUGGUCAACAAACCUAUGCACCUUUAUAUACUGAAAGAAACUAAAAAGAAACUCGAAUUGGUGACUUUUGAAGUCCAGAAUGCCAGAGAAGGGAAGAAAAAGGAUGGCUGACCCCUUUGUAGGUUGUUGCGGUUCAAAAUGAAGCAGGCAUGCAGAACAUUUCAUUUUUCAUUCUAAUAGUGUUGUCCAACAGAUCCUUACGUGGAGCAACAAACUGUCAUGAUUCCAGAUAUCGAUGGACAUUGCUAGCAUACAACACAAACUUGAAUCACCAGUUCAAAGUACUGCAAAAAAAUGACUCUAAGACAAAAAUAAAUCAAGUCAUCAAUUGGGCUUAGUAAUGGCUAGUUGGAGCAUUGGACAAGAUAUUAUAGGUCCCAUAUGGAGGAAUGAUUACAAAACAUAAUGCUAGCACUGAAUCUGGCUCCACUAAACUCCAUUAAAGAUUUGUGCUACUAUGCUCGCUGAAAAAAUGAAUUGCAGAAACCAAGCAAUAUUGUAGCAGUGGAGUAGUGUGGGUGAGAGCUCGACAUGUGGUGGAUACAACUUUGACUCAAGUCUAUGUGUACACCAAACAAGAAGGUAAUCAUGCAAUCUAGAUGCAAUCUCGAUGAUUUCUCUAAAGGAUUCAGAAAUUCAAUUGAAGCAUUUCUUGUUAAUGCUGCAUUCGGCAGUGUCUAUCCAAUUUCCCUGAAAUCAUAUCUUCCUCUCUUCAUAUCUGAAGCAACAGGAUUUUUUUCCUUACACUUUUAAUUAUGACUGGAAUGGAACCCUCAACAUCUGUCAGGUAUUUGUCAUUUCCAGUGAUGAAGGCAAGUUUAUCAGCUGAUUUAACCACUGCCUGUAUAACACAUGGGACAACAUGGUUGAAAUCAAAUAAAUGGUUCAGAUAUGCAAUGUGUCUAUUACUUUUGCCUACAUACGAAUGACUAUUGAUCAGAAAUUCAUGCACGCACUAACUCUGAAGACAUUGAUUAAGUAGUCAAAUACCUUCUCCACCAUGAAAGAGGGCUCUCCACUCUCGGUCUUGCGCCGCCCGAUGACGGCAGCCAGCAUGCCCUCUUCGAUUACUUCAGCAUCAGUGAAAGCAAAAUCAAUCUAUACGUCAGUGAGCAGAGCAUAGUUUCAGAUGUUGUUCUUCCCGUGUUAUAAGAAGAGGUUUACAGCUGAUGGUUACAGGCGUACAUAGAACCUGGCUCGUUGGCGCCGUGUCCCCGGCGAGGAGAGGAGGAGGGUGGGCUGGUGGCGCCGGCUGUGCAGGAAGACCGUGCCGAGGAGGAGGGCGGCGCCGGCUGCGCAGGGAGACAGAGGAGAGGAGGAGGGCGGGCGAGGCCAGUUGCGCAGGGAGAGGAGGAGGGCGGCGGCGGCGGCAAAGCAGGCAGAGCGAGUCGAGGUCAGGCAGAAUGCGGGCGGCGGCGGCGUUGCAGGCCGAGCGAGCCGAAGUGAUGCGGAUUGCGGGUGGCGACGGCGAUGCAGGGCGAGGGAGGAGGAGUAGGCGAGCGAGGGGAACAUCGGAUGGCGGAGCAUGAAGCGUGGGGCUGGAGGAGGAGCAGCGGACGGCGCGCGUCGUGGGCUUCGAAGGGUGUUCCAUUGGAGAGUGGACCGGGUUGCGCGGAGGAUGCGGGAGCCAGCGGACGGUUGAACGGAGCGGAGGAUAAACGACAUAUGAAGAAUUUUCUUCUCUUUGGUUUUUUUAGGAGUAGAGAAGAGAAGAGAUAGAGAAGAGAUGGUUUUUUUAGAGUAGAGAUAGAGAAUAUUCGGUCUAUACGUAUGUAUUGCCAUGACUUAGAGUUACUUAUGGGUAACUAGGUUAUGUUUCUUGGUUAUAUCGGUCGGUGUUUUCAAUUUGCUUUUUUUAUCCCGAUUGUUAUCAACACGUUUACCUGUGAACUGGUUCGGUUUGGAUACCAAGUGAAUUCGUGUUCAUUUUCAUUUUCGACCAUCUUUUUAUUAAGUUUAUUGCAAUUAGGCUUGGAUGCUGAGGUAGCUUGGCUUGGCUCGUUAGCCUAACGAGCCAAUACCAAAUGAGCAAAAUGUUUGUCUCAACUCGGCUCGUUAGUAGCUCGAGCCACCUUGUUAGGCUCGCGAGUGAGAUGUUAAUUUGGGAUUACCAUCUCAACGUAUAGGAAAUGUAAAAAAAUAGUAAUUAUAUAGUAAAAUCCACCAUGAGCACUUCGGCUAGCUCGGCUUCAAUAGCUCGACUCACUAUGUUGAGCCUUUAGCCUUCUAGCUGGCUAGCUCGCGGCUCGCGAGCUAGCUUGAACUAGCUCAUUACUGAAACGAACAAAGUAGCUGCUCCGUUCAUUAAAACAUCCACCGAGCUAAGCCGAGCUACGAACGAACUGAGCCACGUUAUGAAUAAGAUUAUUUCUCAUAAUUUUAAUGGGUUUAAGGCUUAUUUAACAAUAAAUUUUGGAAUUUUUAGAAUUUUAAUGUAUUAUUUUCAUUUUAGGUGAUGCCACGAAUAGCAAUUUUAGAGGACCACCCACAUCCAAUGCACAUCUACUAUCAGUAGAUCUUAGAGAACGGGGGAGGCACCAGGAUAGGGACUAAUAUGCUCAAAUAACUAUCCAAAAGAAGGAAACAUUACUAAAAAACUGUCGUGAAAUUGUGCAAGUCGAACGUCAUCAAUUUUUUAGAGGUGGAGGUCCUAUGUACAUGAUGGGCGGGAGGUCCCAUGUAAAGCUACUCAGACUUGGCAUGAUAUUUACAUAAAAACUCAACUUAUGUACAUGAUGGGAGGAUAAUGUUGCAGAACUUCUUCAUCAUCGUUUGGCGCAUGAAGCGAAUGGGUAUCGAAGGCAUAUUCCUGCCAACGUACCUAACUCUGUAAAUACUUAUUUAAUAUUUCAAUUUUUUCACUUAUUAUUUUGUUGUUGAAUGCCUUUUGGAUGAAAUAUUUAUUAUUAUCUUCAUAUUAUUAUUGUUUUACUAAAUCAUCAUUGCAUUAUAAUAUAAAUAUUUUGUUGCUCGUAGCAACGCAUCGUACGACCCUAGUCUAAUUUUAAACUCUCAUUUAUAUUUCUAGAUACUGAAUGGCCCUUUCAAAUCCUACGGCGUGUGAGAAUUGAAAACGGGCAUGAGGGAAUUUUUUUUUAUAUGUAUACGGCAGUUUGGAGAAUUUGGUCUCCUGUUGCAGAAAGCUUCUGACGGAGGAGAAAGGGCCACGUCGUCACCGAGGAAUCUUUGCAUGCGACAGCAACCAGGCCCACCCAGCAGGAUGCCCCCCUACCUGUCUGUCUUGUCGCCUCCUAAUUAGGAACGGGCACAAAAAAAAAUGUGUUGACGUGGACAUAUAAAAGCGCGAUUUCUAGGUCUCCUCCUUUCCUCCCAGCCCCGAACACCAGCGGGCCGCCGCCGCCGCACACCCGCGUCGCUCCCUCUCUCCUUCUUCCCGGCGGCGGGGUCGCGGCCUCCUCCCUCCCUCCGGCCGCGGCUCCUCCUCCCUCCCCUCCGGCCGCGGCUCCUCCUCUCCCGGCGCAGGGGCGCGGCCUCCCGGCGCCCCUGUCCUCCCCACCGGCGCCCGCAGCCCUCAGAUCCGGCGGCCGGCAGCGUCGGGGUCGAGGCGAGGGGGCGCGGCCUCCUCUCCCGGCGCGGGGGCUCCUCCCUGCCGGCGGCCGCAGCUCGUCCUCCGCGGCGUCAGCCGCGGGUCCCACGCCCCCCACCUGACACGCCCGCGACCGCGACUCCUGGAGGUCUCCUGUAGCGACCUGGAGGAUUGCGGCGCGUUUACCGUGCUGCGGUGCAGCAGUUGGAUCGGCAAAUGUGGCGUCCAGGCUCUUUCGGAGUACUGCGGUGCGGAUAGCCUAAGAUCUUGCUCCUCGAUUUGAAAAUUGCUUUAUCUUAUUUGAUCAAGGAUAGGUUGUUGUUGUUGUAACGAUGUUCUUAUAUCUAUGCCUAACAUCUGCAUGCGAGGCACCCCUAACCCUUUUUUAUCAUUGUAAUUAACUUUCAAAAGUUGCAUAUAGACUAAUAUGAUGUGCUGUCUAAACUAGGUAGACACCUCUGUCGGACCCAAUAUUUGAAGCCAGAUGUGUGGAGAGGUUAAUCACUCCCCUCACCGGCAGUGGAUGCAGCCACACUGCUGCCUGCAAAACAUCUUUAUUGCUUCAACGCAAGGAAGGCUCUAGAAGCAUCUAGUUUGUCUAUGAUUGCUUCUCAUAUAUUUUUAUGCAAGGAAGGCUCUAGAAGCAUUUGGUUUGUCCAUGCAGAUGAUCUUAAUUACCUGGUUAUCAAUUAGCUUAAGCAAAGCUAAUUUCAUGCUUGCCACCCUCACACAACAUCGGGAUGCGUUUUGCACGAGAAGCAACGGCAAGGUUUGCCUUCUACAGCAGUCUAGUUUCUUGUUACCAUUGUCUAAUAAUCAAUACCAUCUUAAGCAUCAUGCGAUAGUUGAAGCAGGAAACAUGCACAUGCGCUCACCUUCCGGUUGCAUUUCAUCACAUAAAAGUGCCACAAACUAGCAAUACAACGAUAGGUAGCUUUAUGUGAAUUCGCAUUAAUAAUCCAUGCCACACAUACAAUAGCGAUAGUAGAUAGAAAGUUUAUCAUAUAGUAGUAGCUUGAGUAACUUCCAUGUUGUUUGGUUAAUGCUGCCUAUGAUAGUUGAUGAUCUUCUUGUUUGGUCUAGACGUACCUUCAGUUCUGUAAACAUAUUAAAUUAUCAGAGCAUGCACAACAAAUCCAAGUUAUGAUAAACAACUGACACAUCCUGAUUCUGGAUUAGGAACUCACAAAUUUGAAAAUUGCUUUAUCUUAUUUGAUCAAGGAUAGGUUGUUGUUGUUGUAACGAUGUUCUUAUAUCUAUGCCUAACAUCUGCAUGCGAGGCACCCCUAACCCUUUUUUAUUAUUGUAAUUAACUUUCAAAAGUUGCAUAUAGACUUAUAUGAUGUGCUGUCUAAACUAGGUAGGCACCUCUGUCGGACCCAAUAUUUGAAGCCAGAUGUGUGGAGAGGUUAAUCACUCCCCUCACCGGCAGUGGAUGCAGCCACACUGCUGCCUGCAAAACAUCUUUAUUGCUUCAACGCAAGGAAGGCUCUAGAAGCAUUUGGUUUGUCCAUGCAGAUGAUCUUAGUUACCUGGUUAUCAAUUAGCUUAAGCAAAGCUAAUCUCAGGCUUGCCACCCUCACACAACAUCGGGAUGCGUUUUGCACGAGAAGCAACGGCAAGGUUUGCCUUCUACAGCAGUCUAGUUUCUUGUUACCAUUGUCUAAUAAUCAAUACCAUCUUAAGCAUCAUGCGAUAGUUGAAGCAGGAAACAUGCACAUGCGCUCACCUUCCGGUUGCAUUUCAUCACAUAAAAGUGCCACAAACUAGCAAUACAACGAUAGGUAGCUUUAUGUGAAUUCGCAUUAAUAAUCCAUGCCACACAUACAAUAGCGAUAGUAGAUAGAAAGUUUAUCAUAUAGUAGUAGCUUGAGUAACUUCCAUGUUGUUUGGUUAAUGCUGCCUAUGAUUGUUGAUGAUCUUCUUGUUUGGUCUAGACGUACCUUCAGUUCUGUAAACAUAUUAAAUUAUCAGAGCAUGCACAGCAAAUCCAAGUUGAAAAUUAAUUACAAUGAUAAACAACUGACACAUCCUGAUUCUGGAUUAGGAACUCGCAAAUUUGAAAAUUGCUUUAUCUUAUUUGAUCAAGGAUAGGUUGUUGUUGUUGUAACGAUGUUCUUAUAUCUAUGCCUAACAUCUGCAUGCGAGGCACCCCUAACCCUUUUUUAUUAUUGUAAUUAACUUUCAAAAGUUGCAUAUAGACUAAUAUGAUGUGCUGUCUAAACUAGGUAGGCACCUCUGUCGGACCCAAUAUUUGAAGCCAGAUGUGUGGAGAGGUUAAUCACUCCCCUCACCGGCAGUGGAUGCAGCCACACUGCUGCCUGCAAAACAUCUUUAUUGCUUCAACGCAAGGAAGGCUCUAGAAGCAUUUGGUUUGUCCAUGCAGAUGAUCUUAGUUACCUGGUUAUCAAUUAGCUUAAGCAAAGCUAAUCUCAGGCUUGCCACCCUCACACAACAUCGGGAUGCGUUUUGCACGAGAAGCAACGGCAAGGUUUGCCUUCUACAGCAGUCUAGUUUCUUGUUACCAUUGUCUAAUAAUCAAUACCAUCUUAAGCAUCAUGCGAUAGUUGAAGCAGGAAACAUGCACAUGCGCUCACCUUCCGGUUGCAUUUCAUCACAUAAAAGUGCCACAAACUAGCAAUACAACGAUAGGUAGCUUUAUGUGAAUUCGCAUUAAUAAUCCAUGCCACACAUACAAUAGCGAUAGUAGAUAGAAAGUUUAUCAUAUAGUAGUAGCUUGAGUAACUUCCAUGUUGUUUGGUUAAUGCUGCCUAUGAUUGUUGAUGAUCUUCUUGUUUGGUCUAGACGUACCUUCAGUUCUGUAAACAUAUUAAAUUAUCAGAGCAUGCACAGCAAAUCCAAGUUGAAAAUUAAUUACAAUGAUAAACAACUGACACAUCCUGAUUCUGGAUUAGGAACUCGCAAAUUUGAAAAUUGCUUUAUCUUAUUUGAUCAAGGAUAGGUUGUUGUUGUUGUAACGAUGUUCUUAUAUCUAUGCCUAACAUCUGCAUGCGAGGCACCCCUAACCCUUUUUUAUCAUUGUAAUUAACUUUCAAAAGUUGCAUAUAGACUAAUAUGAUGUGCUGUCUAAACUAGGUAGGCACCUCUGUCGGACCCAAUAUUUGAAGCCAGAUGUGUGGAGAGGUUAAUCACUCCCCUCACCGGCAGUGGAUGCAGCCACACUGCUGCCUGCAAAACAUCUUUAUUGCUUCAACACAAGGAAGGCUCUAGAAGCAUCUAGUUUGUCUAUGAUUGCUUCUCAUAUAUUUUUAUGCAAGGAAGGCUCUAGAAGCAUUUGGUUUGUCCAUGCAGAUGAUCUUAAUUACCUGGUUAUCAAUUAGCUUAAGCAAAGCUAAUUUCAUGCUUGCCACCCUCACACAACAUCGGGAUGCGUUUUGCACGAGAAGCAACGGCAAGGUUUGCCUUCUACAGCAGUCUAGUUUCUUGUUACCAUUGUCUAAUAAUCAAUACCAUCUUAAGCAUCAUGCGAUAGUUGAAGCAGGAAACAUGCACAUGCGCUCACCUUCCGGUUGCAUUUCAUCACAUAAAAGUGCCACAAACUAGCAAUACAACGAUAGGUAGCUUUAUGUGAAUUCGCAUUAAUAAUCCAUGCCACACAUACAAUAGCGAUAGUAGAUAGAAAGUUUAUCAUAUAGUAGUAGCUUGAGUAACUUCCAUGUUGUUUGGUUAAUGCUGCCUAUGAUUGUUGAUGAUCUUCUUGUUUGGUCUAGACGUACUUUCAGUUCUGUAAACAUAUUAAAUUAUCAGAGCAUGCACACCAAAUCCAAGUUAUGAUAAACAACUGACACAUCCUGAUUCUGGAUUAGGAACUCACAAAUUUAAAAAUUGCUUUAUCUUAUUUGAUUAAGGAUAGGUGAUGGAAUUAGAAACUUACAACAUCCAAUUAGACUUGUAAUUCCAGUGAGAUGGUGGAUUCUGAACUCUAGUCUAAUGAAAUUUCGGAUUCAUGCUCUAGUCAAUUCUGAACUCAAUUUUGCUAGGCUCAAUUCUGAACCAGUCUACUGACUACAGGGGCACAUUAAUCUCAGUAAUAUCGGAUCUUAUUGUAGCUGCUGAUGCUGUUGUAACAUAACUAGCAUAAUACCCGCGCGUUGCUACGGUGAAAUAUUAAUUUUUUAUAUUAAUUUUAUCCAAUUAAUGCAUAGUGUUAAAAAAGUAAUAAGAAAAUAAUAGAUAUGUACUCAUCGUGUAACCACGGAUUUUUUGUCAAUUUGAUACGUAUUGUUAGAAAAGCAAUAAAAAACAAUGAAACAUAAUAUGUGCUUGAGCUUAGUAUAUACGUGCAAGAUACUUGAAGCAAAAAUUUCUCUCCACUUCUCUCAUAGAGUAGAUAGUACUUAAUUUGGUGAUGACCACACGUGCCUGGAAAGCAUAACUAAUAAGAUUUGCCGGCUAUUGAAUCAUUUCAUGUAUUGGCCCAUUGGGCCAAAAACAUGGUACUGUACUUCAAACGGUCAAAUAAGUAAAAUUGCUCAAGAAAAUAAAAAAAAAACAUGUGCAUGGCCUGGCGUUAUUACGCAACCUGUAGAAUUGAGUUCAGAAUAGUUUUUAUACUGCCCAUUAAUGAUUUUAAUAUAUUUCUCAACUUCCUGCAUACCCUAUCUUAGUUGAGCGUACAUUUUCUUCAGAUUAAGCUGUUAGUUUAUCCCAAAACCUUAAGGCCUCGUUCGUAGCCCUGCUAAUUGGGCUGAGAUCCGACUUCUACCCACACCGAUCCAUAUAUGCGUGCCCAAUGAAAACAACCCGCACUAAUCCUAUCCACCACCAGUAGUAAUGAAACCCCACCGAGCCUUACAUUAUUUCUGCUGCUAAACAAACCAAAUCAUCAGCAAACUAUAACUUGCUAUCCAUUAAGAACCCAUUUCCCCACCCUCGGAUUGCUCUGCAGACUGCUACUGACCAAGCAGAUUAGGAGACUAGCUGUCCGUUGGACUGCCCACUGCAAGCUGAAUUGUAUGUGUUGUGUUGUGCAAAACAAAUUAUUACAAAUUACACCAUGUUAUACAGAAGAAGAGGUCAAAUUGCUGAAGCUAUCAAAAAAGCCAUCUCCUUCAGCUGCGUCAGGGUGUGCUCCAUCGUGUACUCCCGUUGCCAGCUAGACAGCAUCUGGAACUUCUUCCCUUCAACCUGCAUGCAUGCCCAUCAGUUCAAAUGCAUACCACAAAAAAGGCAGCCUAUCACGGAAAACUGUGGAGCUGCAACUUAUCACAGCAAUAGGAAAGGCAUUGAACAGAAAGUCCAGUGUAACAAGAUGAAAUUGACUGAUCUUGCAACUACAGUGUUUAUUCUGCAUGUUCACAGUUAUAACAGGUAACAAAUUCAAAGUAUUUUAGUCAGAAAACAGGUAAUUACAGUCAUAGAAAAGGUUUCCAGGUCCAGAUACUACAAGCAAAAAUUAUGAUGAAGAACCAAACUGGACUUGCUUAACAGAACAUAGAACACAGAUAAAGAGUCGCUAUCUCAUUCUACUCACAACAAGACACCAUUGAUCUAACUAUGAUUAACCACAAAAGGUAGAACAGCCUUCAUGAUAUGCAAAAGCGUAGAACAGCCUGUUGACACCUUGUAACCACAUUUUUCAUAUCGAGUCCCCUCGUCUUAGGGCCAAAGGCAGUUCUUUUUAUUAAAUUUCAAAGCAGCAUGGACAUGCUGAACCUUUCACCUUUAACUUGUUCUGGAGCUCUCUCCAUCAAGUUAAAUUGUUGCCUAUUACUGGCAUCCAAAAUAACAGCAAUUCAGAUUCUCUUGCUCAUGUUAAGAAACUAUGUGCACAACUAAACUUGUUCUGAGCAUCAGUAAGCAAGCACUAGGUUAGUUUUAUCUAAUCCCUCUAGUGCCGAGCAAAUGAAAUCCCACAUUUUCUUUGUACCACUAAUUUCUGAUGAACCAAACACAGUUUGUAUACAGCAGCCAUAUCAACAAUUCGUUCCAGUGGAUUCAGAAUGUCCAAAUCAAGCCCUGAAUCAUGUAGCCUCCAACAGACUCUGAAGCGAUGCAGGGUAUAGGUCUGCUGUUAAGGAUUUCCAAAGUGAUCCAACCCCAAAACAUCACUUAAACCCAAAAGAUCGGAUCUAAUUUACUGAUCAAUCCAACACCCUAGGACGUGGAAACAUCGGAAUCGUAGAUUCACACAUCUCAUGGCGCGGAGGAGAUGAUGCGCACCUGGACCGCCAGCAACCGUGGAGAGCUCGUAUUGCCGCUGGCUUCUUGGAGAGCUUGACAGCCAGCUUCUUGGAGAGCUCGUCCGUUGGUUUCCUCUGCCCGAAGAAUCUGCCGGCUUCCUCUGCCCGAAAAAUCUACCAGCUUCCCUGAUGCGGCGGCGCAAGCGAGGCAGAGGUGGAGGCGUGGCUGCUGCAGCACGAGGGAAGGGAGUCCUAGCGGUGACGGCAGGACCGCGGGAGGGGAGGGGGGAGGGUCUGCUCCUUUGCUUGCGGCCUGGUGCAGUGGCGUGUGGACCUGCCCGACAGCUCGAGUGCUAAUUGGUCUGCAACCCCUGGUUUGGACCCUGAUAACCACCUGAUAAAAUGAAACUAGAAUUAUGUAAACGAUAACUAGUAAGCAAGAAGAUAUACAAACAAUAACUAGUAAGCAAGAAGAUAUGUAAAAGACAUGAGAUACAAUUUCAGCAAGUUGGGAUAAAUGGCUUCAUAUCAUCAUGAACUUGUGAUUGAGAACUAAUGGGAAUUGCUUCUGAUAUUAUGCUUGUUUUUUAGAACAAAUUGAUUCUUCUGUUAAUUAUGUGGAAAAUUCAGUUGUGAGAUGAUAAAUAUCAGAAUUGCUAUUGUAUCAGUGCAUGCUUUAACUUGGGGACUUAUGUGUGAAUACCUACAGUACUGCUGAGCUUUUGUAUCAUGGACUGUAAGGAGGAAAUAAAUAAAAAUUACGUCUGUUCCAUUGUUAGAUGUUUCCUAAACUGUUAACCUAACUAUUUAUUCGAUAAAAAAAACUUGGAACUUUAGCUGCUUCAGACCAUAAAAGUAAAGUCUUGCUUUGCUAAGCCCUCAUUUGUAUGUCUCCAGGGAUAAGAUUGUGAAGCACCUGUGCCACCAUCAUCAUCAGCUUAGCAGGGUCACUUUGAUAUUCCAAGGAAGGGCACCUUGCUAGCCUCCCUGAUUGCCCCCUAACAAUGAAGACGCAUGAGCGAGCUGCCAAUUUGGCUCUUGUUGGUACGUUUCUUGUUCAAUUCAGUCAUCGCUGCCUUCGCAAUCUUUACCUUGAUACCUUCUUCCUUUUCUUUUGAUAAAAAAUGAAAACUUGCUGACCUCUGCGUCCUCUUUUUUUAACAAUAUAUGCAGCUUUGAGUUUGGCACCACUUGUGGUUAAUGUAAACCCAAAUGUGAAUGUGAUAUUGACAGCAUGUCUUACUGUCUAUGUUGGUUGUUACCGUUCUGUCAAGCCAACUCCACCCGCUGUAAGAAAUAUGUUUUUCUUUGCUAAGUAUAUGUAUCUUCUGGGUAUUGCCUUGACAUGAAAAUCAUGAGACUAAUUGAUUUCUUGUGCAUUUUUAUUAUGCAGGAGACAAUGUCCAAGGAGCAUGCUAUGCGUUUCCCCUAAGUGGGAAGUGCUAUGCUUUUGUCAUUGUUCCUUCUAUUCAAGUUUCUUUCAAAAGACUUGGUCAAUGCUGUGCUCACUGCUUACUUCUUCAUUCUUGGCAUUGUUGCUCUCUGGUAAGUCCAAAUUUUCUUGGAAUAUCUUUUGCAAACAUGCAUACACUUAGUACUGUACUUAUGAGCUAAUGAAUGCAUUUGUUCCCUUGUCAUGCGGAGCAACAUUGCUUCCUUCUAUAAAGCAAUUUCUUCCAAAAGAAUGGAAUGAUAAUCUCAUUGUUUGGCGAGCUCCACUUAUCCACUGUAUGAUUUCUUAACUCUCUUUGAGGUUCAUUCUUGUUGGUCCAGUUGUGCAGAUCUUGAUAUGUUUCUGCAUCUUUGUUUUUAAAGAUAUCCUGUUGUGCUAUUUGAUUGUAUCUUCAAUACUGUUGUUAUUGAAAUAAAAAAAUGUGGUGGCGAUACACAAACUAUAUUUUAAAAACUUAUAAAGUUUUUAAUUUUUAUUAUACUCAACGUUUGCUAGUAAAUCAAUAGAAUUUUGACUUAACAUAUUUCCUUCUCAAAUACUCAUUACAUUUCUAUCUUUUUAUUUGUAUUAUUAGUUUACUUUUCGGGUGAUCUCAAGUUUUACUUUGCUAGUUAUUCCUAAAUCCAAACUCAACCAAACCAGCUGCAAGAGUCCAAAGCAAACACGGUUCAAACCAGUCAGUGGUCAUGGACCUCCUUCCUGGAUAGUUGAAAGGCUGAGUUCGACUCCACCUGGGCUCCUCUUUUUUGAGGAUUUGUACUCACUUUUUUUUUUCCUUUUUUCCUUUCGGCGGGUGAGGAGUUUUGCUCACUUUUUUCCGGGGCGGUUCACAGGUGGGGUCACGGUUUUCCUCUGGUUCAGGGGUAGUACAGCCUGGGGAUACGGUUUUCUUUCGGUUCAGGGUUACAGAGGCUAGUUUUUCUCCGGUUUUGCACUCCGUGGUCCGAUUCAUGUGGUGGGAGUCGAUUUUUCUUCUUUUUUUUACCAGUUCUAUGUGACGGACGAAAAUUAGUGGCAAAAACCUUGCUUGCUUUAAUAUUAGGUAGAGAUAUACAAAAGAGGUGAAAUAUCAAUAUAGUAAAAAAGGAGCCCAUCUAGUCCUGCCAUGUUAAUGAAAAGAAAAAUAAAAAUCAGUUCGGAGGUCAAUACUAACAAAAAAAAUUCUCUCUAGAAAACACUCCUUGGCCUUUGGGGUGAGGCGGGCCAUGAGAGCGGCAGUGGCAUUGCCGGCAUUGUUCUCCUCGAUGAAACUGAUAGUGGAGUUGACGAUGAGCAGAGUGAUGAUCCCUACAAAGUUCUGCCAGUCCGGUGGCUUCCCCUGAAAAAUCAGCGAAACACAUUAAACCCUCUGAACCCGCAGCUCCAACAAGACACCCGCUGUGAGAAUCAUUCACUUACUCCUCCGUUGGAGGGCGCGAUGGCCACGAUGGCGGCUGCCUCCAUGACCCAGGACAACGGGUUCCACAUGAAGCCCAGAAACUUGAGCACCUUGCUCCCCGCACAAGCACACGCACACAAAUCCAUCAUGUAACUUCACAUCACACCAUCUGCUAGAUCGAGUAACAAACCGAGUAACGGGAGCAGAAAGGCACGAGGCAAAGGCCGCGGAUUCACCUGCUUCUCCUCCAGCUUGUUUCGCCUGCUCGGUGGAGAGGCCCUGCGGGCUGCAUCGUAGGUUCUCGAACACCUCCUCGAUCGGGAUGUUCUCCUGCGCAGUCACAAGAAAUAUGAUAGGAAGAUGGCACAACUUAUAUCGACACCAUAUUGAAGUCGACAGUACCAGAUUUUUGGAAGGACUCCAAUCAUCCAAUCAAUUGAAAUAUCUUUGUCUGAGAGGCAUCUCUAGAAUCACUGAACUUCCUGCUUCCAUUGGUGGACUCUCAAAUCUCAGGAUCUUGGAUCUUCAUUCUUGUCAUAACCUUGAGAGGCUGACUGCAAGCAUCACGUCUCUUCAGAUGCUCACCCACCUUGAUGUGUCAGAGUGUUACUUGCCGGAAGGCAUGCCGAGGGGUGUUAUCUUGCUUACUGAACUUCAAGUGCUCAAAGGGUUUGUCAUUGGUGGUUCCACUGGCAAUUACAAUUGUCGGGUAACAGAGUUGGCCAGGCUGGACAAAUUGAAGAAGCUGAGUGUAUAUAUUGGAAGCAAAGUUAUAGUGAUAGAAGACGAAUUGAUUGAGCUUGAGAACAUCAAAGGCCUUCGCGUGCUGAAAAUUACAUGGGCUGUAUCACUUUCAAAGAAGGAGCGAGUUCAUCAAACUUAUGAUUCAACAUCAUUGCUAACUUCACUUUCCCUACCUCUAAAUCUUGAAAAGCUAGACCUGCGCUGCUUCCCUGGAGAGAAGAUACCAGAUUGGUUAAGUCCAAGUAAGCUGUUGAGACUGAAGAGACUAUACUUCACCGGAGGAAUGCUAAAUACCUUUGGCGGAAAAAAACAUGUCAGAGGUGUGGAAUGGAUCCAGGUGCGCCUGAAAUUCUUGAAUGAUUUAUCAGUGCAAUGGAUCCAGGUGCUUGACAUAUUAGAUGUAUGAAGCUGAAAUCUUUCCCUUGCGACAAGGAUGGGGUCUGGAUGAACUCUGACAUGCAGGAAGUCAGCAAACCAAGAACAGAAUCGUCCACCUUUUUGGGGGGACACGCAUUGGAGAAAAACAAUCUCGCUGCUCGGGAGCGGCGGAAAACGGCGCGGAUUGGGCGAACGAGUGCGGAUUGAGAAGGCGAGACGAGCACUAAAAAGGUGAAAUGAAAAAAAGAAAAAAAAUGGAGAGAAAUUGAGCGUAACCACAGUGAGAUGCGGCACAAGACUGACACGAACUGGAGGGACUCCAUGGGCCUCCACCCUGCGCCGCCGCAAGCCCCGCCCUCGCCGCCGUCCCCUUUGCCGGCCCUCCCACGCCGCCGCCAGGCGAGAGGCGCAGGCAAGAGGAGAGGGAGCCACGGGCGAGAGGACCGGAAUGGCGCAGACACUGCGCACGCAAAGGACGGGAGUAUACGAAAUAAGCAAGCUCACAACCGAAGCACGGGCCUAUUAUUAAAGCCAUGGUGUUUUUGGAGCAGCAAUCAGCAACAGAAACACAGCUCAAUGCAGAGACAAAGCAGGCAUCAACAGAAAAGCAAGCAACAAUACCAAAUAAGCAAGCAACCGCCAUUCCAGGUAGGAUAAGGUUCACGUUCUAAGAACUUGAUGACAAGUCACUGGACCACACUACUACUCAUAGUAUACGAGGGAGACCAACAAAAUCUCAAGUUUUGUCACCACUGUAGAACACCAAGAUUAUUUACUUUUGUUUUCCAAACACUAUCAUAUCCUCUGCAGUAAAUCUCGCUGCCGGCUUGGCCACAUCUGGAGUCUUAGCCUGCAACCUGUGGAAAAGAGAACCAAAGAGUGAGCGACUAGCAGCCAAACCAAAGUCAGAUCUCAGUAUUCAGGAACAAGCAACUCAACUCUUAAUGAAAAAAUGUGGAAUAAUUGAGAACACUAAGAAGGUAGAACCUGAAGCUUAGGAAAAGUUCAGAAAACAGUUCAUUAACCCGAUGCUGGAUAAAACAGUGAAGAAUCUGCGUCAAGCCUUUGGCCUAAAUGGGCCUGAGGGAUUGGGGGACUAUAGACCGAUCAGUUUGACAAGCAGCAUAUCAAAGAUCAUCUCAAAACUUUUGGCAAACAGGCUGUCACUGCACAUCAACCAACUGGUCUCCAUAAACCAGAGUGCCUUCAUUAGGAAAGGCAUUGAACAGAAAGUCCAGUGUAACAAGAUAAAAUUGACUGAUCUUGCAACUAUAGUGUUUAUUUUGCAUGUUCACAGUUAUAACAGUUAACAAAUUCAAAGUAUUUUAGUCAGAAAACAGGUAAUUACAGUCAUAAAAAAGGUUUCCAGGUCCAGAUACUACAAGCAAAAAUUAUGAUGAAGAACCAAACUGGACUUGCUUAACAGAACAUAGGAUCGUGUCGUUCGUCAUCGAAAUGGAACUUACUCGCUCGGGAACAGGCACAGGAUUGAGGAACUUUCAGGCGUAACACACCCGUAAUGGGGCAAUCUGACUAGCUGGUCAAAACCCUUUCCGCAGUGAGCUUUCAAACUUUCUUUAGAACUUGCUUCACAGGCUUGGAGGCAUUUUAACACCCUCCCGUAGGCUCACUUUGUUUCAGGCCUUUCCUUUCUCUCCUAAGAUCCCAUCCCAACCAACAAACGAGAGUCUGAUGGGGAUUCUACUUGAACGUUAACUAGACCUGCGCCCGUAUUAGCUUACCGGAAAACUAACUAAGGGGAAACUCAAAGGAAUUAAGCCAACUUCAAGCUAUAAAGAUAUUUCUAUUGAGGCUAAACUUAUCUGCCUUUCCUGGUACUUCAAAGUCAAAUACCACUGCUGCUACAUACAGGAGAAGAUAGAUGCUAGAGGACAGAUACAAGGACGGGGUCAUUGCAAAGAAAAAGAGCCAGAGGUGAGUGAGCCUACGACCACCAAUUGCUUAUCCCCAAUUACCAAUUGCAGCAGACUUGGACUAAAGGAAUUGCUUGAAGUGAAGACCAGUGAACAAAAGGCUUUACACAACAGAAUUGUUGACCUCUUUCGUUUCGGGAUAAGGCCUGGAAGAAGCAGGGAUUGAACCAGGGCUUGUUCACAGAGCAAAUAUCAAAAGCCUAUGUUGUAUUCAUAUAACUGCAUGUGUAUGUAACCCAUUUGUUUUUAUCCCUCACUAUUUUUGUGCCUUUUCUGGUCAGAAAUCCCAAGUUGACACACUUGCUGCAAGAUUCUCUAGGUAAGAUGAUCUGCUUGCUCAAGGAAAACCAUUUCCAUGAUUAAAGUAACAUUUUCCUAUAUUUAUUUUUCCACUUAGCCAUAUGAUUAAUUUUCUCUGUUCCUUUUGACACUGAUAAUAGGAGACUCUAAAGCAUUGAUGUUUGUGCAAAUUAGCCCAUCCGAUAGUGAUGUAUCAGAAACCUUGAGUUCAUUAAACAUCGCCAGCCAUGUUCGGCGUAUUGAGUUGGGACCAGCAAAGAAGCAAGUUGAUACUGUUGAACUUCAAAAGACCAACAGAUGAUGAGUUUUAGUUGUGCAUUUUCCUAAGUUAACUUUCAUGACAACUUGCACACUGUGCUAGCAACCUGCUUGAGGCUAGCUUAAUGAUAUGUAAUUUACAUUUUUCCUGCUGAAUGAAUGUAAGCUUGAAAGAACUAAGCAAGAAGUCAGACUUAAGGAUGACUCUUGAGAAAGCUAGAAGAGAACUUAAAAAAUUUCGAGACCAAAGCCAAAGGGAAAGAGUAACUUUGCAAGAACUUGCAAGAAAAGGUAUAUAAUUAUUUGAAGAGUUGGUUCUUCUGGUGUUUCUUGGUUAUUGUUUUUUGAUUUGUACCUGACAGCCUGUUGAAACAUAUAUUAGGUAAAAGAGAGGUCAGUUAGAUUCCAGGGCACAUUCUCAAAUGACAUCAGAGAAACAGCAGCAUCAGCUCUCUGGAAAACUAAAGGAGAAAGAAGAAAUGUGUACUGCCCUUCAGCAGAAGGUACAAACGGAAGUAGUUACUGUUGUUUACAUGCUAGAACCAUGAACAGUUACUGUUGUUGUAGUUACUUAAUUAGGAAACUUGAAAUUUCUGUGUACCCAUUCUUAUCUCCUUUUCAGAUCGUGGAGUUAGAGAGCAAACUUAGACAGCCGCACCAAUCAGAAUCUGAGGUUGCAGUUCUCAAGCAAAUGGUAAUUUACAAGUAGUUAUCAACGAGGUUUAGCAGCACGCUUCGAUUGGUUUUAUAUGUUUUUUUUCCUUUCCUCAGAUCGAAGAGAUGGAGCUCAAGUUGAAGGCGACUCCUAUAAAGAUUAAAACAUUUAUACAUUUUAUAUGAUUGUUGCGGAAUUAAAGGUGCUCCUUGAACGGUGUGCUAUCUUUGAUUCUACUAUAUGAUUGUUUUUUUACCAAGUUCCUGCCCUCUUUUCAAAACUACUAUUACCAAUCUAGCAAUAACCAUCAUUUUCAGGGACCGAGCAAGGGAUGAGCAAGGGUUUGAACAUACCUCAAUGCUUACGACGGCCACGACGGCCACGACGGCGGGUUGCUGACGCCUCCUUACGCUCCUGACGAUCCCUAGCCUCGCGCUCCCUCGCUUCCCUGGCCUUACUCUCUUCGAUCCGGUGCCUCUCCUCAUGGCCGCGGAUGAAGAUGCGGUCGUACACGCCUUCCUUGAGACGGCAAGGGCGGCACCCCCACCACACCAUCUCGCCGCCGAGCACCCCCACCCCCACCGCGCGCGCUUCUCUCCCCAUUGAUCCCGCCGCCGCCGCCGCCGCUCGCUGAGGAAGGAGUUGAAAGAGGAUUUUCGGGUGGUAUAGAGGGUUUGUUUUAUCAGUAUACUCCUGUUAGGAAAAAGCCCAUGGGCCAGCAAUGAAUUGGGCUUCCAAAUCACUGCGGCCUGCUAACAACGAAUGAAUGCGGCCCACCUCCCCGCCGCCGGCGCCGGCGCCCGCGCGCGGCAGCAGCAGCAACCCCACCAGCAGAGAGAGAGAGAGAGAGAUCUGCGACUGGGCAGUGAUGGUGUCCGACGGGUACGAUCCGAUCUGGAGCGGCCGAUUAAUUAGAACGGAGGGGGGAGGAGGCUUCGCUGAUUAGCGUCGUGAUUGGAUCGUGUCAGCGUGGCACGAGGAUGAGAGGAGAGGAGGUGCUCUGCUCGGCGCAGGGAAUUUUCGGGCCGGGUGUUUCAGGGGUAAAAAUGUCAGACCACCAUGGAGAAGUAGUAGAAAAUUCCACCUAUUAUAUGGAUAAAAAAAUUGUGGCAAGAGCAAAUACGAAUAGGAAUUUUUUUUUUUGGACGAAGUCUAUCAAAUGGGAUGGCUUUUCACGCGCGGGAUUGCGCGACGCCCUCCACGUGCACGAAGAGGUCCAAAAGCAUUUCAAUAUGCGCAAUAUUUGUCGGUGGAUUAGAUUGUAAUUGACCUAAAUUUGAAUAUUUAGACUAUGGAUAAGAGGUGUUAAACUUUAGUAGUGUCACAUCCGAUGUUCAGAUGCUAAUAGUAGAACUAAACAUGAGUUAAUUAUAAAACUAAUUGCAGAACCCCUGGGCUAAUUUGCGAGACGAAUGUAUUAAGCCUAAUUAAUCCAUCAUUAGCAAAUGGUUACCGUAGCACCACAUUGUCAAAUCAUGAACUAAUUAGGCUUAAUAGAUUUGUCUCGCGAAUUAGACUCCAUCUGUACAAUUAGUUUUGUAAUUAGCCUAUAUUUAAUACUUCUAAUUAGUAUCAAACAUCCGAUAUGAUAUGUGCUAAACUUUAGCGGGUGGUUAUAUCGAUGUGCAGGUGAAAACCGAUGCUUAAACUCUCUUUCUUCAAGCGUCGGUUCAUGGCAUUGCAAGUUACGAGAUUAAAAAGAAGAAGCUAAACUGCGCUCGGCAUUUUUUUUCCUCCCUUUUUCUCUAGCUCCGACAAGCCUCCACGAGCUUAGACGAGCUUUUAGGUUCGGAGUUGGGGGACCUAGAGAAAAUUUUGGAGUGACAAGGCAGCGGGCGAUGGUGGCGGUCGAGACAGCGGCGAGGCGGGACGGCGGGGGCAAGCACUGUUGGCAACUUCGUGUAGAGCCUUGUGGUCGAGAUGGUACCCACCGCCGGAGACGGGAAGGUCAGCAUCAGCGGCGGGGGCUUCUUAACACGAACUCGCCGAAGAACAGCUCGACAACGGGAGCGGACAACGAAGGAGGAGGAGGGAGGGACGGUGGAGUGCGGGCGGGCAUCACUGGCGCCAGCAGGGCGGAGGGCAGUGGGCGGCGGCGGCUCAGGUGGCCGGUCUUGGGACGGCGAGUGAAUAAGAACGCGAAGUAGGAGAAGAUAAGGAGGGAGGAGGAGCUGAUCUCGACCGUUCGUUUUAGAUCGGAUGGCUUAGAAAAUCGAGUGUAUGAGGAGAGAAAAAUAAAAAUAGGUACAGGAUAGAAAAAAAACAACUAGCAUUUUUGGAUCAUGGCAUCAUGUACAUGCAUCGAUGCUUGGGAAUAAAAAUAGGUAUAACAGGAACUCAAGGAGAAGGGGGUUGUUUUUAGGCAUAGAAAGUGACGGUGCUGGUAAGAAUAGGCCGACAAGAUCAUUUCCCAAACUGAUGUUGCACAUUGCAGCCGACAAAAAGAAUAAGCAUCGCUCUGACGUAUUGCAGGUUUAAGUUUUUGAAACAGCCUUAGAACAAUAGAAACUGCAAAAAGGAUUGAAAGGACCAUGUCGCUCUUAACAAUGCGGCCAUGGCGAGCAGCGGGAACGCGGGGCCUGACGGCGAGGAGGAGGAGGAGGAGAAGCUCCUGGUGCGCGGCCAUGGCGAGCGGCGGGCGUCCGGGGGCGGUGGAUGGAGGUGGAGGGAUUGCGCGAGUGUGUGCGGGAGAAAAAAUAGAACGGGAUGAAACGAACCGGUAUGUCCGUAAUUUAUGGUAGGUGGGUAAUUUUUUACCCUAAAAUCACUUGAAAACAGGGGAAGGUGCUUUUUGUUUUGUACUGGAGCAAAAGUAACUUUUGGGCAAAAGCACAUGUGGCUUUUAGGUUAGCUUUCGACUUUUGCAAAAGUAAAACCAGGUUGAAAAACUCAAUCAAAUGUACCCUAAUAAACUUGCGGACGCAGACUUAACUAUAAAACUGUUGUGCAAGGUCUGGAAGCAAGUACACCGCGGAAUUCAAAGUAUUUCUUCUGACCACCUCGCACAGGUCAAGAGCAUAGUUCGUGGCUCUUCCAAGAAAUCGUACGAAGAUAAAACCUUUUCUUCGCUACUGUCAUCAUCAGAAUGAGGUGACAUGAUUUAGUAGCUCAUAUAAGAUGUAGGCAUGUAGCGUCUAAACGACUUUAAUAGUUCGGCAUGCACCCACCCAUCAACUUUCAGUGCUCUCUUUUGUAAGGAUUAAUUCAUUGUUUAUUGUUGGCUAAAAUGAUGACCAUGAACAUAUUCUCAAGAGUUUCUGUGUCCGUUUAAGACAUUUGAUGGUUAAAGAAAGCACCGUCAACAAGAAACAGAUUUGUAAACACAAAGGGAAGGGUCAAUCUCCCCCUAUACGGAUGCAUUGAACAAACUAUUAUUGAUGCUUUGUUGUUGCCUUAUAACUAGUUCUAGUGCUGCUUGUGCGUCAAACCACGAGUUUUGGAGGGAAAAGCCAUGUCAACCACUUACCAUCAGCCCGUUUGCUAUGCCGUGGAAGGCUAAACGGCCUGCAAGAUGAGGAUCUGGUGUCGAAUACUUGGUCCACAUCCACAAAAUAUAUGCAACCCUCCUUCAUGUCUCCAUACACACGGAUGGACUUGCUGAAUGAUCGGCUGAGAAAGAGUGCCUCGCCUUCAGGUAGCGCAUCACGACCCGUGACUGAAACCCAUCUGCCGGCAUCGAUGUCCGCCUUGAAGAGCUCGACCUUGCGAGUGUAAGGGGGGUGAAAUGGAGGUGAUUGCACCUGCCGCCUCACCAUGAGCAACUCUUGGCCGCCGCAUGACUCGACAAGCAACCUACUGGUCGUGAUGUAGUCCUUGGGUUCAUAUGGCACCUCCUCGUCCACCCCAUCCUCGUCAUCGCUUGGAACCAGCUGGCCAUCAUCAGGAUUGAAGCUAUCAGCUGCCUCAUCACCGGACUCUUCUCCAUCAUCGGUAUCGUAGUCGUCAUCCAUCCAGCUCCACGGGUCUUCUUCACCAUCAGCUAACGGAUGCCUGAUGACUCGCUUAAAAUUGGGAACAAUUGGACUCCCGUCGUCGUCGUCGGCAAGGUCGAAGGCGACUAGGUCCUCAUGUCGUGUGAUCCCGUAGAGUUUAUCUUUGAAGAAAGCAACAUCGAAGACGCCUAGGUAGGGAAGCACCCAGCUCCCCUUGCCGGGGCGGCACAGGAUGAUGGUGCAGUUGUCGUUGUUGGUGGUGACGGCGACGAGGUCAUUAGGACUAGCGGAGCGCAUGAGCACCUUGCGGAUCUCGAACGUCUCGUUGACAUGGCCGGCGAUGGAGUCGAGCUCGGGGAGCGACACGGUCUUUUCGUAGAAGGGGUUGUGCAGCAGGUAAUUGUGCUCGUGCUUGACGUCGCUCCUGGGCUCGGGGAAUUUGCCGUCGCGGAUAUACGCGUCGAAGCUGUUGGUGCGCCGGAACACAUCGUCGGUGCAGUCGAGAGCGAGCCAGCUGUCGGUGGCGCCGAGGCAGGUCACGUUGCGAGGCAGGCGGGAAUUCCGGUUGAAGAAGACGCCGGUGUCGCCGAUGGUGCAGAAGGAGCCAUUGGGGAUCACGAUCCACGGCAUCGCCUCCUGCUCUUGGUCCUGCAGCUUGCACGCGACGGCGGAGUGCCAUGCGCGGCAAACGGCCCGUAAGCGGGCGACGUCGGCGUCGCAGAGGCAGGCGACGAUCUCGCCGAGGACUUCCGGCAGGAGAUCGGCCCACGCUGGAGGCGACGGCGAUGCCAUCGUCGAGCUUCUUCUUACAAUAUGUGGAUUUGAGCAAGGGAUGUUUGAUAUGCAAUGCAAUGGCAUCGUUGGAUAUAUAUAACGGCGGUGCGGACCAGAAAUAAUGAGUUGGAAUCGUUCAAGGACUCUUAUCCCUCUUGGGAUUCGGAUUGGAAUUCACGAUCUUUAGCUUGGAUUCGUCUCGUAACCCGGCUUCUCACCGUCGAUGUCUCCGAGUACCUCCGUUUCCGAUCCGCGUGCAAACCCUGGCGCAACCCGUGCACCGGCGACCCCAGCUUGUCCGGCGGCGGGCUUGACCUCCGUUUCCGAUCCGCCCUGGCGCAACCCGUGCACCGACGACCCCAGCUUGUCCGCCCCCGAUCGACACUGGAUCGCGGCCUCCCACUGCGCAUCCCCGUCGCGCCGCCGCCUCAUCAACAUCUGCACCGGUGCACGCGCCGAGGUCGACCGCCCGGAGCUCCUCACCCACCACCGCUUCGGCGUCUUCGAUGGUCUCCUCGUCCUCUGCGACAGGGCCACCAGCGCCGCCGUCCGCGUCCUCAACCCUCUCACCGGCGCCCUCACAAUCACCAACGUGCCGCGGUCUUCAAGGCCUUCUUCUAUACUAGCUCGAUCGGAACCACUCACGGAAGAGGAGAUGCGCCAUUGACACACUCCCAAGAUAGACGUCCCCGACCCCUCAGCAAUCAAUGACACCGCCAGCAGAAUUAUUCACGAUACAGGAUGGUGUUAGCUAGUUUACAACGAAUGAGUUUAUCAGGCAACUGCACAGAGGCAAAAGAACAGGAAAACAUGAUAAAAUCCAGACCAGCUACUUCACAGUCUCUUCUGCGCGGAUACUUUGGAUGUAUUAACAUACUGUCUAAUUGGGUUAGGACAAACUAGUCUUUUUACAUCAUGUAUCGCCCCCACUGGGAUUACAAAUUCAGAUCAGAGCGCUAACAAGUGUAAGUGACUAUGCUUUGGGUUCGGUUUUGCGACUAGCCUUCCCUCUGAUUGACCUUUCAAUGGUACAAAAUGAAGGGAAAGGGUACACUAAGGAUAGCGCGGGUGCGCGAUUGGGCGAGCGUCCGGGGACGUCCUGUCCCAUCGCCGGUGGUGAGUGGCUGGCGGCGCUGCGCCAAGGGGCCGCCGCGACACGCCGUGCGCGAUCACCCCCUAAUCGUGUGCAUAUGCGUUCGCGGUGGCAUGCAUAGGCAGCGGGUUUGGGACAAUUUUGCUUCAAAUUUUGAACUCGAACUUCAAAAAUUCCAAAUAUAAAAGUUUGAUCUGGGAUUAUAAGCUACACUUUUUACCAAAGCCAACCAGUGAAACUCUCAACAGAUUUGGAGUUUAAGUUGAGCAAAGUUUGGCAGAACGUCGGCUUGGGCUGAUUUUGAAUUUAUCCCCAAAUUUGGCUGAUUUGGAUUUAAAAUUUGAAGGCCUUCCACACAAAAUCAGUGUAAGCUCAAAUAACAAAAGUUGUUUGUUUUUAAAAGUUCCACAACUUUCAUAUUGGCCAAAAGUUAAGUUAUUAUAUAAAAUUUCAUUUUUAACUUCUACCCCCAUUUAAUGCUUUUUAGGGCAUUUUUCAACACUUAGUGAAUUUUCCACUUGCACAGUGUGCAAGGUCUCCACUGUUUCCGCUCCACUCCGAUUCAGCCCCCAAAAUGGCUGAGAGAUCGCCGGCCGCCGCUCACCACCGCUGCUGCUGGGGGUGUACCGUUGCUCUUCGACGGAGGAGACGCUCGGGUAUCUCUUGCCGGACGGAGGAACGAGGAGUGCUCCGCUUGCUUUCCGACUUCAAGCCCGAGGUUUUGCUUCGACACGGGCAGAAGGAUGAAGAGGCACCAAGGGAAGGGAAGGGACGCCCAGAGUGAGGCGGAACUCCGGCGAGGCGACGCGGAGGUGCGGGGGACCGGGUCGCCGAUCGGUAAUUUUGCAAAUGACCCUCGUGAUCCGAUUUUUUGUAAAAUACCUCUAUUAUUUUCAUUUAACCUCAGCCAUUAUUGAUCGUGAUCCGAUUAUUUGCAAAAUGCACCCUAUUAUUUUCAUUGAACCCCAGUUCGAUCCGAUUAUUUGCAAAUGCGCCCUAUUAUUUUGAUAUAGCCCCCCGGUUCAGAUCCAAUCCUGCUCUCCCGCCCUUCAGGCUCCACCAGCCGCCGCCGCCGCCGCCUUCCACCCCCGCGACCGCUAGGAAGUACACAAUCCCUCCCAUCUAAUGCACAAACCCCCUGGUCGCUUAUGCCUGUGCCUAUUGCCUAAGGCACUAGAUAUCUUGCCCAGGGAGUCUCAGACCUUAAUAUGUUCAGCGUGCGUAAAGUUUUCUCAAAUUCAUGCUGACUUCAGAAUCUGUCACGAGUAAUCAAAGUCAUUAAGUAACCGGAUUCAUCCAAUGUGAUCCCUCCAUGAGACUUGCAAGAUUAACUCUGCUUAACAUUUCAGGGACUUGAGAAAAAAUUACUUAACUGGGCCGUUAGCAGCAUUCAUUGGAGAACUAACUGCUCUGGAAUCCAUGUAAUACUCUGAACUCAAAACAGUGAUGCAGUUCCUGCAUUCAAGCAAUCUUACAUUCUUUUCCUUGUAAAUCACAAGGACUGUCGGCAUCAAUGCAUUAUCUGGACCUAUCCCAAAGGAGCUUGGAAAUCUUGUCAAUCUCGUAUCACUGUAAGAUCCUCCAAUCAUGUUAUUCUAAGUGUUGCCUUUCACUUGCACGAAAGUCAUGCGGCUGUAUGCAUGUAGUGUGCCUCUCAAGCAUUAUGGCAUUAUAUUGAAUAUGAUCUGAUCUCAAAAGUUAAUAUAAUAUUGUGGAAGUGAGAAUCUGAUGGAAAAAAAUGAGCAUCGUCCCCAUCAAAUAUUCAUCAGCUUUUCAAUUGCCUAAAAGUACGUAACAACACUUUGUUUUGGACAUUUCUUUGGAGCUAACCUAGUUUAAUUAAUUAUUUCUUUCAGGGCAUUGGGCUCAAACAAUUUUAACGGCACACUUCCUGAUGAGCUGGGCAAAUUGACAAAACUUAGACAAAUGUAAAUCAUCUAUUUGGUCGCUUUACAUGUCUUCAUAAUCACCUAUGCUUUCGUUACUGUUUAGAGUGAUAACUUUAUGCAUGAGACAACUGAAAAAUGUUAUCCAUCUUUGAGCUGCAGAUACAUUGAUAGUAAUGACUUCAGUGGUCCUCUACCAUCGACAUUGUCACAACUGAAGAACCUCUCAGUCUUGUAAUUUUUUAAAAUGAGAUAUCAACUCGUAAAUUUCUUCUUUCUUCUGAGGUAGAAACCAAUAAUCUUGCACACCCUUGUCAUCAUGCAUCCAGGUGGGCAUCAGACCAUAAUUUCACUGGGGAGAUACUUGAUUAUCUCGGGAGCUUGACUAACUUGACUGAACUGUAAGAUCUAUAUUUGACAACCACUAAGGUCUUAAUAUUUUUCAAAUUGUUUUCUCAACAGUAAUAGUAAGGAAAGUUAUUCAUUGUUCUGGAGAAGUGCAAGACAUUGCAUAUCUACGGAUCUACCUGCAUCAUCGGUUUCUAUAGCACAAUUACAUUUAUCAUGAGGAACUAGCUUAGGUAUUACUACUUUACUGACCAGAUAUCUAUGAAUUUCCAGGAGGCUCCAAGGGAAUAUUCACCUGAACUUAUACUCUGUUGUACAUUGCAGUUAUACUACUGCCCAGAAUGACAUCUUGGUGGCGGGCCGGUUGCUGCGGUGGGUUGGGCCGGAAGGCCGGCCUGGCUGGAAAGAGGAGCCUGCUGAUGGCUUGGGCCGGAGCGGCCUGAGAAGGUAAGGGGUGGCGGCCUGCGGGCCGGUUGCUGCGGCGGGUUGGGCCGGAAGGCCGGCCUGGCUGAAGAGGCAUGGCGAGAAGCGGGUGGAACAUGGAAUUUUUUUAUUUCUUUAUUUUUUUUACGAAUUUGUAGAAAUAUACAAUGGAAUCAAAACUUUGCAAAAAUAGGAUUAUACCGCGGCUGAAACGACGGUAGAGUCCUUGUACCGACACCCACGUGCGGGCUUAUGUUGUCAGAUGAAACGGCGGUAAGGGGCGGUAGGGUACCCUGCCUGUUUGGUGACGUCGUUUCAGCGACCGAACGACAAAAGGGACCGAACGACUUGAGGAUAAAAAAAGAUCCGCCCCGGCUCUCCACGACACGGAGAGCUGACACGAUGUUGUUAUCCUCGUAUAAAAAAAGCUCCAAAGCGAGAAAAAGGCAUAAACAGGAGAGCCAUGCAGUGCGUUGUCACCGUCUAAAGGGGGUGUUUGGGAGGGGGCUAAAUUUCAGAUUUUAGCUCUCUCCUCCCAAACACCAGGGCUAAAAUGGAGGGGCUAAACAUUAGCCCCCAUAAUUCAUUAGCCCCUCCAAGAGGUGCUAAAAUGGGCUAAAGUGGGCUAAAAGUGGUCCCCUCAUACCAAUUUCCACCCCCUGCCCCCUCUCUCCUCCCCGCAUCGCCCGACUCCGCCUCGCCCGACUUCGCCUCGCCUCGCCGGCCCCACCACUGCCGGCGCCACCUCCGCCUCGCCUCGUCGGCGCCACCUCCGCCUUACCUCGCCGGCCCCGCCACCACCGCCGCCGCCUUUGCCGGCCUCCCCUCUGCCGGGUCCUGCCGCCACCGCCGGGCUCCCCUCCGCCAUGCCCCGCCGCCUCCACCUCCGCCGGGCUCCCCUCCGCGCCGGCCGACCCCAUCUCCUCCAGCUGGACCCGCCGCCUCCGCCCACCCCCACGGCCUCCGGUGACCCGACCGCCGCCGGCUGUACCCGCGGCCUCCGGCGACCCCGCCUCUUCCGGCCGGACCCGCCACCUCCGGCUGCCCCGGCGGUCUCCGGCGACCCACGCUUGGGAGGAUUUUGUGUGUUGUGCUGCCGAUUGCAUGAGGAAGAAGGGUUUAAAAUGGGAGGAGGGGAAGGUGGGGGUAUUGUUGUCUUUUGUCCAUCAAAGUGCUAAAAUUUAGCCUCCCAUCCAAACACUUCAGGUGCUAAACUUUAGCCCCUUCCUCCCAAACAGGCCCAAAGAUCCCAUGCAGAGACCGCACGCUAGCUUUCGUCUGGUAGUGUCAUCACCAUCUGACAUCUUCAGUCUAGGAAUUUGGUGGACAACCGUUGAGCGGUAAGGCGCUACCGCCAGCUGAAACGGCGGUAAGGAUCCUACCGUCAUUUUACCCGGCGGCAUAAGUCCAUUUGUACCCAUUUUUUAUUUCACUAUAUAUUUCUGCAAAUUCAUAAAAAAAUAAAAAAUAAAAAAAAUUCUGGAACAGGAGGCGGUAGCUUGGGCCAGGCCGACGCAUGCGUGUCCGGUUGGGGGUGCAUGCUGACGAGGUGAGCUAGCAGGCCGGCAAGAGAAAAAGAUAGGGAGGAAACGAGCUGGGCUGGCUCCAGACACAGGCCGGCCACUAGUUUGUGUGCGUGCGAGGAGAAAACAAGGAGAACAAGAAGACGGAUGCUAAACAGGUCGAGCUUUUCACAACUCAGCCAGCUCGGUGUAAACUGCUAAUCCUCUCUCUCUCCUUUUCACGUAAAAGCUCAGCAGAUGUUGGAAACCAAUCAUGUUAGCUUUGCUUUUGGACCUAAGUGUUUGGAUCCUCGAGCUAAAGUUUAGUCCGUGUCAUAUCGGAUAUUCGGAUGCUAAUUAGGAGGAUUAAAUACGAGCUAAUUGCAGAACCCCUAGCAGAACCCCUAGGCUAAAUCGCGAGACGAAUCCAUUAAGCCUAAUUAAUCCAUCAUUAGCGAAUGUUUACUGUAGCACCAUAUUGUCAAAUCAUGGCUUAAUUAGGCUGAAUGGAUUCGUCUCGCGAUUUAGCCUAGGGGUUGUGAAAUUGGUUUUAUAAUUAGCCUAUGUUUAAUACUCCUAAUUAGUAUCCAAACAUUCGAUGUGACAGUGGGCUAAAGUUUAGCCUCAGGAUCAAACACGCAAACAUGAUUGGCUUCCAACAUCUGCUGAGCUUUUACGUGAAAAGGAGAGAGAGAGGAUUAGCAGUUUACACCGAGCUGGCUGAGUUGUGAAAAGCUCGGGUGUAAGUUAGAGUUAGUCAUGUUAGAUUUUUAUUAUGCUAUUUAUAUACUAGCUUUAGUUUGUAUUUUUUGAUCUAAUCCAAAAAUACAAACUUACCUUUGAGAUCUAAAUUAAAUCAAAUAAAAUCCAAAUCACUUGUGCAAGCAUGUUUUAAAUUUAAAUGCAUAAUUUAAUUACUACCUUUUUCAAUUUAGAGGAAAGAAUUGAGGGUUGACCUUAAAUUUUACCAAGUAUUUAUAUGCUUCACAUAAUCAAACAAAAAAAUUUCAUUUUUGCAAAAAUUAGCACAAUUAAUAUCACUCAAUUUUGAGGGAUAUUACACUUUUGUCAUGAUUUAAAGUUGGCCCGUGAAUAAAAGGGCUUUAGUCCCGACGCAACCCUCCAUGUCUCCGUACACACGAGUGGACUUGUUGAAUGAUCGGCUCAGAAAGAGUGCCUCGCCUUCAGGUAGUGUAUCACGAUCCGUGACUGAAACCCAUCUGCCAGCAUCGAUGUCCGCCUUGAAGAUCUCGACCUUGCAAGUGUACUUGGGGUCAAAUGGAGAUGAUUCAUCAGCAGCAUCUGCAAUUACCUUGAGGGACACUGAGAAUAGCUUCCUGUGGUACCGUAAUCCCAGAGAGUUGUGGUGCAGCAAUCCCAGAGCCGAGCGGCCACCCGCCGCUGUCCGUGCCCGCAACGAGUACUGCCUCCGGAGCUCCUGGAUCUUCGGCUGGAUCCGCUUCCACACGAACUCAACCUCCACGAUGGGCGCCCCCACCGCGACGGGCGAUAGUGGGGGUAUGGGCCCCGCAAGCGCUGACACCGACGUGAGGAGGUGCUCAAGCUCACAGUCGGCGGCCAUGGCGAGCAGCGGGAACGCGGGGCCUGACGGCGAGGAGGAGGAGGAGGAGAAGCUCCCGGUGCGCGGCCAUGGCGAGCGGCGGGCGUCCGGGGGUGGUGGAUGGAGGUGGAGGAAUUGCGCAAGUGUGUGCGGGAGAAAAAAUAAAACGGGAUGAAACGAACCGGUAUGUCCGUAAUUUAUGGUAGGUGGGUAAUUUUUUACCCUAAAAUCACUUGAAAACAGGGGAAGGUGCCUUUUGUUUUGUACCGGAGCAAAAGUAACUUUUGGGCAAAAGCACAUGUGGCUUUUAGGUUAGCUUUCGACUUUUGCAAAAGUAAAAUCAGGUUGAAAAACUCAAUCAAAUGUACCCUAAUAAACUUGCGGACGCAGACUUAACUAUAAAACUGUUGUGCAAGGUCUGGAAGCAAGCACACCGCGGAAUUCAAAGUAUUUCUUCUGACCAACUCGCACAGGUCAAGAGCAUAGUUCGUGGCUAUUCCAAGAAAUCGUACGAAGAUAAAACCUUUUCUUCGCUACUGUCAUCAUCAGAAUGAGGUGACAUGAUUUAGUAGCUCAUAUAAGAUGUAGGCAUGUAGCGUCUAAACGACUUUAAUAGUUCGGCAUGCACCCACCCAUCAACUUUCAGUGCUCUCUUUUGUAAGGAUUAAUUCAUUGUUUAUUGUUGGCUAAAAUGAUGACCAUGAACAUAUUCUCAAGAGUUUCUGUGCCCGUUUAAGACAUUUGAAGGUUAAAGAAAGCACCCUCAACAAGAAACAGAUUUGUAAACACAGAGGGAAGGGUCAAUCUCCCCCUAUACGGAUGCAUUGAACAAACUAUUAUUGAUGCUUUGAACAAAAUCUAGUGCUGCUUGUGCGUCAAACCACGAGUUUUGGAGGGAAAAGCCAUGUCAACCAGUUAUCAUCAGCCCGUAUUCUCUGCCAUGGAAGCCUAAACGGCCUGCAAGACGAGGAUCUGGUGUCGAAUACUUGGUCCACAUCCACAAAAUAUAUGCAACCCUCCGUCAUGUCUCCAUACACACGGGUGGACUUGCUGAAUGAUCGGCUGAGAAAGAGUGCCUCACCUUCAGGUAGCGCAUCACGACCCGUGACUGAAACCCAUCUGCCGGCAUCGAUGUCCGCCUUGAAGAGCUCGACUUUGCGAGUGUAAGAGGGGUGAAAUGGAGGUGAUUGCACCUGCCGCCUCACCAUGAGCAACUCUUGGCCGCCGCAUGACUCGACAAGGAACCUACUGGUCCUGAUGCAGUCUUUGGGUUCAUAUGGCACCUCCUCGUCCACCCCAACCUCGUGAUCGCUUGGAACCAGCUGGCCAUCAUCAGGAUUGAAGCUAUGAUCGCCACCACCAUCAUCGGUAUCGUUGUCGUCAUCCAUCCAGCUCCACGGGUCUUCUUCACCAUCAGCUAACGGGUGCCUGAUGACUCGCUUAAAUUUGGGAAUAAUUGGACUCCCGUCGUCGUCGUCGGCAAGGUCGAAGGCGACUAGGUCCUCAUGUCGUGUGAUCCCGUAGAGUUUAUCUUUGAAGAAAGCAACAUCGAAGACGCCUAGGUAGGGAAGCACCCACCUCCCCUUGCCGGGGCGGCACAGGAUGAUGGUGCAGUUGUCGUUGUUGGUGGUGACGGCGACGAGGUCAUUAGGACUAGCGGAGCGCAUGAGCACCUUGCGGAUCUCGAACGUCUCGUUGACAUGGCCGGCGAUGGAGUCGAGCUCGGGGAGCGACACGGUCUUUUCGUAGAAGGGGUUGUGCAGCAGGUAAUUGUGCUCGUGCUUGACGUCGCUCCUGGGCUCGAGGCAUUUGAGGUCCACGAUGUUGGUGCGCCGGAACACAUCGUCGGUGCAGUCGAGAGCGAGCCAGCUGUCGGUGGCGCCGAGGCAGGUCACGUUGCGAGGCAGGCCAGGAAUCCGGUUGAAGAAGACGCCGGUGUCGCCGAUGGUGCAGAAGGAGCCAUUGGGGAUCACGAUCCACGGCAUCUCCUCCUGCUCUUGGUCCUGCAGCUCGCACGCGACGGUGGAGUGCCAUGCGCGGCAAACGGCCCGUAAGCGGGCGACGUCGGCGUCGCAGAGGCAGGCGACGAUCUCGCCGAGGACUUCCGGCAGGAGAUCGGCCCACGCUGGAGGCGACGGCGAUGCCAUCGUCGAGCUUCUUCUUACAAUAUGUGGAUUUGAGCAAGGGAUGUUUGAUAUGCAAUGCAAUGGCAUCGUUGGAUAUAUAUAACGGCGGUGCGGACCAGAAAUAAUGAGUUGGAAUCGUUCAAGGACUCUUAUCCCUCUUGGGAUUCGGAUUGGAAUUCACGAUCUUUAGCUUGGAUUCGUCUCGUAACCCGGCUUCUCACCGUCGAUGUCUCCGAGUACCUCCGUUUCCGAUCCGCGUGCAAACCCUGGCGCAACCCGUGCACCGGCGACCCCAGCUUGUCCGGCGGCGGGCUUGACCUCCGUUUCCGAUCCGCCCUGGCGCAACCCGUGCACCGACGACCCCAGCUUGUCCGCCCCCGAUCGACACUGGAUCGCGGCCUCCCACUGCGCAUCCCCGUCGCGCCGCCGCCUCAUCAACAUCUGCACCGGUGCACGCGCCGAGGUCGACCGCCCGGAGCUCCUCACCCACCACCGCUUCGGCGUCUUCGAUGGUCUCCUCGUCCUCUGCGACAGGGCCACCAGCGCCGCCGUCCGCGUCCUCCACCCUCUCACCGGCGCCCUCACCAUCACCGACGUGCCGCGGUCUUCAAGGCCUUCUUCUAUACUCGCUCGAUUUCUACUUAUCCCAAUGCAAGACGAUGAUGCCGCUCUUCCAACCAUUCAAAGGAAAAACUAGGCAGGCACUAGUGCUCCAGGAAGCUGCUCAUGCUCUCCUCUCCCCACACGCCCAGCAUUCAAAGGAAAAACUAGGCAGGUACUAGUGGUGCUCCAUCAGUUGCUGAAUGUUGAAAUGCUAAGUAUCAUACAGACACACACUGGCAAAUGUCAUACGGACAUACUGAAUUAUAGUUAGCUAUGCGUUAGUCAUACAAGGAAAUAUUUGAUUAGCAAGGUAGCAAGUAACAUCGGCAUCUAGCAGAACAAAUUAAUUAGAGAGUUUCAUUCACAUCCCUCAGUUCCAAAAGUGCUCACAUCCCUCAAUUCCAAAAUCACAGCAAGAGAGUUCUUAAAAUUUACUAGUAUAUCCAUUCAUGUCGGUAUUUCUAAGUUACUGACAAAUCAAUCUACCUUCAAUUCAUUUAUAUGUUCGUUCUUCAUGUUCCUACAUGAAGUACAAACUUAUGAUUAUCUCCCGUUUUCUUCCAAAACUAGUACCACCAGUAUCCACCCCAAAUUGUCAAUCACCUAAGCACUAUGUGCGAGCAAAACUAAAGAUUCAAAGGUGAGGAAGUACAAAGGAGAUCCAGGACAGGAUACGCAGAGCAGAGGAAAUCGGACCUGGAAUUGCUCCAUCAGACAUGUUACAGAGAAGCUAAAAGAUUUCAGUAUUAGCACUAGUGCCACAUCAGUUUCGCGAUGUUGAAAUGACAAAUAUCAUUAUAGAGUUACAGAAUACAGAUACACUUGGUACCAUUUGCAAUGGUUGACAGGUAGGCCAAUCAGGCAUUCAGAGCAGGGCAUACUUAUUUGCAAGGUAUUAAUUACCAUUCUCAUCCCUUAUUGCCAAUCAUAAUGAAACAUCUAUUGUCAAUUAUAAGUUUCUACAUUCAGCAUAAGCUAACUCUGUUUCAGAAUUCGGAUAUGUUCAUUGUUCCUGUUGUGUGAUUUAAAUGCAGCAUGUCCUAAAGAUAUCAGACCUGGAAUUGCUCCAUCAGAAUGUUAGAUAGCUAGCUAAGAUUGUUUGGAGGACCACAACCGCAAAGUUUCUGAUCCAGUAUUAUAUUAGCACUAGUGCUACAUCAGUUGCACAAUGUUGAAAUGGCAAGCAUCAGAGUUACAGAAUACAAACACACUUAGUACCAUUCGCAAUGAUUGAAUUAUAGGGAAAUCAGGCAUUCAGAGCAGUACAUAGUGAGAUUAGUAAGGUAGUACCAUUCCCAUCCCUUAUUGCCGAUCAUAAUGAAACAUCUAUUGUCGAUUAUAAGUUUGUACAUGCAGUAUAUCCAAUUAACCUAACUCUGUUUCAGAAUUCAGAUAUGUUCAUUCUUCCUUUCGCAUGAUUUAAAAGCAGCAGGCACAUAGCACAUGAUUAUUCUUUCUUCUCCCCCAACCAACCAAACCAAUAUACCACCAAUCCAUUCCAAUUCCCUAAUAAGUAGCACUAUGUUCAUCACAUGUUUGGCGUGUACAGUUACAGAUUACAACAAGCAAGCUGCUGACUGCUAAGGAGGAGAGUACAGAGGAUUUGCAACAAUGAUCCAGCCAGCCAGAGAGGAUGGAUUUGCAGCAGGGGAGGAUGUCAGACCUGGAAUUGCUCCAUCUGGACGUCGGACGCCUUGAGCGGGACGUAGUCUCCGAGGUACACCUCGAGGUGGUCGGAGAUGCCUGCCUUGUCGAUGCUCUCGUGGUGGUAGCUCUUGCAGACGAGGUAGACGAGGGUCUGGGCGACGAGCGCGAGCAUGACGACGCAGGAGAGCGCGGCGAGCGCGAGGAGGCCGACGAGGAGCCUCGCGAGGGCCGGUGAGGACCCGCCGGCCUUGACGACCCAGGCGCGGAAGGCGAGCUCGACGACGGCGAAGACGAGGUUGAGCGUGACGAAGAUGGCCGCGGCGGUGGGCAGCUUCCCCCUGAUGAGGUCCCUGCUCUUGCGCAUGGCUGCGAAGCCCUUGUAGUCCUCGAGCACGGAGACGACGCUGGCGAGGUGCCACACGACGCUGAUGUAGACGAGUCCCACGAGGUAGGCGACGAGGAGGAGGAACGCGAGCAGCCCCGCGAGCCCCGACCCGUUAUCCGCGGCGACUAGGAGCCCGAGGAAGACGACGACGAACACCGCGUGGUACGCGAAGAGGAGCGCGAAGGCCGCGAGGAACGUGGCCGCGAGCCUCCUCCACACCCGGGGCACGACGGAGAGCACCCGCGGGAAGGUGAGCGCGUCGUGCUUGGCGGAGUAGACGGAGGCGACGGAGAAGACGGCGGCGGCGGUGGCGAGGAGGGAGAGGAGGAGGAGGGCGAGGAGGUAG